UAGAAAUAGGUUAAGCACCUGCUUUUGCUCCAGUAGAGAGGCUUGUAUCUGUGGAAUGGCACCAGAAAAAAAGGUUAGUAUUCGAACUAAAUACAUACCUGUGAAUCUUACUGGAAAUGAAAAACUUGAAACUCGAAGGAGUUUCUGUAUAUAGUUAUCAGAAACUAAGAGAAUUUUCUGUAGAUGAUCCAAUCAAAAAGUCGAUUUAGGGAAGGGACUAGUGGUGAUUCUUGUGGAAGAACCAUUAGGAAAUUAGAACAUGUAGGAAAUAAUACCCUUGUUUCUAGUAGGGUUUUGUGGCUCUUGCCUAUAAUAGCAGACGAAUCUACUUGAGGUUUGACUAAAUCCACAAGCACCCUUAGAGUCUAUGCACGUCCGGCAAUCUGAGUUAACUUCAAGCGCGAAACCAUCUUCAAGUGCAAUCUUUAGAUUAUCUGUACUUGGAGUACUCUCCAGUGUGUUCAGCGCGGUUCUAGAAGCGGGAUUACUGACGUUUCUACUGCAAGAUCCCCCAAAGUCGUUUAAAAGGAAACUAUUCCCUUCAAGUUUAAGGGACGGCGGAAGGAACGUGAGGUUUCUCGUCAGAUAAUAAUUUCUUCUAUCAUCAGUCCCAUCAUCUGGACAAUCAAGCUCUUUAACAAAAGUAGAAACAAACGAUGAAACGUUUCGGUUGCAGUCGUAAUAAAUGGUUAGCAGGUCGGUGGUAGAAGCAAGUGGAAGGACGGUUUCGUUGAAUGACGUAGUGAAGGAAUUUGGGAGACACGGAUCGUCGAUAUUAUCGGAUCUGGCGAGUGUUAUGAUACCAGAGUCAUAAUCCGCACCUAGGAUUCUAAAUUUGACAGAAGAAAUGCUAAGCUCUGGGACUCCUGCGUUACAGUCAAGCUCGAAGUCAGGGUGACCGCAUUCUUUUCUGCCAGCAAUCCAGAAAGGGUACAAGAGACCUCUCUGAUUACCACAAGUAAACGAGGGACUGCAGAGUAUGUGAUUCCCAUCGGCUGAUAAAACACAAGAUAUAUGGAUCACAAAGAGCAUCCAUAUGAAGCUAUAGGACAUAGAUUUGGUCAGAGAAAGAGAAAAAUUGAUCAUCGUGUUGCAGGUGAAUGAUAAAAAAAAGAUGGUGAAGAAGAGAUAAAUCGAUAAGAAGCAAGUGGCCAUGGUGAAGGUCGAAAAGGAUCAAGUCAAGGAAAGUUAGUUGACCCAAAGUCAAGGAAGGACAGUGACAUAUACAAAGAGACUUUUUUGGAGUCCUUAUUAGUUUCAGAUACUAAGUUAUUUCUGAAAACUAAUGAGAAUCUAAAGAUAUUACAGAAAAUAUUGGAGUGUGAAAAAAGGCAAAGACCGUCAUUCACUAUUGAAACUAACUGAUAUCGAAGAUGAAAAUUCAAUUUGUGACUAGUUCAUGCCAAUUUUCAAAUCAGUUAAGUUAGAACUCUUUCUAAGCUCAGUAACAGGAGAACAAACACAACCAUACGUCCUGAUAUAUAUACUGCUCCUUUCCGCAAAGAUUACACUUAAUCGGUCUUACACAACCCUAACACACUUGUUAGUUUGUUCCUGGCCAACUUCUAACUCAUGACCACAGAUUGUCCCCGAUCACUCUACAAAAUUACCGUGCAUAACGGUCUUCUCUGACAACUACGGUCUCUUUAGAAAUACCACCAACAGACCCUCUCCUCAUAAACUGAGAAGACAUUGCAUUCUUGUUUAUUCCAAAAGUCUGAUGUCUCCAUAAGAAGGUUCAGGCCACCUUGCUUACCAAGUUACCAUCAAAUUAAAAUUCAUUCCUGUUUUUUCCAAAUGCCCCAUACAAUCCAAGGAAUUGCCAAUUGCAGAUCACGGGGAAUGUCAUUGUUUUCCAUCAACUGAAAGAUAAAUUACAUGUUCUCUUUAAGAAAAUCUGAGAAAUGGUAUAUAGGAAUAUCACAUACUUUAAGAAAAAUAAAAUGAUAAUUACAUAAACUAAGAAUGUUUUUGAUUGAUAUAUGCAUAGUCCAUUUGAGUCCCCUCAUGAAAAAUAAGUACAUUUAAAAACUUGAUAGUGAUCUAAAAAUUGAAGAAAUAAAUAGGUCCAGAUUAAAACCAAAACGAGUAUGUUGCUUCCUUCUGAGUAUGGAUGAUAUCACUACCUUCCUUCUCGAAACAACUAUAUCAUUUCUAAUCUAAUUCUCAUUCUAUAUUCCUAAUGAUAUAUAGUAUCUGUAAUAUCUACAAAUCAAAAGUUAGUUUCUUUAGUUUUUCCGAAUAGUAAUAAUACAGAAAAUUAGAGUUAUCAAAGACGAGUCAGUUUAAUUUGUAAGAAUUUUCUAGGAAGUUGAGGCAAAACAUGGAACUAAAUCUUGAGUGGGAAUGGAAGGACUUAUUUGUAAACAUAGACCACACUUUCUCCUAACCAAAACCUGUUUUUGUUCAUGCAUUAAAUACCGUCUAUGACUUACUGACCUUAGAAAAUUCAACAAAUGUGUUCUAUUCUUUUUUAUGCAAAGAAAAUUUACGUUCAAACGACAGAGAUUUACUCAUAAGCUAAAAGCUUGCGAGUUACAGUUUACAGAGAAAAUCAUAUCUCAGAGGAGAUUGAAUUUUCCUCUGAAAUCCAGGAAGAAUCGAGAUGAGGCACUACAGAGCAUUGCAAAACAGGCCUAGGAGGCACUUCAAGAGCAUCCAGGUUUCCUUCCAUCAUCUCUACCACUCUGUUCAUCGCCGGGCGAUCUAAUGGCCAAGGCUGAAUACACCACAAACCUACCAACGUCAUCUUCUUUGCUAUCUCAUCUUCUUCGCUUCUAUUCACGAUAAGCCUUCCAUUGUCUCCCUUCUCAAGAUCCUUAUAUAUCCAUUCGGGAAAGUACAUUGAGCUUGUGCUAGAUGUAGUGUCCUCGGUUGAUGUUUUGUUCCUAGCUCCUAUUAUAUCAAGAACCAACAUUCCAUAGCUAUACACAUCUGACUUGUGGGAGACGCUACCGUACACUCUCGAAAACACUUCAGGUGCAAUGUACCCUAUCGUUCCUCUUGUGUCCAUUAGUGACAAGAUACUUUCUUUCCUCUCGCAUAGCUUAGCAAGGCCAAAGUCUGAUACUUUCGGGGAAAGAUUGUCAUCUAAGAGUACAUUCUGUGGUUUUAUGUCGAAAUGUACAAUCCUUGUUCUGCAACCAUGGUGUAAGUACUCUAGACCACGAGCAACGCCUAACGCGAUCCCAUAUAGUUCCCUCCAGUCCAUAGUUGAUGACUUCUUGCUUGAGAUGAACUUAUCAAGAGACCCGUUUUCCAUAAAUUCGUAAAUAAUUGCUCUCUUGUAACCUUCAGAGCAGAAUCCUAGGAGGGUAACAAUGUUGACAUGUGAAGUUUGGCUCAUGCUUGCAACUUCAUUGAUAAAGUCUUCACCAUUAUUACCUUUUAAGUCUUUCAAAACCUUCACUGCAACCAUACGGCCAUCAGAAAGGGUUCCCCUAUAGACAAUUCCGAAUCCGCCUCGCCCCACCACUUCUGCGAAUGAGUUUGUAAUUCUCUUCACUUGUUCGUAGCUAUAUUGCUUCAGUUGAAUAAGUGCUUUGAUUCUUGGUUUUGGAAUAUGUUCCUUGAGGUCUUGUUGACCCUUAUCAUUUGAAGUUUUUUGCUUUCGGAUAAUAUGGACAACCAAUGUUAAGACCAAGAAUGGAAGUAGAGAAACACCUGCUAUUGUAGCUGAAACCACAAAAUUGUUUGGUUAAAAAGAUCAAAAACAGUAUUCAUAACCAAAUUAAGUUUAUUUGAAAGAAUAGGAGAAGGUAAAACACCUAUUUUCGCUUCAGAAGACAAGCCUACAAUAAUGAUUUUCAGUUUCAUUUCAGUAUAAAGUUGUUAAAGAAAAUGGAUAUGAAAGGAUUAAGAUACUUACGAGUUGGUAGAUUGAGUGGCCGGCAUUUAGUUUCUAAUGGUAAGGUUCCGGUAAAGCCGCAAUAUUUAUGAGAAGAUGAACAUUCUUGACACGAAUUUUCAUCGAUUCUCAACCUCACCUCAAAUCCAUUUCUUACAUCCCUUACCAAACUUGUUAUAUUCAACCUUUUCUCGUUUGGAACGAAACUCGUAGGAAUGUUCACGGUGAAACGGGCUUCGCAGCUAACAGGAUUUUCAAGGUUGUCAGACACUGAGACCGAACCUAUCGCAGGACAUCCGUACCUUGCAAGGUCAGGAAUAACAGGGUAGCAACGGUAGAGUGUGACGCUCUUGUAGGUUGGCAAAAUAUCGAAUAUUUCUGGUGGCAAAGUCGCGUUGGCGAAUGGGAAUGGAGAGAGGCAAAUGGACUGUAAAAAGUCUGUUCUGGCAACUCUUAGAGUGUUAUAUGUAUGAUUUAUACUAAGAACAUGGUACAAAUGGUCUGAGAUGGUUAAAGAGGUGAUGUUAUCAAGGCAGUGAAGCUCCAGCAAUGGAUGACCGCAAACUUCGGGACGAUUCCCUCCCCAGAAGGGAAAACCGGCAGUGAUGUUUCCACACUGAAACUGAGAUUCGCACCAUCCAAGUGUUUGUUUACUUGAAGCACAAGGAAGAUGGUAAAAUAAAGAGAAGAAGAGGAACAAGACCAAACAAGAACUGGGGAGAUAGUACAUGAUCGGUUUGAUCUAUGAACAAUGUGUCUUGUGGUGAGAUGUAGCAAAAAGAGAGAGAUAUCGGAAAGGAGCACCCUAAGUCAAGGAAUGAUAGUGACAGAUACAGAGAGAUUUGGAGUCUUUUUUUUUAUCACGUCUAUAUUAGUUGACCCUAAAAAUGGUGUUUCUCAAUUAUUUUCUUUAGAUUUUGGUUUUAGUAAAUUGUGGAGUUAAGUCUUCAGUGGGAAUGAGAGGGAUUUGCCAAUAAAGCUUUACCAUACUAUCUCUUAUCUCCUAAAUCUGUUUGUCUUCGUUAUUCUAAAGAUGACAAAAGAGAAUAUAGGAGAUUGGAAAAGUCAAUAAUUUGUUCAGUCAAAGACUUAGGUUCACACUUUCAAUUAUACUAGAUUAGGAUGUGUUACCAAACGGGUUUCUUAUUUAAUAAUUCAGUAACAACAUUAAACUAAUAUAAAUAAUGUUAAGAAAUAAUUAUAAUUGAUACAUUUCUUAGAAUGAAAAUUAAAAUGUAUUUCAAAACGUGUAAAUUUUUAGGUGCAGGAACCAACCGAGGGAUGUCGACAAGAGCUACAACUGGUAAGAAGUUAUGUUCGAGAAACGUUUUGAGACUCAUGUCUCUGACUCCAGUGAACUGUUGCAGCAUUGGUGGCACUGAGGAAUUUGUUCCUUCUCUUUGUUCUAGUUUAGUCUUUCGGAUGACAAUAAGAUGAUGGUUUAAAAAUAGAAUAGAGCAAAAUAAAAAGGAAACAUUUUUGUUCUUAUUUUCUUGAAAAUUAGACCAAACAAGACACGUAUAUCUACAGUCAUGAUAAAACCGGAUGACAUUGUACUGAUUACUGAGGAUGUCUCCAAUAUUAUGACCAAUAGUGUUUCUAGAAACAAGCUCUGGUUUGAGUACGAAUCGGUUAUGAGCUCUAUGACGAGUUCUUUAUUUUUUAUUUUUUUUAGAAGAACACAAAGUUUAGAAUAAGAAAACACUCCUCUGGUUUAGUAGUGAUUCGUCAUCAGUGAAGCAUUAUUUUGUUGGAUAAAAAUAAGGGUUUUAAUAUCACCCAAUCGGUCCACUUGCAUUUUGUUUCCUAAAUUAAAAUAUAGUUUCUCCAAACUAUCAUGUAACUAUGAGUAUAUUUAUAUGUAAUUAAUUACUUCAUUAAAUCAAUCCACAUUAAUGAAAUAAGUUUCUGAAUGUUGACUUAUUAUUUUAAUACUUGUGCUUUUGCAUGUUCUAAAUAUAAAAUAUCUGAAGCAUUAAUUUGUUGGGUAAACGAGAGGCUUUGAUCUCACAUGGUACACUUGACAUUUUCUCUUAAAAAAUAUGUGUUCCCACAAGAAAUGUCAUCAUCUAAUUGUUGUCACAUGUAACUAGUACAUCUAAGUUAAAGUCUGGUGAGUUACUUGUUUAACGCUUGAUAGUGCUUUUGUAUAUUCUAAAGUCUAAACAUUUGAGUUAUUAACUUUUGGGUAAAAGAAAGUUUUUAUUUUACCCCAUUGGUCUAUUUGGCAUUUGUUUUUUCUUAAAAUAUUUUUUUUCUUUGAAAUAUCAGCUAAUUAUUGUCACAUUUAAUUAGUACAUCUAAAUUUACAAUUAAGAAAUCAAUUUCUAGAAUGUUGAAAAUUUUGUUCAAUUCAUGAUAAUUUUGCUUGUUCUAAAUUCUUUAACAUCAAUUUAUUAGUUACGACAAUGUUGCUUGUUCUAUUCACAUUAAUUUGUUAGUUACGACUUACGACAAUGGUUUUGACCGUUGACAAAAAAAAACAACACAUUAUAGGGAUCCACUUGACAUUUAUUAUUUUAAAUAAUAAUAUUUUUAUUUUCUGCAAAAAAAUUAUUUGAUUUCCAUUGACUUUGGAAAACUUAUGUAUUUGAUGUUAAACUGUUUUUUUCUUUUAGAUUUAAUUUAACAUUAUAUUUCAAAUAAAUAAAAUACAGUUGAAUUAUUCGAAUUGUUUCUAAACCCGGUAAACAAAAUCCAAACUACCCAAAAAUAUAUGAAUUACUCAAAAUAUUCCAGUACAAAAAAAAAUUUCCAAACGAAUUUAAAGUACUCAAAAAGUAAACUAAGUACCCGAAACUAGAUAAAAAUGGGUUAAUUAGAUUUUUUUUUUUAAGUACCCGUUUGGAUCAAAAAGUUUCGGUGCCCGUAAUACUGGCCUCUAAGACCAGUUCGUAUCAGAUAUUUCUAAUUUAGUUUGAUUCGAAUUUUUGAGUACGGGUAUUUUGUACGUUUGCUUGUUUAAAAUAUUUAAAACACUAUUUGUUAGCUACGAGAUGAGUUUUGAUAGUUGACAAAAUAAAAAUAAAUAAGAGUUUGGAUCUCAUUUUAAUGAUCCACUUGGCAUUUACUAUUUGAAAUAAAAUUAGUUUUCCUUCCCAAUAAAAUUGUUUUAUUUCAUUGUUACUGGUAAAGUAAUGUGAUCAAAGUAAGAUCUUCGUAUUUUUGUAUAUGUCACCUGUCUCUAUGCUUCUCUCUCUCACGCUCUCUAUCUAAAGUCAAUUGCUCCUCUCCGCUCAACACAAACCAAACGCAGGAGACACACUGUUCACAAAUCAUGUCCUAUAUGCCUACUUCUUGUCUGGUCUUGUUCUUCCUCUUAUUCUUAUUCCACCCUCUUCCUUGGGCCCUAAGUAAAGAAGACCUAGGGUGGUGUGAGGCUCUGUUUCAGUGUGGUAACAACACUGCUGGUUUUCCCUUCUGGGGUGGGAAUCGUGCCAAACCUUGCGGUCAUCCGUUGCUGGAGCUUCGCUGCCUCAAUAACAUCACCUCUCUAAACAUCUCAAACCAUGAGUACAACGUUUUUCAUAUAGAUCAAACAUCUAAUACUCUUAGACUUGCUAGAACAGACCUUCUAGGUUCUUUUUGUUCCGCUGAAUUCAAUACCCCAACUUUCCCCCGCGAAAUCUUUAAGCUAUUCCCAACUUAUAAGAGCCUCACCGUUUUAUAUAACUGUGAUCCAAAGCUAUCUUACCGCUCAAGUUAUACAUGUCCUGAUCUAGGUCUUUUCUCUAUGUCUCAAAGCCUUGAUUACCAAAAUUCCUGCCAAGACAGUUUCAAAGUUAACGUUCCAACUAGUUUUGUUCCAGAGGAGAAAGAGAUGAAUCUGACCCAUUUGGAAAGUGCUCUAAGAAAAGGUUUUGAAGUGAAGCUGGUGAUCGAUGAGAUACCGUGUCAAGAAUGUUCAUCCAGUCGUGGAAUCUGUGGUUUCAACAGUACCACACAGAUAUGCUGCAACGUAACCUCACUUUCUGGUGGAGUUACUUGCGUACCACAACAUCAACCUAGCGGUAAGUUUCUCACCUAAUCCUAUUGAGUGGCCUCCAAGGAAACAAAACAAGAGUAUAACAAAAUGAUCAAGCUAUCUCUGUUGUUGACGAAUUCUCUGUCUUAAAGUCAAAUGAUGCUCUUUGUGAUCCCAUUUUUGUUUUAUGUUUCAGCUGAUGAGCUUAGGCGCCGCUGUAGUGAACGGUUUAGCUGCGGCAAUCAGAGAAAUCUCUAUUACCCCUUUUGGAUACCUGGUCGAGAAUAUUGUGGCCACCCUGACUUCAAGCUUGACUGUAGCGGAGGAUUCGCAGAGCUUAACAUAGCCUCCGUGAAUUUCAGAAUCUUAAAUAUGAGUUAUGACUCUUCUAACAAAAGACUUGCCAGAUCAGACUAUCUCAACGAUCUUUGUCCCCCAAACCCACUAAAUGAUGAGCCUCUCAUCGAAACAGUCCUUCAAUUCAGUGCUGACACAGAGUUGCUAACAUUAUAUUACGACUGCCAACUUAAUUCAUCUGCUACUUCUCCUUUUCCUAGUAGCUACUUUGGAGAGCUUGGUUGUGAUGAGGGAAGAAGUUACUAUGUAACGAGAAACCUCUCAUCUCCUUUACUUGACAGGUUUAGAGGAGUUUUAAACAACUUAAGAGAAAUGUGCAAAAGAAAAGUCAGUGUUCCUGCGUCUGGACCGGCGUUAAACACACUUCAGACAAAUCCAAAUUCAAACAAUCUAAAGAUGGCUCUUGAACAUGGUUUUGAGCUUCAAGAUAACUCAAAUUGUUCUAUGUGUGUUUUGUCUGGCGGUUCUUGUGGAUAUAAUCAGAACUCAAGUUUGUUUGUAUGUUAUUGUAAAGAUGGGCCGCAAGAUAACCAAUGCGAUAUAAACCUAGAUGGUAAGUUCUCUUCCAUCUUAUUAAGUUUAAUUUCAAAGGACAAAGUUCUGUUUUCAUUUCUAACUGACUUUGUUUUUGGUACCAUUUGAUUGUUGCAGAUAUUAUCGGGAAUCGAAUAGGUACUUAACCUUUCUUGGAGUAACUGAUUUAAUCUUCGGAGCAAAUCUUUGUUCGUUUCAAAAUUUUAUGCUGACUAAUUUUACUUAUUUAUUUGUUCUACAGUGGCUAUUAUCAUCGGCAUUUUCGUAGGUAAGUUAAAUAACUAGAGAUAUUUCUUUUUGCUCAAUCAAAUAAAGUUACUAAUAAAACAGAGUUUCUCUGUUUUAUUUUUGACAGCUUUGUGUACAAUAGGAGGUUUCAUUGCUUUCCUUGUAUUAUUGUGCCCUUGUUGCAAAGUCCGAAUUUUCCGGAAUAGAAAAACAUCAGAUGAUCGGAGACAAGAGAAGCUAAAGGCCCUUAUUCCACUCAAACAUUAUACUUAUGCACAAGUAAAGAGAAUGACAAAGUCAUUUGCGGAAGUGGUUGGGAGAGGCGGGUUUGGAAUAGUUUAUAGAGGAACUCUUUGUGAUGGCCGUAUGGUUGCGGUGAAGGUCUUGAAAGAAUCAAAGGGUAAUAAUAGCGAAGACUUUAUAAAUGAAGUUUCUAGCAUGAGCCAAACAUCUCAUGUCAACAUUGUUUCUCUUCUUGGAUUCUGCUCUGAAGGUUCAAGAAGAGCUAUUAUAUAUGAAUUUUUGGAGAAUGGGUCACUCGAUAAGUUCAUCUCGGAAAAGACUUCAGUGAUUUUGGACUUGACGGCACUGUAUGGGAUCGCGCUAGGCGUUGCUCGUGGUCUAGAGUACUUGCAUUAUGGCUGCAAAACGAGGAUUGUGCAUUUCGACAUUAAACCUCAAAACGUUUUGUUGGAUGAUAAUCUUUCCCCGAAAGUUUCUGAUUUCGGACUUGCUAAACUAUGCGAGAAGAAAGAGAGUGUCAUGUCAUUGAUGGAUACAAGAGGUACAAUAGGAUACAUUGCACCAGAGAUGAUCUCUCGAGUUUAUGGGAGUGUUUCUCACAAGUCAGAUGUGUAUAGCUACGGAAUGUUGGUCUUCGAAAUGAUAGGUGCAAGGAAGAAAGAACGAUUUGGUCAAAACUCUGCGAACGGAAGUUCAAUGUACUUUCCAGAAUGGAUAUAUAAGGAUCUUGAGAAGGCAGACAAUGGGGAUCUUGAGCAUAUCGAGAUUGGAAUCAGCAGCGAGGAAGAGGAGAUAGCAAAGAAGAUGACAUUGGUGGGUUUGUGGUGUAUUCAGUCUUCCCCAUCAGAUCGUCCACCGAUGAACAAAGUUGUAGAGAUGAUGGAAGGAAGUUUGGAUGCUCUUGAAGUUCCACCUAGACCUGUUUUGCAGCAAAUUCAUGUAGGACCUCUUCUUGAAUCUUCUUGGAUUACUGAGGAAAGUUCAAGCAUCUCCGAGAUUGAAAAUAGGAAUCUUCAAGUUUGUGAAAAAAUAUUGUCUUGAAAGUCAUACUCUAGACUCUAGAGAAAUGAUCCUAUAAAGUUAAUGUCUGUAAAUAUUAUUUGCAUAACAAAUAGAGAACAAGUAUCAGUAUACAAGAACACAAUUCAAAAGUUCCACGGCGGCUUCUUAGAUCAAGUCCGUGCUUUAAUAUCCUCUGAAAGUGUUGGUGAUUCUUUAAUAGGUCUAGGAGGGACUUCAAGAGCAUCUGAUGAUUUUUUCUUUCUGACAAUCUUGGCUCGGCAACAUAGGCAAAGAAACACCAAGGAAACAAUAAUACCUGAUACUAAAAAGCAAUGCAGAAAAACAGAGAAAAUGUUUGGUUAGUAACUUUGUAUAUAUAAUCUAAGAAUAUAAAAAAAAACAUUUUGAAUAGUCUCGAGGCAAAAAAAACUAACCUAUGAGUAUCAAGAUCAACACACCACCUGUAUAACCAUUAAACAAGUAAAAUUUGUCAGCAUAAAACCAAAGAUUAAAGAACAAUAAACUCAGAGAGGAAAGGUUAACGGUACCUAUUAUCCAUCUAAUAUUAGAUUCUGUAUCGAUAAAAUGGCGCAAAAAAAAAAGAAAAACAGUUAGCGCUGAAUGAACACAGAAACUGUGAAACCGAAAUCAUGAAACUAAAGAGAGUGUCUGUAAAUGAACCGAUGAAAGAAAUCUUACUGCCCGAACUGCAUGAUAGGCUAUACGGAUCCUUACAAUAGCAGAGGAACGUACUUGAGGUCUGAUUAUAUCCACAAGAACCCUCAGAGUCUACACACAUUGAAAAGUAUGGUGUGGAACAAGUCAAAAGCAAGAAAACAAAGUAGUAGAGGAAAAAGAGUAAUGCUAAGUUAAGCUUAUCCCUUGUCCUCACCUUUUCUCUUAAGCUCAUUAGUAAGUAAUUUAUGUCUAUAAGUGUAUGAAACUUACCACUUGGUGGACGACAUUUAACUCCUGGUGUUAAGUUUUCGUUGAAGACAUGACAUCUUCCAAGAGAGGAUAAACAUUCCUGACAUGUAUUCUCAUUGAUCACCACCGUCACCUCAAAUCCUUUUCUUAAAACACUUUCCAAAUUGGUCACAUUCAACUCUUUCUCUUUUGUAUCGAAACUCGUGGGAACCUUCACGGUGAAACUGGAACGACAGCUCUCAGGAUAUUUUUCAGGGCUUUCAGACACUGAGAUGGGACCUAUCUCAGGACAUGUAUAGCUAGAAAGGUUAGGAAGCACAGAGGAGCAUUGGUAGAAUAUAGUGACGCUCUUGUAGGUCCGUGAAAGCUCGAAAGUUUCGGGAGGCAAGGUUGUGUUUGUGAAUACAGAGGAGCAAAAAGAACCUAGAAGGUUCUGUUUGGCAAGUGUAAGAGUGUUAGAUGUUUGAUCUAUACGGAGAACAGAGUACUUUUGGUUUGAGAUGAAUAAAGAGGUGAUGUUGUUUUUGUUGCAGUGAAGCUCCAGCGAUGGAUGACCGCAUUCUUUAUGACGAUUCCCACCCGAGAAGGGGAAACCAGCGGUGAUGUUUCCGCACUGAAACAAAGUCUCACACCAGCCAAGUCCUUGAUUACUUGAAUCACAAGGAAGAGGGUGAAAUAAGGAGAGGAGGAAGAAUAUAACUAGACAAGAAGUGGGAAGAUGAUACAUGAUUAGUUCGGUUCAUGAAAAAUGUGUCUUCUUAGUUUGGUUUGUGUUGAGAGAAGCAGAGUAAAUGAAUUAGUGAGAUACAGAGAGAGAAAGAGAGACAAGAAGCCUCAGGACCAUGUCAAGUGGGAGACUGUCCUGAGGACCAUGUCAAGUGGGGGAGACAGAAGCGUAGACAUGUGAUGAUGUCAAGUUUACUUUUGAAAUUUCUUUGUUUUUUUCUCCAAGUUAAAAUUUUGAAAUGUCUCUCUAAUAAGCACUAAAAAUUCUCUAUACGGUCCUACCACGUAGUUGAUGAGGUCUCAGCAUUGUUCGAACUGGAUAUGAUUAUGGGAACACUAUUAAUUGUUCUAUCUUAACACAAUUUUUCCUUGCAGUUAAUCCAAUGUGGAGUGAAAAAACAUCUUGUAAACACAUCCCAAAGAAGGUGUGCCAUGGAAACACAAGAUUCAAAUCUUUGAUGUGACAUAAUUGUGGUACAGUAAUGAUUAGUUCUCCGAAUAUACUAGCUCCCUCCAAUAACUAGGGAAAAAUUGUUGGUAUUGGAUUUAGCACAAAUCCAGCCAGCCCAAUGAAAACCCAUUAAGUGUCAACGACAAAAUAAACUAGGAGAUGAGGUACAUACGACGUAAAUAUAAAGCCCAUGAAAACACGAAGAUGAGUCAUAUCCAGAUUGCUCCAGAUGACCUCGACACAUUCUAAUUGCUGAAUCAAAAUGGUCAAAUUUUGAAUUUAGCGAUAUAUUUAACAUGUUAAGACAUUUUGAUCUGAGCAUUUAAUGACUUCUGACUAAGACAGAAUAUCAAACCAAAAAUCACCAACUUUUUCUAUCCUCGAUAUUAGCUUUUCUCUUCAUUUCCCUUUGUAAUUCAGUUCGAGGAUCAUCAACAUUCAACAAAAAGACAAAAUCAGAACUAUUUAAUGAUGAUGGUUGGGGAAACGAUCAGAAUAUGAUCCAUAGGGGCCCUAUUUUCUUUCUUAACACGCCAUAGGGAAAUGGCGACCUUAUAUCAAUAUAUACCGUGGAAUCAAAGUUUUGAAAUUUUUACAGGUCAAAUCUAAUGAAUGUGCAUGGUUUUAAAUUCUAACGUACGAAAUGAUGUAACCGUUUCCGUUAUAUAAAUGUCCAAAAUAAUGAUACUCUACCCACUAAAGAAGAAAUUAAAUAGGGAAACAAACUAAAAGUACCUCUUUCAGUUUGAUCCAAAAAAAACUAAAAAACAAAAGUACUUCGUGUAAAACUCCGAUUUUGUAAAUAUGGUGAUGUAUUUCAAGAGGUUUAAAAGAAUUGAUUUGAGUAUUUAUGUUACAAAAAAUGCAUUUAUUUUUUUGGGCCCUCACAAACAAAAUGCAUCAUUUCAGAACCCCACAACUAAGCUUUUUUGAGAUGGAACAAUUUCAUGAUUGAUGACCUACCCCAUAGUAACUUUUGGUAAUGUGUGAGUUGAAAACAAAAUACAAAAAAAAAAACUCAUGGUAAUUUGUAUGGUUAUUAAACAAGUCUUUUUAGAAUAACGCAUCAACCAUCGGAUGAGAGUGUAGCCCACAAACCAAAAAAAACGUGGGAAUGGGACAUUAGCAGUACAGUCGGGGGUUACACUUUGUCAUUUAGGUGUCGCUAUACAUGUGCAUGCGUGCUUUUUUAAAUUAAAAAAUAAAAUAAAAAACAGGUUGAAUAAUUCGAUAAGUAAAUAAAUACACAAGUAAAUUCACUAAUUUCCUGCCGUGAUUUGGUUUAAUGCUUUAAUACAAAUGUUUUCUUUUGAAAUUAAGGUUGCGACUUGUGAGUUCUUCCAAAGUUGUUUUUUUUUUCUUUGAAAAUAACGUUAAUUUAUAUUCCAAAAAAAAAACAUAACGUUUUUACGUCGAAUGCAACGUGAAUUUAAGAGUCUGAGCUUAAAAGAAAUAUGAAAAAAUGAUCACACUCUAAGUGAUUAACUUAUAGACUUGAACCAAGCUUGGAGGGCGCCAUCGUAUCUCCUAUCUCCCUUGAGUCGGAUCGAUGACAACUGGUUUCUGAUUUGUAUCUAGCCAUUCAACGAGUUGAGAGACCGUGUUCGGAGGCUCACCGUGCCGUGUUCCAAAGUUGUUCUUGAGUUUAGUAUAGAACAACACGAUUAAAUAGCUACUUAUACUAAGUAUAGACCACGAUAUGGUCACACAUGCAGAUUAUUUAGUUUUAUCAAUAACUACAUUAACUAUUGUCUUUGUAUAGUGACACACACCAAUUAACAUGCCUUAUAUUUGCAACAUUAUACCCAUCUUUUUAGUCUUGUUCCAGUUCGUACGUUGGAAUCCAGUACCAUCCGGUUUAAAUCCAAACCUGACGACCCACCAAACCAAUCCAACUUGAUCCAAAAGAAGACUAAUUAAAAGGUAAGAGAACAGUUAUAUGCUUUUCUACAUUUGAAAUAUAUGUGGUCACGUGUUUACUACAUUCAAUAGUGAGUUGAGCUCAUUCCUAAAAUUAGUUUUUUUAUGAUUUUUUUCAGUGUAGAAUAAGUCAAUAACAUAAUUAAGAGGGCAUUUCUCUGAGAAAUACUAUAAUGCACAUGGCUGUUCGGCUGUAAUUUUCUUGUUUUGGGAACUCCAGAGUUCUAUAUCUUAAAUGCUUGCGUUCGAUUAUUAGUACUAGAACUAAGUACUAUUAAUGAUUAUGGUUAUGAUGACACUCAUCAUUACUGUUGUAUUUAUGGAUUGCAUGGAAAUAACCAAAUGCUUUAAAUAGUCAUGUGACGAAAACCCCUUGCUUCGUGGGCUACGGUAUCUACUGAUUUUACAUUUUAUCUAAAUCCAUAAUGUUAUGUACUUAUGUUCAACUGUUAUCGCAACUUUUUGAUGAAGUCAAAAAUAUCCCGUUAACAUUUGUUUUUUUUUCGUAUUUUAGGUUUGUAGAUCAGAUUAAUCUUCGAGGCCGUCUCAAGUAUUUUGACAAACAACCUUAAGUAAAAUACUAAAAAUGGACCUUUUAUUGUUUACACGAUGUCAAUAAAAAAACCACCAAAGAAGUUAAUAGUUUUUGAUCUCUCAAAUUUCAUUUUCUUUCUCAAACUCAAAUUUUAUCGCAUUUGUUAUAAAAACGUUAUCUUUUGAAAAAAUAUAAUUUUACAUUAAAUUCAAAAAAAAAAAAAAAAAAACCAAACUUUCGUUUUAGAUGUCAUUUUUUAACUUUCUUCUAUCUAAAUAUUUAGAAGGAAAAAAAAAAUUAAAAACUCUCAAAUCAAGGAUGCAUAUGUAACAAUGUAACACAAUUGUUUAGUGAACUCUCAUAUAUCCUCAAUUAUAUCUGCCGCAUUUAAACAACCGUCAUACUUUUUUGUUACUAAAAUUUGUAAUACUAUUGACAAAUUUUGUUUUCCUUUGUAUACAUAAUUAUUUCUUUUCUUAUAUACAUAAAAAAAUGUUCUUCUAUUGUCAAAUCUACGUUUAUUCAUUAUUCAAAAGAUUUUAACCCGCCUCUUCUCUCACCACAAAGUUCCUCUUUAUCUUUAAAUGGCGGACGCAUCUCUCCGUAUCCUUCUUCGUAAUUAAAACCAGAGGACUCGUAGUCGUUGGCAAUGGCCGCAAUGCUAGGACGAGAUGAAGAUCCGGUCGGAGCAUUGAGUGGGAGAGUGAGUUUGGCCUCCACCAGUCACAGGAGUUUGGUCGGAGCUUCCAAAAGCUUUCGAGAUGUGUUCAUGCCUCAAACUGACGAGGUGUUUGGGAGGAGCGAACGUCGGGAGGAAGAUGACAUGGAGCUCCGAUGGGCGGCGAUUGAGAGAUUGCCGACGUUUGAUCGGCUACGUAAAGGGAUGUUGCCGCAAACGUCGGCUAACGGGAAGAUUGAGCUUGAGGAUAUUGACCUAACAAGGCUCGAACCUAAGGAUAAGAAACACCUUAUGGAAAUGAUUUUGAGUUUCGUUGAAGAAGACAAUGAAAAGUUUCUACGUGAUUUGAGAGAAAGAACAGAUAGGUAAGAUAAAAAGCAAACAAAAAUUUAUUAAAUUGUUUUCCAAAAUUUCCAAAAAAGAAGACAAAAAAUCCCUUUAAAUCUUUAUUUUUCUUAAUUUUGUUGUUCCGACAAUUUUGCAAUUUAUUUUGCGAGAACAGAGUGGGAAUUGAAGUUCCAAAAAUUGAAGUAAGGUAUGAGAAUAUUUCAGUGGAAGGAGAUGUGCGUAGUGCAAGUAGAGCGCUUCCUACUCUCUUCAACGUCACCUUGAAUACAUUGGAGGUUGAAUUUUUUUUUUCAUUAUUUUGAUCUUGUUUUGUUUAUUUUUGGUAGCUUUCUUUUGUUCAAUAUCGUCGACAAAAUAAGAUCUAAGUAAAGAAGAUAAAACCUAACUUUGUAAAUAUUCUUUUGUUGUUGUUGAUUUUGAAGCAUAUUAAGCUUUUAUUUAUAUAAACAAUGAUGAAGCUUUACUUAAAGAGUCUUUCUGUUAUUUGUAUAUAGAGCAUUCUUGGAUUCUUCCACCUCCUUCCAUCUAAAAGGAAAAAGAUUCAGAUACUAAAAGAUAUCAGCGGCAUUGUCAAACCAUCAAGGUAAUUAAAGCUAAUGAGACAACGGUGUCUUUGCUAUAUUAUAUCUCAACAUGGAAACUUUUAGAUGAAAGGAGAAUAUAUUUGAGUUUAGUUACAUUGUUGUUGAGCAUUUCCAGGAUGACUUUAUUACUUGGUCCACCAAGCUCAGGAAAAACAACUUUGUUACAAGCUUUGGCUGGGAAGCUCGAUGACACUCUCCAGGUUUGUUUUUUUAUUAGAGUAACAAGUAAGAAUAAUCAUUCAUUAUCUAACCCGAUAAUGGAAAACAGAUGUCGGGGAGGAUAACAUAUUGCGGUCAUGAGUUUCGCGAGUUUGUACCUCAAAAGACGUGUGCAUACAUCAGUCAACAUGACCUUCACUUUGGAGAAAUGACGGUGAGAGAGAUACUGGAUUUUUCGGGACGAUGUCUAGGUGUUGGAAGUCGGUACCAGUUGAUGUCUGAGCUUUCAAGGAGGGAGAAAGAAGAGGGAAUAAAGCCAGACCCUAAAAUUGAUGCAUUCAUGAAAUCCAUUGCUAUAUCAGGGCAAGAAACUAGCUUGGUUACAGAUUAUGUACUUAAGGUACUUUACUUUACUUGUGCUUUUUCUAACAAAGUGAAAGAACAAUGUUUUGAGCUUAUCCCUGGUUAAUUUCACUUGACAGAUACUUGGUCUAGACAUUUGUGCUGACAUACUUGCUGGAGACGUAAUGAGAAGAGGUAUUUCUGGUGGACAGAAGAAGCGUCUAACAACAGGUAAGACUUUGAGUAUUAGUGUAUGUAAUACAUAUCUUCACUUUUCUAGAUGAUUCGUUACACUAUAUGAUCAUGACUCUUAUUUUAACUGAGCAGGAGAGAUGUUGGUAGGACCUGCGAGAGCUCUUUUUAUGGAUGAAAUAUCAACAGGGUUGGAUAGUUCCACAACAUUUCAAAUUUGCAAGUUCAUGAGGCAACUAGUUCAUAUCUCGGAUGUCACGAUGAUUAUUUCGCUUCUACAACCAGCACCAGAGACAUUCGAGCUUUUUGACGACAUUAUCUUGCUUUCCGAGGGCCAAAUUGUCUACCAAGGCCCACGGGACAACGUUCUUGAGUUCUUUGAAUACUUUGGUUUCCAAUGUCCUGAAAGAAAAGGGGUUGCAGACUUUCUACAAGAAGUUACGUCUAAGAAGGACCAAGAACAGUAUUGGAACAAGAGAGAACAACCUUAUAACUAUGUGUCCGUAAGUGAUUUUUCAAGCGGCUUUAGUACUUUCCACACCGGGCAGAAACUUACUUCAGAAUUCAGGGUUCCCUAUGACAAAGCUAAAACUCAUUCUGCUGCACUAGUCACACAAAAGUAUGGUAUAUCAAACUGGGAGCUCUUCAAAGCAUGCUUUGAUAGGGAAUGGUUGCUUAUGAAACGCAACUCCUUUGUGUAUGUGUUCAAGACCGUCCAGAUAACAAUCAUGUCUUUGAUUACCAUGACGGUCUAUCUUAGGACAGAAAUGCAUGUUGGUACCGUGCGAGAUGGUCAAAAGUUUUAUGGUGCUAUGUUUUUCAGCUUGAUCAAUGUUAUGUUUAAUGGACUAGCUGAACUAGCAUUCACAGUGAUGAGGCUCCCGGUGUUCUACAAGCAGAGGGACUUCUUGUUCUACCCUCCAUGGGCUUUUGCCUUACCUGCUUGGCUUCUGAAGAUUCCAUUAUCUCUUAUCGAAUCAGGAAUAUGGAUUGGUCUUACGUAUUAUACUAUCGGUUUUGCUCCUUCCGCUGCAAGGUACAGUUUCUUGCUUCUAGUGAAGAUCACUAAAGAACUUUUCUUAAUCGUCUUCUAUUUUCAUUUUCUUGAACUAACUAAACUUGUGUUACUAGGUUUUUCCGGCAGUUGCUAGCAUACUUCUGUGUGAAUCAGAUGGCCCUUUCUUUGUUUAGAUUCCUUGGAGCCAUUGGAAGAACAGAAGUAAUCUCUAACUCAAUCGGAACGUUCACAUUGCUAAUUGUAUUUACUCUUGGAGGCUUCAUUAUUGCUAAAGGUAAAGCAGAUGAUCCCUUGUUACGCAAGAAAGUUAAAAAAAAAAAAAAACAAUAAUACAUUUUUUCUUAGCUAUGAGAUUGUUAUGUGAAAACAUAUUUUAUAUUUUUGUUUCACAGAUGACAUUCGACCGUGGAUGACUUGGGCUUAUUAUAUGUCCCCUAUGAUGUAUGGACAGACUGCUAUUGUUAUGAAUGAAUUUCUCGAUGAGAGAUGGAGCAGUGUAAGAUUUCACCAAGUCCUUCUCUUGUUGACUUCUCUUUACCAAUUGUGAUGCAAAAUCUGUUAUGUUACAUGAUGCAGCCCAACUAUGAUACCCGCAUCAACGCGAAAACAGUUGGAGAAGUCCUACUAAAGAGCCGGGGCUUCUUUACGGAGCCAUACUGGUUUUGGAUAUGUAUUGUGGCACUACUUGGAUUUUCUUUGUUGUUCAAUCUCUUCUACAUACUAGCCUUGAUGUAUUUGAACCGUAAGUAAUCUUAUUUUUCGGCUAUUCUAGACUUUUGAAGAGAAUCAUUUUUUGUUGACAAGGUCUUGAAAAAAAUAUUUCUUCAGCUCUUGGUAACUCCAAAGCUACAGUUGUGGAAGAAGGUAAAGACAAACAAAAAGGGGAAAACCGUGGAACAGAAGGUGCAAUCUUUUAAUUCUUUUAUCUUUAGUUUAUGUGUCUUAGUUUCUGACUAAGCUUAGAAUUUGCAGGUUCUGUUGUGGAACUUAAUAGUUCUUCAAAUAAAGGGCCAAAGAGAGGAAUGGUUUUACCUUUUCAACCACUUUCUCUUGCAUUCAACAAUGUGAACUACUACGUUGAUAUGCCUUCAGUAAGUAACCAUGUCUCAUACUAUUUAGACUUCACCAAUUACGUAACAAAUGCGUUUUAAGUUUCAUUCGUUGUACCUUAAAAUAUUGCAGGAAAUGAAGGCGCAAGGAGUGGAAGGCGAUCGUCUUCAAUUACUAAGAGACGUUGGUGGAGCUUUCAGGCCAGGCAUAUUGACAGCAUUGGUUGGUGUCAGUGGUGCAGGUAAGACAACAUUAAUGGAUGUCUUAGCCGGUAGGAAAACUGGAGGGUACAUCGAAGGGAGUAUAAGCAUAUCUGGUUACCCAAAGAACCAAACAACAUUUGCUAGAGUCAGUGGUUACUGUGAACAAAAUGACAUCCAUUCUCCACAUGUUACCGUUUAUGAAUCCCUCAUCUAUUCAGCUUGGCUUCGUCUUUCCACCGAUAUAGACAUCAAAACACGAGAGGUAAGUAUAUUACUAUGCAAAACAAUUCACUGUUUUUUUCAUAAUCGCACGCAAGACUUUAUACACAAGUAACUUUUUUUUUUUUUUUUGUGAUUGGCAGCUGUUUGUUGAAGAAGUAAUGGAGUUGGUUGAGCUCAAACCUCUUAGAAACUCUAUAGUUGGCCUUCCUGGAGUAGAUGGUCUUUCAACCGAACAGAGGAAGAGGCUUACUAUUGCGGUUGAAUUGGUAGCUAACCCAUCAAUAAUCUUCAUGGAUGAACCAACAUCUGGUCUUGAUGCAAGAGCUGCCGCUAUUGUUAUGCGUACUGUUAGGAAUACCGUUGAUACAGGGAGGACUGUUGUCUGUACAAUUCACCAGCCUAGCAUCGACAUUUUCGAAUCAUUCGAUGAGGUUUGCCUCCAAAAAAUCACAGUUUUUGUCCCCAAAACAGAAUUUUUUUUUUUUAACAAAUCAUAUUUGGUCAUUGUAGCUUUUGUUGAUGAAACGUGGAGGCCAAGUUAUAUAUGCUGGAAGUCUAGGGCAUCACUCUCAGAAACUAGUUGAAUAUUUUGAGGUGAAUCAUCUGUUUGUUUCAUCUCUUAGUCAUAUAUAUCCGUGGAAUUAUCUAUAUCUAGAACGCUACUUGCAGGCUGUUGAAGGGGUUCCAAAGAUCAAUGACGGAUACAAUCCUGCGACGUGGAUGCUUGACGUUACUACUCCUUCAAUGGAGUCACAAAUGAGCCUGGACUUUGCUCAAAUAUUCUCCAACUCCUCUCUUUAUCGGUAUGCUAAAGAAAAUGCUGCUACUAAACCAGAGUGUUACUCUGUCCUUUUAAUACGAACUUGAUGUUCUUUCUCAGGAGAAAUCAAGAACUCAUCAAAGAUUUAAGUACUCCACCACCUGGAUCAAAGGAUGUCUACUUCAAAACAAAGUACGCGCAAUCGUUUUCUACUCAAACCAAAGCUUGCUUCUGGAAACAGUAUUGGUCAUAUUGGAGACAUCCUCAGUACAAUGCCAUUCGGUUUCUCAUGACAGUGGUCAUUGGCGUCUUGUUUGGUCUAAUUUUCUGGCAAAUAGGAACAAAAACGUAAGCCAUUUUUUUCCUCGCUUUGUUCAAUUUUUAAACCAUCAUCUUAUAGAAACAUGACUUAAACCAAAACAGAGAAAACGAACAAGACCUGAAUAAUUUCUUUGGAGCCAUGUACGCUGCUGUAUUGUUCCUCGGUGCCUUAAACGCUGCAACAGUUCAGCCCGCAAUUGCCAUUGAGCGAACGGUCUUUUACCGCGAAAAAGCCGCUGGAAUGUACUCCGCCAUUCCAUAUGCAAUUUCGCAGGUUAAAACCAUUCUCAUAAUUUUGUAUUUACUUGUUAUAUGAUUCUUUCCUAAAAUAUGGUUAAGCCACAAUCAGAACUAACCAAAAAUGUAUCUAAAAAUGGUGUAGGUAGCAGUGGAAAUCAUGUACAACACGAUACAAACCGGAGUUUACACGCUGAUUCUAUAUUCAAUGAUCGGAUGUAACUGGACUAUGGCCAAAUUCUUGUGGUUCUACUACUACAUGUUAACAAGCUUCAUCUACUUUACGCUAUACGGUAUGAUGCUUAUGGCCUUGACACCAAACUAUCAGAUUGCCGGAAUCUGCAUGUCCUUCUUCCUCAGUCUUUGGAACCUCUUCUCCGGUUUCCUCAUCCCCAGACCGGUAAAUUAAGCAACUUACACUUUGAUAAUAUCAACAAAAGUGUUUUAAGAGCUUAACUUUAGGUUUUUGUUUUGAUUAAAAAUGCAGCAAAUACCUAUAUGGUGGAGAUGGUACUACUGGGCAACACCUGUGGCUUGGACAUUGUAUGGACUCAUCACAUCUCAAGUAGGAGACAAGGAUUCAAUGGUGCACAUUAGUGGAAUCGGAGACAUAGAUCUCAAAACGUUGCUCAAAGAAGGAUUUGGGUUUGAACAUGACUUCUUACCAGUUGUAGCAGUUGUUCACAUCGCUUGGAUCUUACUCUUUCUCUUUGUCUUCGCCUAUGGUAUCAAGUUUCUCAACUUCCAAAGAAGGUGAAGAGAGAACCUUAAUAGAAAGAGUUUAAAUCUUUAUAGAAUAGUGUUGAAAGUUUAUGAAUUCAUGUAAAAUUUCUUUAGAAUGCACUUUUUGUUAAUUGUUUUGUCAUUUGAUUAUUAAUAAAACCAGCUUAAGUUAUUAUGAAAUUAUGAUUUUUCAUUUCCAAAAUUAGUACCCUUGAUAUGUCUAUAUUCCCAAGUGAUUAUUGUUUAUAUCUCUUAAAUAAAACGGCACCAGCUGCGAAUAGUGUGCAUCCAAGUGCAAUGCAUAGAACUCUUGGUUUGAGAUGAAUAAAGAGGUGAUGUUAUUGUUGCAGUGAAGGUCCAGAAAUGGAUGACCGCAAAUUUUGGGAUGAUUCCUACCCGAGAAGAGGAAACUAGUGGUGAUUUUCCAACACUAGAACAGAGCCUUACAACACUCAUGUUCUUUUUUUUACUUGAAUCACAAGAAAGAUGGUGGAAUAUAAAGACUAGAUAAAUAUUGGGAGAUAGUACAUGAUCGGUCCACCGUUGAACCAAUAUUAUCUAAAACGCCAUUCAAAUAUCUAAUACAAUAUUACAACAUUUUGUUUUCAUUUUGGAAUAGUCUAUUGAGAAAGAUAGGGAUCGAAUUGAGAGCCUGGCAAGAUGGAAGACCACCAGCCUACAAGGCAAUACAUUUGUGUGUAUUUAAACUCAAUUUAUAAAGCAAGAGCUAUAGAUCUGCGUGAUGUAUGAACGCAGCUUUCCGGUACUCUGCAAGUGCCCAUGGUGGGAAGAUGUCUUUGUAUGUAGAAUAGUGUAGCAUGCAUGUACUCAUAGACGCUCCUAAUAGUUCCUACACACAAAAAUAAACGGAGAAUAAGCUCAUAAUAUAUAAACACAUCUUUUGCUAAAGCAAGAGCAAAUUAAUUGCUCUUUUGCAAUCACCAAAGGUUCUAACAUUAACAUAUUGAUCAAUGUUUUUAUCAAAGAAGAUGCAUGUCUGAAUUUAAAAUUACCUGUUGAGGAAAAUCUCCGUUUUCCAGUUGCGACGUGAUAAUAAAUUUUGCAGCACUAUGUAGAGGUAUAAGAUCUCUCUUAGCCUGUUGUAUACAUUGCAUACAUAUAUAUUUUUAUAUAUGAACCAGAAGAAAUUAAAUGAUAGGUUUCAAGACACUUUGUUACGUUGUACUUGACAAAAAUGCAAAUGUAAGAUUGAAAAUGUUUGAACCUGUCCAGCGUGAAUCAGAGCCAUCAUAGCCCACGCGGUUUGCACUACGUUUGAUCUAUUCCCCUCUAAUGGUAUGUAUCUCUGCAUACAAAACAUAUUAUAAGGCUUAAAACUUUUUCAAAAUUUAAGAAAAUAAAAUCGAUAUACUAGGAUUUCGCGUUGAUACAUAAAAAUACCUGUUCAGGGCAUGACAUAUAGCUUUCACCCCAACCCCCAUCUUCAUUUUGUAUAUUAAGAAGGAAAUGUACACCGUCGCGCAUAGAUAGACAAUUGUUGUAUGUCUUACCAAUCGCUGCUAGGCCGCAAAGAGCAAACCAUGUCCCAUAAGUGAAACAAAUACCCCAGCUUCCGUACCUACCAUUACUCAAAACAUAUUUGAUUUUGUCAAAGAUUUUAGGAACGACAUUCAUUAAACAUUUCUUAUUUCUUAACCAUAUUAAAGUAGCCUACCAUGAACCAUCUCGCAAUUGUUUGCUUUCUAUGAAUUGCACUGCUUUCUCAAUCGACUUAGUGAUCUCUUUUGUCCUAUGAUCCGGAUAUAGUUGAUUGAAUAUAACCAAAGCUUGUAACACAGCUGAGGUACAUUCUGUAUAUUCACGCUCGGUCAUAGCAUUAGCAAACAAAUCUGUGGGAUUCAUCAACUGCAACACCAGUACUUACAAAGGUUACUUUAAGAUUUUAUAAAGAAUUGUGUUCUAUCUCAACUUCGCAAUAAAAAAAAUAUGUGUUUUAGAUCUUACUUCCAUCCAUUUAUAGGCGCGAACAGGUUCCCAUGCAGUAAAACCUCCAUUUUCACUCUACAUUAGAUAAAGCAAUCGUCAUGAAUGUUAUUUGUAGGUUGUAAUUUCAAGGCUUAAUUAUAUUUAAAAAAAAUUUAACUCACUUGUAGAGAUAACAUGAGAUUAACAGAAUCGUAUAGUUGUUCAAGAUUGAUUUUCUCUCCAGUGAUAUCAGUUGGCAUUGUGGAAAGCAACAUGCAACACUACAAAAGCAAAGGAAGUACAAGUUUACUUGAGGUAAAAAUCUUAUGGAAACUAUAGCUGACUAGUUCACAACUAAUUUGAUUACCUUAGCAGCUUCAGCUGUACAAUCUGAAACUUGCCAUCCAUGAUCUCGAUCAGAAAGAGUCCAUCCUCCUUUGGAGAUGUGGCGGUACAUGCUCUUGAAGUCACCUGAUGGGUUGUCUCUAACCUACAAACUUAUUUGAAUUAGAAACAUUCAAUUGUUCCAUAGCGCAAUGUUAAGAUACUAACAAGGUUAUCAAACCUGUGAUUUCUUUAUGUAAUCGUGUGCUCUCCUGAGCACGUCAUAGGUUUCAUCGCGUGGAUCACUUGCUAGUAAAGCCUGAACUGCAAAUCCCGUCAUCCAAAGUUGACUUCCAAAGCACUGCACAAAUUUUGAUAUCUUAAGUAACUUUUUCUACUAGAGUACGUAAGUAAAACUAUCUAGUGUCUUAUAAAGUCGUUUUUAAUUAAUUAGUACGAAGUUUUGGGCCUAGACCCGUACAUCCUCUCUAAAUUGAGACCGGAUCAUUUAAUAUAAUUUCCUCCCAAGUGCCUUAUAUAGGACUUGUAUAAGAUAUCUUUUGUGGUGACUUGUAGUCAUGAUGAGUAUAGGUUCAUAUCAGAGUAUAAAAUGCAUAUGUUAUGUUAAUAUUUCUAUUAGAACCUGCAUUUUCAUUCCAUCUUCAGCUACCCACAUCAUGUCCGGAAUUCUAGAGAGAUGCUUUUUAAAGUGAUUCCCGUCCGGGUUGUCAAUCCAGCAAGCAAGCAUGCACAAAUUCUGCGUAUAGUUUUCAACAUAUAAACCUCUUUUGAGAGACUACAAAUGUCUAUAAUUUUAAUUAGGUUUGAAAAAUGUUUUACCUUUUCAAUACAUCCAAUGGUGAUAUAGUGACUGUUUUCGUCCUCGUAAUGUAUGUGUUUCAUUGCCACCUGAAGAGCCUUUUUCCUUACAAGUUUGUUUAUCGGCCAACUUGCAAGCAAAGGCUCCACGAAGGUGUGGAGAGCAUCCCAUAUCAAAUCUUGAACUAGAGGAUGGGGAUAGUACUUGUCUUCCUACAUGGGUAAAUGAUGUAAUGGUUGCAUAUUCUUCAAAUGAUAGAGUAAAUUUGAAACCAUACCUUUGCGCAUAGAUGUCGCGCUUUGUUCCAGUUGAUUUCUUCAUAAGGUUGUAAGUGUAGUUCUUCACGUAGUUGCAUAAUAAGAGGUGUAAUUUGACCCACGAAUUUUUUGCCAUAUAGAUAAGAGAUGGGCAUAUAUGUUAUCCGGGUAUAGCUAAAAGCUUUCCCUGUAUAAUAUUUGCGUCAAUGCAUAACAUUUUAAAACAAUAAUACACACUCACACGAAUAGUUCUGUUCUAGUUUCAAGUUGAUUCAUAUAGUAACAAACCUAGGUGAAUUGGUAGGAAAUAAGGUAGCAACCAAAUCUCGGGAGGCAUCGGGUUGACUCCAGACCAAUCAUAGAUUCCAAGUACCUACAUAUAUAAAUAUGAACGUUGAUGGUAAUCCUACAAGUUUCAACAUCUCUAAGCUAUAAAUUAACUUAUGCUCCAAAAGAUUCACCGAGAGCCAAACUUUUCCCCAACAAGGAAUAUAAAUCACACCGCCAUGGCUAAGAAUCCAUUGCCUGGCCCGUUUGCAUGCGUUUUCUAGUCCUCCAUCGGGACCUACUCCAAGUAUACGCAAGCAUAUGUAAUUCAGCGUGGUAGUGAACAUAAUGCUUUUGCUCUCAAUGUGGAAUCCCCAUCCACCAUCUUCGUUCUGAAAAUUAGGGACAUAAACACAUGUAAUUCAUAUGGAGAUCACUAGUCGAAGUUACUCAUUGAUAUCCAAACCGUGUAAUUUGUCAUUUUAAAGUAUACCUGGUGACAAUAGAUAUAUCGAAGCAUCUCUUUGCGAUGCUCUGCAUCGAAUACCUCUUCCAAGUGUCCAGUAAUGUACAAACAAAAUACCUGCACAAAGUUUUAUUCAUUUCGUUAUUUCUCCUUUUUCCUUUUCUUUUUUUUUUUUCAACAACACAGAUUUUAAAACUAACAUACACCAGUAGGCUUAUACAAAUAUAAAUCUCUGAUUUUAUUUUUAUAAAGAAAGUAGAUCUUUGGGCUUUAUAUUUUAUAUGGGUUUCGGGUACCGAGUGAGGUUUAACCCCUUUAAUAUCCCUAUUUGAAAGUAUCCCAGACACAUAAAAUUUUCGAAACUGAUAGUAGCAAAGAAGAAACAUACCAAUGGCGGAAGCAUGCAGAGCGGUCCGGUGAACUCUCCCGGCCAGUGGCCGUCGGAGGCUUGCAAAGCUGAUAAGAAAGCAACUCCUCGCCGUAAUGCAUUUGUCGCUUUUUCAUAAGUUAUGGCUUCCCCACCGUCAAUUUUUACCGGCGGAAUCACUUGCUCAAAUUUUGCCUCUUUUAGAAACUGUGGACAUGAUCACCCAGACGGAAAAGGACCAAUACGAUUAAGUUGAUGAGUUUGAACUUUAAUCUAUUUCUAUAAUAAGAAAGAUUAAAAUUUAUCCUAGUAAAGUUAUUUUAGUCUUAUAGCAUUUUGUCAUAGUGCAUACUAAUUAAACUUCUUAAAUCCUUUAUUUUUUAAACAGCCUGGUUAAGUAACAUUCGCUUUUCUUUUGUGAUAACUUUUAUUUUGAUGAAAAUAUUCAGAAUUUUUUUUUUGAUUUUGAUAAACUAAAAAUGGUGAUAGACUUUAAUGGAACCUACCAAAUUACAAUUUCUGACUCGAAAAAAACAAUAUGGUCUAUACAUUUAAUUAUUAUUUUCAUGUUCGAUAUAUAAAUCUUACUGAUGGAAGAAAACUUACUUGCAUUUUCCACAAUAGAUCACUGGAAGGUUUAACACGAGAACGGUUGUCGAAGAAACUCCGGCGAGCUUCUUCGACUGCGGUUCGUUCCUCCCGUGUGCCGGCUUUGGGGUCAAACUCCCAUGUUUGACGUCCCACGAAGUUGUUGCUGCUGAAUAAAUAAGGAUCUUUUCCUUUUCCUUCUCCUACCUUUAACCUCCACAUGAUGAUUAUCCUAUGAAUUGGUGAGUUUAGAGUUUCAUACAAAUGAUAGCCUGAUGAUAUAUAGAUAAAUUAGUAAAAGAGUUCUUAUCUAACAAAGAUAAAAUAGGGGUGAGAAGGGAAGUACUUUUGCUGGAAAUAUUUCACUUCACGAUUGAUAAUUAUAUACUUUUGAAGAGUUUGAAGCACGUAUGUAUAUAUAGAGACUAAAGACGGAUAAUAAUAAUAAUAUAUGGGAUUUUUAAUUAAUUAAAGAACUUGUGGAAAAACAUUUAAAAAAAAAAAAAAAUAGAACAAUUUUACGGCAGUGUAACGAUUUGGUCAUGUUUUAAGAACCGCAAUAGAACAAUUCACCAAGCCUUUACGAGAGCAGUUACACACGGUUUCAAAUUGUUUCAAAAGUUUUUCUAAACAACUGAAAAUACGGAACUGGUUAAUUUUAUUGAUUUAUACAAUUAUACAUAUGUAAAAUUAUUUGGAGCAUUUGAAGUAUUUGGAACAAUAGUCAAAAUUUGACAAUUAUUUCGUGACAUUGCACUUAUUAGGCUGUACGUACAUUCAUUUUUGUUUCGUUCACCAUUUGUUCCACACCGUUUAUUUGCUUAUCCCGCAGUAAUCAAUUAAUCAUACUAGUCUUUGGUUCUCGGUUCGGCAACCAAUUGGGUUUUCAGUUAUAUUUGUUUCUCAUUUCUUACUCGGUUUCAACCAAAAAAAAAAAUCAAACUGACCGAUCUAACCAGCUAACCAAAAUCCAAAUAAACCGCGAUAACCGAGAUACACCGUUAAUUGGUAAAGAUAUUAUAACCUACAGUCAAAUCAAUUAUUUCAUGCCAUGAAUUGUUUGUAAAUGUUUUCUUUCAAAUUGUUUUGUCUGGUAGUUCGGUUGCAAAUGUAAAUUAUUUGUUCGGUUGCAAAUGUAAAUCCCACCAAAUUGUUUUGUCAGGUUGUUCGGUUGCAAAUGUAAAUUAUUUGUUCGGUUGCAAAUGUUAAGUCCCACCAAUUUAAAGUUGUUCGGUUGCAAAUGUAAAUUAUUAUAUAUUUUUUGGAAAUGUUCUUACUUUGCAAACUGUCUAAAUGGUAAACACUUUUGCAUCUGAUUAUUAAUAAUAUUAAGUACUAAUAAAUGAUUAUGGUUAUGGUAAUAACACUCAUAAUAAAUCUUGUAUUAAUGCAUAGCAUGGGGAAAACAAAAUGCUUUGAAUAGUCAUGUGAUGAAAAUCCCUUUGCUUGAGUGGGCUGGUGCAUUGAUGUGUUUAAACAACUUUUGACUUAGUCUCUAAUGUGUUUUUAGUGAGUUAAUAUGAAUGCAAAACUUUGAAGUACUAUAAAUGAUUAUGGUUAUGGUGACACUUAUCAUUAAUAUUGUGUUAAUGCAUUGCAUGGGAAUAGUAAAAUGCUUUGAAUAGUCACGUGAUGAAAAUGUAUAGUCACGUUCAUCUCUAUUGAUAAAUGAUAUUACUCAAAUUAGUCGUAAAUUUUACUUUUGCUGAAAACUAGUCUUCAAUUUUUUAACUACUAGUUUCAAUCAAAGCUUAUUAAAAGAUGAUAUUAAAUAUAUUAUAUUUUUGUGAUUUACUAAAUUUCUAUAUUUUAAAACUAGUAGUAUUUAAUUGUUAUUUUUUGAAAUUUACAAUUAAACAAUAAUCACUAUUAACUAUUAUUGGCUAUUGCAUAUAAAUUUUUAAAUAUCUAUCUUUUUAAAACAAUUUGUUUUCCUGGAAAUACAAUAAUAAGGAACAAAGGAAGUAUUUAGCAUGUACUCAAUGAGAUUUAAGUUUCUACUAUCUAGUUUUUAUGGGAGUAUUUAGCAUAUACUCAAUGGUUUUCUAGUUUCAGGUUCUUGUUUCAACUACUACUUAAGGUCAUUUUGUAUAUGAAAUUCGAUCUUAAGUAACAAAAAGUAAUGCUCGUUCCCAAAACUGUUGUCAAAUUUACAUAAUGUGUAUUCAUUAUUCAAAAUAUUUCACCUGCCUCCACUAACCUCCAAGUUUUCUUCAUUCACCGUUAUUAAAGCCAGACGACUCAUAGGCAUUGGCUUCUAUGUGGGUAAAUCUCAACACAGUAAAAAGAAAGGGGAAAGAACAAACGUUUAUUGAUCUUUGGAGAUAAACUCGACUAUUACAAGAUGUUUUGGAAACGUGAAAGAUUCAUAUAAAAUAAAAUAAAUAAAAAUAUUAAUAAAGAGAGAAACAAGACCUGAAUAAUUUCUUUGGAGCCAUGUACGCACAAGGAAGGUUGUGGAAUAACGAGAAGAGGAAGAAAAAGACCAGAAAAGAAGUGGAGAGAGAGUACAUGAUUUGUUUGAGAUCUCUGAACAGUAAUAUCUUGCGUUAAGAGGAAACAAAAACAGAGGGAGAGAGUGAUCGUUAAGGUGAAAGUGGUAAUGGUGAAGGACCUAGUCAUGGAAAGAUUAGUAACCGUGGAGUCUUGUAAUCAUGUCUUUAUUAGUUGACCCCCAAAAAUACGAAAUGGAGUGAGAAAUAAAUUUGAUCCUUUUUGUUGGAAACAUACAAUACUAUCUCUUAUCUCGUAAAAAUCUGUGUCUUCAUCUAUUAGAUGACCAAAGAGGGUUUAGGGGACUUGUAAAGUCAAUAAUUUGAUCAACUAAAUUGGUGAAUCACGUAAUCAUAACCUUGUGCGUCAAACAGGUGAAAUCAUACUAUUAUAUAUGGUGCUUAAAUUGAUGAAUCAAAAUAAUUUUGUGAAAAAUUGUAUAGCUUUGGGUAAAUAAAUAUCUUUAAUAUUUGAAGUUAGGUCGGCUUGUAAGGGGUCUAUGUAAGGGUCUCUUAUGAAUUAUGAUCAAUAAGAAACCAACUUCCAAGAAGUAACAUUAAUCUCCAAGAGAGACUAGGGUUAAGAGAUGAAGUUUGCUUACAUAGUUAUCUCUUUUUCAUGUUAAACAACGGCUACUAUUACGAGAUCGAAGUCUAAAGCUUUUUGGCUCAUAUCAACAGUAACCAAAUGACAUAUAUAAAACAAAAAUGUAAACAUGCACACAUAUAAACUCUACUCUCUCUCACACAAGGAAAUCUUUAUGAGGGUGGAAGACAUUAUAAACAGUGAAGAGAUGUGAUAUAGCGUUGAUCAUAGAAGUAGAAGAGAGAGGAAAAAAACAGAGAGGAGAAGAGAUAGCUUAAGUCGGGUUUGUCCGCUAGGUGCUUGAGCAAUGGUUGAGGGAGUUCCAGGGGUUGAGGUUGGAGCUUUUGCUAUAACCGGAGAUAGUGGUGGCUCAGUGACAUCAGCCUCUAUGAAAUCCUGGUUUGGAGCUUGUGCUGGAGGUAAGGACAGAGGACUCAUAACGUUUAAGAGGCCACCGGGGUUAACUGGUAACAUGUAAGGUGGUACUUCUUCUCUACCCAAACAUCGAUUCCCUGCAAAAGAUAAACAAAGUUAGGCAUUGGUAUUGAUCAUUUUGUGUUGUGAGACCUUUUGGUGCAAGGGAACUCUGUGAUGGUUCUAUGAACCACUUACUUUUGUAUCUUGCAGCUGUGAAAGGGAACUCUGUGAUGGUUCCAUUGAUACCAGCUCCAUAGAUAUAUGCGUUUAUCUCUACGGUUGCAUCAGAGAAGAAGUCAUAUGCUUGAGAGACAAACUCAUUCCUAAACAGUUCUACAUAAACCGGGAGCUGAGACUUCUGCAACCUCUCCACAACAUUGGUUUGGCCAGUGAGAAACGAAUCAGAGUUAGGAAAGACUGAAUCUUUGUUGAUGACAACAGCGUUAGCGAACUUCUUUAUGUCUUCGAUGGCCGAGUCACGAAUAUUACCAAUGGUUUCUUCAAUUUUGUACACAGUCUCGUACUUGCUCUGCUUCUUGAAGUCAACUAGAACCGAGCUGUUCGUAGACUGAAUCAUGACCUUUGUUGUGGUUGUUCCAUUGCUGUAACCAGCUUCGGUGAGUGUAUCGAGAACCGCUUGAACCACGUCAAGCCCUUGCUUCUCUCUCAAGUAUGCUGCAUUCUGGGGGAAACAAAAAAAAAAACAUAGAUGAUAUAACGGUCGGAUUGAUAGACUAAGAGGUACACAAGAACUCACCUCUACACUGAUCAAAACACCGGAGAGAGAAGUGUAAGUUUUUGCCAAGUCUAGGAAUUGAGAAAGGGAAAUGAGCUUCCCUGAAUUUUUCUCUCUCGGAUUCCUAAAAAUUCUAUAAACCCUGAAGGGGUUUGAAAUAGCAGCUGCACAAAAAGAUAAGAGAGUAGUUAUUUCAACUCCAAGUUAUGUAAUCUCAAAAGUGGCCAGUAAUUUUGACCACAUCAUAUACAACCUAGGAGAAUGUCAAAUUGUUACUGAUAUGUAACCUCUUUAAGUUAAGUAGGACUAGAAACAAGGUUCUCUGAUUAGUUACUAUAAAUAGUAGCAACAAGAGUGUGCAUUUGUGUGAAGCAAUUUGGAAAAUUUGAAGGGAAACUUACGAGUCAAGCUCUGGAUCUCAGGCCAUGUGAGACUAAAAGUGAAUAUUCCAGGAACUGAGCUAAUCUCAGGAACAGAAGUUGAGCGGUUACUAAAAGUAUUUUGAAGGGCCGCUAUGCUAUUCCGGAGAUCAAUCGAUCUUAAGCAAAAGGGUACACCGUCGCUAGACAUUUGGACUGAGCAAUCGAUAACAUCAGCACCAUCUUUGAUUGCCUUCUCAUAUGCCAAGUCUGUACAUCCAGGAUAGUCCCCACUCGCACCAUCUUUUGAUAUAACAAGAAAAUCCACUGAGACAUGAACCAUUGGUACAUGAUAAAGUUAAUUAUAAGUUUCUUCUUUUUUGUUAGUAAGAGCAGAAACAAAAUGUGAAGUAUUAAUACUCUCAUUACCUUGUUUUGUAGCGUUUCGGCCAAUGUGGGAGAAGCAGUCUGAGGAAAAUAUGAAAAGAAGAUAUUUGAUUUUUAUGUUUUAGAGACAAAUUAAAAUAGUGUUUGUAGAAGAGAUUUUGCUUACCAACGGCCGCAGAUGCAGUGAUAGGAAAAUCAGAGAGCACACCAUCGACAGAGAAAUCUCCAUUGUCCACAAAAGAUAGAUACUCGGACACUGGAUCGGAACUGUAGUUAUAUGCAAUAUCAACGUCAUUUGCGAAACCUGAAACAUAUACUUGUAAUCCUGCUUUGUGAGCAUCUUGAACUAAGGAUGUAUGUGGAACCAAGUACUGUUCGUCAUCAAGUGGCAAUAUGUAAGACUUUGGAACAAGAAUCCCUGAAGCAAACGUCUUGACAAAGGUUAGGUUACUCAAGAUAGAACCGUAUGUUCGGUUUGUUGUCGGCUCGAAAUCUUCUUUCCCAAGAAACUGGAACACAAAAGUCGGUCCGUUACGCCCAAAACUGCCAGUAAUUUUCUUAAAGAAGUUCACUUCAGGGGAAGAUAUGAAGUCAAUGGAAACAGUUCUUGAAACUGAUAACAGAAAACUGCUCAUGCUCAGAUUCUGUUGCUCAUAGAACGCAUCGUGCUGAACAUUUAACCAAAAACCUUCUCGAUUUAGUGUGGUUACUACAUCUUCAAUCGUCGAAAUCAGAUAUCCAUUUCCAUCGAAUCUAUCGGUUCGUGAAAGUAUUCCUCGGAUCACUAUGGUAAAAAGAAAAACUAUAUGUGAGAAGUUACAAGAAAAACAAAACUUAUUUCUGUAAGUUGUAACACACUACAAAGGCACUAACUGAAUCUUGAUUAAACACUUACAUAAAAAAUUCUGGAGCUCUGUCAAGGAGAAAUCAUUGGGGAACCAACCCUUAGUAGUGACUCCAUUAACAGAGUAAGAUUUUUCACGAUUUGGGUAAACACGAUCAAUAGUUGAAGCAUUGGCCAGAUUUAAAUCAGGGAAGCAAAUCCCAAGCCCAUCUUUUGUUAGCUGCAAAUCACACCAUAGAACAACAUCGGCUACACUUGUCAGGGUUGCAAGUUGAUAAGCAGCGAUACUCGAAUCUGGAUACAAUCCAGAGAACCCACCACGAGCAAUCACCAGUGGAGCAUCACCUAGUAAAUAAAUAAAUUAAGUAAUUGGAAGUUGUUUUAAUACUUGUGUAAGUAUAUAUGCUUACAUAAUCAAAGUAAUUAUUGGAGUUUAAUAACUGUUCUCCUGAAAUCAAUGCGAAGUUAAUUAAUUAUGCCAACUUCUACUACACAUAUGGAUAAAGAAAGAAAGUACUACUUGAGUACUACUGAUACAUAAGUUCUCUUGUUUUCUUGGAAACAAUGCACAAAAGAAAGAGAUAAAGUGAGAGCAACUCUCACCAUUGAGCGUCUGCCAUCGACUUGUUGAUCUUUGAGCAUCAAUUUGAGCAGCAAAAAGAUGAAUGAGAACAACACCACAGAAUAAAAGCGUUGAAGAUCGUAUUACGAGCUUUGUCGGAUUACUUGGCCUGGAAUUCAUCGGUAUGUUUUCUGUUUUAUUUUUGAAUGCAUAAGCAUUGAACACGUAGAGGAGAAGUACAGAGAGACUCGAGAGCUUUUUUUUUAUCAACUGGCUUUAUUAGUUGACUCAUAGACUCAUAGUGAACAAAUGGAGAGAGAGUCAAGAACAAUAAUCAUAGUGGACCAAUACAAAGAGAUAAACCAGCCUUUUUCGAAGGAUUUAUCAGCCUUUUUUCUUCGAAGGAUUUAUUAGUUGACUCAGAAAGACUAGUCUCUUCAUUAAGUUAUUUAAUUAUAUGCCAAAACACACAAAAUAGAGAUAGAGAAUGAAGAAAAGGUGGUGAAGAAAAAGAACACAGUAAUAGUAAUGGUCAUUUGCUAGAUCAACUAUGAUAUAUAAUCUUGUCCUUCAUUUUUUUAUCACUGUUUUGUAAAACCUUUGUUUAUAGUAGAAAUUAUCAAGAAUGUGCAGUUUUCACCUAAACGUCUAUUCUCCGAAAAUGAGUUAAAACAUGGAAAAGAAUCUUUAGUGGGCCUUGGGCAUUUGUGGGACUGAGAUAGGUGACUUGCCGGUAAACCAACACCAUACUAUCUCCUACAUCUUUUUAUCUUCAUCCUUUAUAGCUGACCGAAGAGGCUUUAGGAGACUUGAAAAGUCAAUAAAUUUAUCAGCUCUUUACGGCUACAGUUAUUCACUUAUAUAUCAAACGGUCCAGUUUCUCUCCAAACUAAAUUAAACGGUCAACCAAUACCAUACUAUCUCUUAUCUUCUAAAUCAUUUUAUCUUCAUCCUUUAAUGCUGACCAAAGAGGGUUUUGUUAUGGACUUUAAUAGACAAGAAGGAUUUAAGCAAAAACUUCCCUUUAACCCAAGUCUUUCUUAGAGAAUUAGGUUAAUUGUUGGAGCUUCCUAUAUUUUAUAUAGGCCAUGAUACAACUUAUACUCUAACCUAAACGUAAAAAGAAAGCACUUAAACAUUGAAAGGAAAUUAUGAAAACCAAACUCAUAAAAAAACCACAGAAGCUAAUUAAUUAAUUAAAAAAAAAAGUUAAUUAAGCCGUCCUACCGUGGCCUAAUCAAUCUAACAAUAGUCUCAUAUCAGGUUUAAGAGACUUGCAAAGAUAAUGAAGUAAUUUCUCUUAUGGUUUUAAAAGAAAAAUAAAAGUCUAUUGUGAGAGUUAUUUGUAGAUAAAACUUAAAGCCCUGAUCUCAUCUUUGGGUGAAACGCCUCAAAGGUUUUAUCGCGAUAGAAAUCUUUAUUAAAAAGUUUAACAUAGUCAAAAAAACUCAAGCAACUGCUCUGGUUUGGCACAAGAUGAUUUGAUUUUCUUGCUCUGUUUUCUAUUAAGAACUUCAAACAAGGAUGCAUUUUUUGUAAAAAUGUUUUUGGAUGAAUACAAUUUUUUACAUUCAUUAAAAUAUAUAUAUAUAUAUAUAUAUAUGUGAUUUUUGAUAAAUGCGUAGCUAUUUAGUGCUUUGAUAGGUUCAAUGGUAGCUUCUUGGAUCAUCCUUCUGUGUAGACAGAGACAUCCUCUGAAAGAAUAGAAGAUUCAUGAAGAUUUGAUAUGGGGAUUUGCUGCAAAACAGGCCUAGGAGGGACUUCAAGAGCUUCCAAGCUUCCUUCCAUCAUCUCCACAACUCUGUUCAUCGCAGGACGAUCUACCGGAGAAGGCUGAAUACACCACAAACCCACCAAUGUCAUCUUCUUUGCAAGCUCAUCUUCUUCGCUGUUAAUUCCAUCCUCAAUAUGCCUUCCAGACUUGCAUGAUUCAAGAUCCCUAUAUACCCAUUCAGGAAAGUACAUUGAACUUGUGUUAGAAGCACAUGCUUGAUUUGCUUUCUCUUUGUUUCUUGCACCAAUUAUCUCAAGGACUAACAUUCCAUAGCUAUACACAUCUGACUUGUGUGACACAUUCCCAUAAACUCUCGAGAUCAUCUCUGGUGCAAUGUACCCUAUGGUACCUCUUGUGUCCAGCAUAGACAAGAUGCUCUCUUUCUUCUCACAGAGUUUAGCGAGGCCAAAGUCCGAAACUUUGGGACAAAAACUGUCAUCCAAGAGUACAUUUUGUGGUUUAAUGUCGAAAUGUACUAUCCUUGUUUUGCAGCUAUGGUGCAGGUACUCUAAACCAUGAGCAACUCCUAAAGCAAUUCUAUAUAGUGCCGUCCAAUCCAUAUUCACGGAGGUCUUGCCUAAUAUAAACUUAUCAAGUGACCCAUUUUCCAAAAACUCAUAUAUAAUUGCCCUUUUGGAACCUUCAGAGCAGAAACCAAGCAAGGAAACAAUGUUGAGAUGAGAAGUUCUGCUCAUGGUCGCAACUUCAUUGAUGAAGUCUUCACCAUUACCUUUUGUGUCUUUCAAGACCUUCACCGCAACCACCCGGCCAUCACUAAGUGUUCCUUUAUAAACAAUUCCAAAUCCUCCUCUCCCAACAACUUCCGCAAAUGACUUUGUAAUUCUCUUCACUUGUGCAUAAGUAUAGUGUUCGAGUGGAAUAAGAGCCUUCAGCUUCUGUUGUCUCAGCCGUGUUUCUCUCUUUCGGUGAAAACAGAAAACUAAUGUUAAUAAGACCAGGAACAAUACAACUCCGGCUACUGACCAUGAAACUACAAAAAAAAUUGAGAAAUGUUUUAUUAAGUACCUUCGUUUUUAAUCUUGGAAAAAAAAAUCAGUAUAAAAUUUCUCAGGCCAGCAUAACUCACCUAUGCGAAUUACUUUGAGAAAAUUUCCUGUACAACCAUUCAACAAAAAGAAAUUGUCAGAAUGGAACCAAACUUGAUCUAGAAGCAAAAGAAAAGUAAUGAACAAACUUAGAGGUUUUGCAAUGGUUGAUGGUGUUCCAAGAGUUGAGGUUGGGGAUUUUGCUAUAACUGGAGGUAGUGGUGGCUCAGUGACAUCAUCGUGUGUGAAAAUCGGGUUUGGAUCUUGGGCUGGAGGUAAGGAUGAAGUACUUAUGAGCGUUAAGACGCCACCGGGGUUAACAGGUAACAUGUAAGGUGGUACUUCUUCUCUUCCCAAACAUCGAUUCCCUGCAGAUAAUAAACAAAGUUAGUCAUUGAUGUUAAUAAUUUUGUGUUGUGAGACCUUUUGAUGCAAAUUUUCUGUCACUUACUUUUAUAUCUUGCAGCUGUAUAAGGGAACUCUGUGAUGGUUCCAUUGAUACCGGCUCCAAAGAUAUAUGCAUUUAUCUCAACAGUUUCAUCUGCGAAGAAGUCAAAUGGUUGAGAGACAAACUCAUUCUGAAAUAGUUCCACAUAAACCGGGAGCUGAAACUUCUGCAACCUCUCCAAAACAUUUGUUGUUUGUCCAGUGAGAAACGAAUCAGAGUUAGGAAAAACAGAAGCUUUGUUGAUUACAACAGCGUUAGCGAAUUUCUUUAUGUCUUCGAUGGCCGAGUCAGUAAUAUUACCAAUGGUUUCUUUAAUUUUGUAGACAGUCUUGUACGUGCUCUGAUUCUUGAAGUCAACUAGAACCAAUCUGGUCGUAGACUGAAUCAUGACCUUUAAUGUUCCAACGAUGUAACCAGUUUCCGUGAGUCUAUUAAGAACUACUUUAACUACGUCGAGUCCUUUCUUCUCUCUUAGGUAUACUACAUUCUGAAGGACGACACAAUAUAGUAGUGUGGUCAUUAAAAGAUAUUAUAACUGUGUGAUUGAUAAAAUCUCAAGAUUAAGAGGUACAUGAUAACUCACCUCUAGACUGAUCAAAAUACCGGAUAGAGAAGUGGAGUUUUUUGCCAAGUUUAGGAAUUCAUAGAGUGAAAUAAGGUUCCCAGAAUUUCUCUCAUUCGGAUUCCUCGACAUACCGUUCUCCCUAAAAGGGUUUGAAAUCGCAGCUGCACAAAAAGAUGGAAGAAUGGUUAUUGUAACUUUGACCACAACAUAUCAAGCUAGGAGGAUGUAAAUUGUUACUAAACACAUAUUUGUAUCUAUACGUAAAACCUCUUGAAGUUUAGUAGGAGUAGAAACAAAAGCUCUCGUACGAGUUACUAUAAUUAAUGUAAACAAUGAUAUUUUUUUAGUGUGAAUAAAUUUAACAUUCAUUCAAAAUAUAAAAAAAAAAAUAGACUAGCAUUUGUCUGAAGCAAGUGGAAAAUUUGAAGGGAAACUUACGAGUCAAACUCUGGAUCUCAUGCCAUGUGAGACUAAAAGUAAAUAUUCCAGCAACUGAGCUAAUCUCAGGAACGAUUAUGGAACGGUUUCUGAGAUGAGUUUGGCCGACCGUUGUGCUGUUCACGAGAUCUAUCGAACUUGAGCAAAAGGGAAUACCGUCGCUAGACAUUUGAACUGGGCAAUCAAUAACAUCAGAACCAUCUUUGAUUGCCUUCUCAUAUGCCAAUUUUGUACAUCCAGGAUACUCCCCACUUGCACCAUUUUUUGAUAUAACAAGAAAAUCCACUGAGGCACGCACCAUUGGUAGAUGGUAAUGUUUUUGUUCUAUUAGUAAGAACAGAAAAGAAAUGUAAAGCAAAUUACACUCAUUACCUUGUUUUGUAGCGUUUCUGCCAAUGUGGGAGAAGCAGUCUGAAGAAAUACAAAAAUAAAAUGUUUGAUUUUGAGUAUUACAAGUAAUGUAUUAAGAAAUAAUAUUUUGUCUGUAGAAGAUAAUUUUCUUACCAACAGAUGCAGAUGCAGUUAAAGGAAAAUCAGAGAGCAUACCAUCAACAGAAAAAUUGCCAUUGUCAACAAAAGAUAGAUAUUCAGAAACUGGAUCCCAACUGUAGUUAUAUGCAAUAUCAACAUCAUUUGCAAAACCUGACGCAUAUAGUUUUAGCCCUGCUUUGUGAGCAUCUUGAACUAAGGAUGUAUGAGGAAGCAAGUACUGCUUGUCAUCGAGGGGCAAUAUGUAAGAUUUGGGUACAAGAAUCCCUGAAGCAAACGUCUUGACAAAACUUAGGUUACUCAAGAUAGAACCGUAUGUUCGAUUUGUUGUCGGCUCGAAAUCUUCUUUCCCCAUAAACUGGAACACAAAACUCGGUCCAUUAUUCCCGAAACCGCCAGCAAUUUUCCUAAAGAAAUUUACUUCAGGGGAAGAGAUGAAGUCAAUGGAAACAGUUCUUGAAGUUGAUAAAAGAAAACUACUCAUGCUAAGAUUAUGCUGCUCAUAGAACUCAUCAUGCUGAACAUUUAACCAGAAUAAUGCUGGUUUCAUCUGCGUGGCUACAUUUUGAACCGUUGAAAUCGAGUAUCCAUUUUCAUCAAAUUUUCCUGAUCGUGAUAAUAUUCCUCGGAUCACUAAGGUAAGAAACAAAAAAAAAAAAAAUUGUGAGAAGUUACAAGAAAACAAAACUUAUUUCUGUAAUACUCUAUAAAAAGCACUAACUGAAUCGUAAACACUUACAAGAAAACAAAACUUUCUGCAGCUCUGUCAAGGAGAAAUCAAUGGGGAACCAACCCUUAGUAGUGACUCCAUUAACAGGGUAAGAUUUUUGACGAUUUGGGUAAACUUCUUCACUAUUUGAGGCAUUGGCCAGAUUUAAAUCAGGGAAGCAAAUCCCAUGCCCAUCUUUGGUUAGCUGAACAUCACACCAUAGAACAACAUCGGCUACACUUACCACCAUUGCAAAUUGGUAUGCAGCUAAACUCGAAUCUGGAAAAAGUCCAGAAAAUCCACCACGAGCAAUCACAAGUGGAGCAUCACCUUGUUAAAAAAAAAAAAAAAGACAUCCGCUAUUUUAAGACGAAGUAAUUAUUAGAACUGCCCAUUUAUUUGGCUAAGAUCUCCCAAUAAAUCAACUUUCCAUAACUUUUCUUCUAAAGAUUAGAUCUCCCCAAAUGGAAAAAGCAAGUGAAUAAGAAAGAGACAAAGUGAGAGCUAGUACACUCAGUCACUCACCACUGAGCGUCUGCCAUGGACUUGUAGAUCUUUGAGCAUCGACUUGAGCAGCAAACAGCUGUAACAGAACAACACCGCAGAGUAAAUGCGUCGAAGAUUGUUGUAACAUUUGCUUUGUCCGAGUACUUUGCUGGGAAUUCAUUGGUUAGCUUCUGUUUCUUUCAGUCCACAAAAUUAUCUAAUCAAAUGGUUUUAUUAGUUGACUCAUAGUAAACAAAAGCAGAGACUUUAUUUUUGUAAAUCAAAUGGUUUUAUUAGUCUCUUCAUUAAGUUAUCUUAAUCCAAACACACAAAAAUUUGAGACAGAGAAAGAUUAGUUAUUUGAUGUUCCUCUUUUCUUUUCUUUUUUUGGAUAUGAUUAAGAAGGUGGUGAAGAAAAAUUACAUAUGAAUCAUUUGCCAUUCAUUUUGUUUAACUAUAAGAAAUAAUCUUUGCCCGUCGUUUUGUUUUUAUUACUUUUUAAAGCCUUUGUUUAUUGAUAUCCUCCUAAACUCUUUUCAUGAGAAUUUCCUCUGAAAAUGAGAUAAAACAUGGAAAAAACCUUCCGUGGGGAAUGAGAGGGACUUGUUGGUAAACAAAUACCACACCUUAUCCUAGAUAUUUUUGUCUUCGUUUUUUUUUGUUUAAAGAUACUUUUGUCUUCAUACUUUAACGUUAUCGACCAAACACCAAAGAGCAUUUACAAGAAUAUUCUUAAGUGGUCUGCUUUUUUCCCCAAGAAAAGAGGUCUGGGCUAAUGACAAAUGGAGUAAUUUAUAUUUUAAUAGUCUUGAUACCAUGUUUUGGUGUGACGCCUCUAACGUUUUAUCACGAUAGAAAUCUGUAUUAACUAGUAGGUAAUUGGAUCACCCUUCUGUGUAAACAGAGACAUCCUCUGAAAGAAUAGAAGAUUCAUGAAGAUUUGAUGUGGGGAUUUGCUGCAAAACAGGCCUAGGAGGGACUUUAAGAGCUUCCAAGCUUCCUUCCAUCAUCUCUACAACUCUGUUCAUCGCUGGGCGAUCUACCGGAGAAGGCUGAAUACACCACAAACCCACCAAUGUCAUCUUCUUUGCAAGCUCAUUUUCUUCGCUGUUAAUUCCAUCCUCAAUAUGCCUUCCAGACUUGCAUGAUUCAAGAUCCCUAUAUACCCAUUCAAGAAAGUACAUUGAAUUGUGUUAGAAGCACAUGCUUGAUUUGCUUUCUCUUUAUUUCUUGCACCAAUUAUCUCAAGGACUAACAUUCCAUAGCUAUACGCAUCUGAUUUGUCCGACACAUUCCCAUAAACUCUCGAGAUCAUCUCUGGUGCAAUGUACCCUACUGUACCUCUUGUGUCAAGCAUAGACAAGAUGCUCUCUUUCUCCUCACAGAGCUUAGCGAGACCAAAUUCCGAAACUUUGGGACAAAAACUGUCAUCCAAGAGUACGUUUUGUGGUUUAAUGUCGAAAUGUACUAUCCUUGUUUUGCAGCUAAACUGUCAUCUCAUCUCUGUGUGUAUCUCGUCAAAUCUUUAGAGGCAAAUAAUUUGUUUUUCACCUGGCGAGUCUUUGUGACAGCCGUUCUGUUUCAUUCCAUGAUACGAUUAUUGGUGUUUUCUCAAUUCAAAAAGACUAUUGGUGUUUUUCUCAUUAAGUGGUUUGGUGUUUUCCUUUGAUGUUAAGGGUAUAUCAUCAACCAACAUCAUCAUGACCCUUACGUCUACAAUGUGAACAUACUCUGUCUCUGUUUUCUUCUCAUGCACAAGAAGGUGAAGUUUUCACCGCAUAGCUCACUACUUCUGGAAUACUCUCCUGCGAUUUAUUCUCGGUCUUGACAGUCUCUUCGCGUUGCAGAAUGUUGUUAGUCGAGUUUAACGUCGGCAAAGUUAUCACGGGAGAGAAGUACAAAUCUGAACGUUGCCAAGAUAAAUUCAUCGAGUCCAAACUGAAACAGAGUCUCACACCUGACAAACCCUUGUUUACUUGAAGCACAAGGAAGCUAAGGAGAAAGUUUUUUUACUACAAACAGAGUUUUUUUCACACCUGAUAAGAACUACAAAGUUUUUUUAUUUUGUUUUCUAUUGUAGGACGAUCUCAAAGUGAGACACUUAAACAUUUUCUCAGACGGACCCUACUGAAAAUAACAUCCCAACUUAAGAUCCAUUUUUUACAAUAUUUGACUUGACUUUACCAGCGGUAAGUGAUCCGUAAUGAACAUAUUACAGAGAUAUGGAGUGUGGAAAAAGACCAUUUCAUGUAUCUGUCAGUCACUUAUGCUUCCUUGAAUUGGUCCAACACUGAUGCCCUAUUUUUAUUCAACACAGAGGAAAAGAUUCAUGAAGAAACUAUAUCGCAACUUUUGAGUUGGGUUAUUGUAUAUUAAAACAUAUAUGUGUUCUAUUUGUUAUGCAAAUAACAUAUGACCUUCACGACGAUUUUCUAUUCACAAACUUGAAGAUUCCAGCUUUGAGUUUGUGGAGAAAACCAGUAUAUCAGAGGCACUUGAACUCUCCUCUGAAUUCCAAAAAGAGUCGGAAACCGACGAAGCUGAAAUUUGCUGCAAAACAGGUCUAGGUGGCACUUCAAGAGCAUCCAAGCUUCCUUCCAUCAUCUCUACAACUUUGUUCAUCGGUGGACGAUCUGAUGGGGAAGACUGAAUACACCACAAACCCACCAAUGUCAUCUUCCUUGCUAUCUCCUCUUCCUCGCUGCUGAUUCCAUUCUCGAUAAGCCCUCCAUUUUCUGUCUUCUCGAUAUCCUUAAUGUUGGCCUUCUCAAGAUCCUUAUAGAUCCAUUCUGGAAAAUAUAUUGAGCUUCCGUCGGAUCGAGAGUUUUGAUCAAAUCGUUCUUUCUUCCUUGCACCUAUCAUUUCGAGUACCAACAUUCCGUAGCUAUACACAUCCGACUUAUGAGAAACACUCCCAUAAAGUCGAGAGAUCAUCUCUGGUGCAAUGUAUCCUAUUGUACCCCUUGUAUCCAACAAUGAUAAAAUGCUCUCCUUCUUCUCGCAGAGCUUAGCAAGUCCGAAAUCAGAAACUUUAGGGCAAAGAUUAUCAUCUAACAGCACGUUCUGAGGUUUAAUGUCGAAAUGCACGAUCCUCGUUUUGCAUCCAUAGUGCAAGUACUCUAGACCACGAGCAACUCCUAGUGCGAUCCCAUACAGUGUCUUCAAGUCUAAAUUCACCGAGCUCUUGUCCGAUAUGAAUUUAUCGAGUGACCCAUUACCCAAAAAUUCAUAUAUAAUUGCUCUUCUUGAACCUUCACAGCAGAAUCCAAGCAGUGAAACAAUGUUGACAUGAGAAGUUUGGCUCAUGCUGGCAACUUCAUUAAUGAAGUCUUCACCAUCAGUACCCUUUGAAUCUUUCAAGACCUUUACCGCAACCAUACUGCUAUCACUAAGGGUUCCGCUAUAAACAAUUCCAAACCCGCCUCUCCCAACCACCUCCGUGAAUGACUUUGUCAUUUUCUUCACUUCCGCAUAAGUGUAGUGUUUGAGUGGAAUCAGAGCCUUCAGCUUCUGUAGUCUCACUUCAUCUGAUGUUUUUCUCUUUCGGAAAAUUUGGACUCUGAAGCAAGGGCAUAGUAGCACUAGAAAAACUAUAACAACACCUGUUAAUGCACCCAGAGCUGUAAAAAAAAACAUAGAAAAUCUUCUAUUAUAUAUUAACACUUAAAAAUCAAGGAAGAUCGAAAGGAAUUGGAAAUAUGCACCACACUAACCUAUAAAAGUAUACCUGACCAGAGUCGCUGUAAACCAUUAAAAUAAAUAAAAAUUGUUAGCAUAGAACCAAAUUUAAUCUUGAAAAGGAACAAUUAACUCAGAGAAAACAAUGGUUAAGGGUAUUAGAGAUAUUGUCUCACAUCGAAAGUUGAAUAGGGUCUUAAGUGGUAUAUAUAAGAUAUGGGUCUCUUCACCUAUUACCAAUUGAUUUUAGGCUGGAAGCCCACAAUCUAAUAAAAGGGAAGAUAACCAAAAGGAAAGUUUAACUCGAUGAAUGCUUACGCACCAAUAAACCGUCGAUGCCGACGAAAAAAUCCAUCUAUAAAAUGGCACAAGAAAGAAACCUUGGUUAGAGCUGAAGACUGAUUAACUUUGAACUUUGAAAAAAAGUUUCCGCGGCCGCAAUCUUACCAUCGUAUUCGUAUCCGCAUUUACCAUCUUUACAAUAGCACCCGAACCCACUUGAAGUCUGAUUAUAUCCACAAGCACCGCCAGAACCUCGGCACCUCUCACAAUCUGAUGUAAUCAACAUCCGAAAACCUUGAUCAAGAGCCAUCUUCAGAUUAUCUUGAUUUGGCCUUGUCUGGAGAUCGAAUAACGCGGGUCCAGACGCAGGAACACUGACGUUUCUUUUGCACAUUUCCCUCAAGUUGUUCAAAACGCCUCUAGAACUGUCAAGUAAAGGAGAGGACAGGUUUCUCGUGACAUAGUAACUUCUUCCCUCAUCACAACCAAGCUCUCCAACGUAAAUGUUAGCAGGAAUAUCCGAUGAAUUGAAACGGCAGCCGUAGUAUAAAGUUAGAAGCUCUGUCUCACCAGUGAGUUCGAGGACUGGAAGGAAUUUUUCGAUGAAUGGCGCAGUUAGUGGGUUUGCGGGACACAAAUCGCCAAUAUAAUCUGAUCUUGCAAGUCUUAUUAAAGAGCGAUAUGAGUCUAGGAUUCUGAAUUUAACAGAGGCGAUGUUAAUCUCUGCGAAUCCUCCGCUACAGUUGAGCUUGAAGUUGGGGUGGCCACAUUCUUCUCUGCCAGGUUUCCAUAAGGGGUAAUUGAGAUCUCUCUGACUGCCACAGCUAAAACUUUCACUGCAUCGUCUAUAAACCUCAUCAGCUGAAAAAAAAAGAACAAAAUGGGAUCACAAAAAGCAUCUAAGAGAAAUAGACAGAUUGAUCAUUGUGUUUUCAUAAUGAGCAAAGUGGCAAGGAACAGAAAAAAAAAAACUUAGGUCAUGAAUCUUUGAGAUUUUUUAAAUGGUUUUUGGAUUUUAGAUUUUGGUUUUUGGAUUUGAAAAAUCUUAGUAUAUAAUAUGGAAAGGAAACUACGUAAUUAAAUGGUUUUUGAAAAACAAUGGUCAAUCUGCACGCAAAAACUUACCACUAUGUUGAUAUGGUACGCAACUAACUCCUCCUGACGGUGAGGUUGCGUUACAGCAACUCUGUGUGGUACCGUUGAAACUACAGAUUCCACGAGUGGAUGAACAUUGUUGACACGGUAUUUCAUCAAUCACCAGCUUCACCUCAAAACCUUUUCUUAGAGCACUUUCCAAAUUAGUCAAAUUCAACCCUCUCUCUUCUGGAUGGAAACUCGUUGGAACGUUAACUGUGAAACUGUUUUGGCAAGAAUAUUGGUAAUCAACGCUUUGAGACAUUGAAAAAGUACCUAGAGCAGGACAUGUAUAACUCGAGCGGUAAGAAAGCUUUGGAUCACAAUGGUACAAUACGGUUAGGCUCUUGUAAGUUGGGGAAAGCUCAAAGAUUUCGGGAGGCAAGGUUGUGGUAUUGUAUGCAUAGGAGGAGCAAAAAGAACCUAGAAGGUCUGAUCUGGCAAGCGUAAGAGUGUUAGAUGUUUGAUUUAUCUGACGAACAUAGAACUCUUGAUUUGAGAUGUAUAAAGAGGUGAUAUUGUUAUUGUUGCAGUGAAGCUCCAGCAACGGAUGACCGCAAGGUUUGUGACGAUUCCCGCCCCAAAAGGGGAAAUCAGCGGUGAUGUUCCCACACUGAAACAGAGACUCACACCACCCAAGUCCUUGGUUACUUGAAGCACAAGGAAGAUGGUGGAAUAGGGAGAAGAGGAAGAACAAGAUCGAAUAAGAACUGAGGGAAUGGUAGUACAUGAUUUGUUUGAUCAAUGAACAGUGUGUCUGCUGGGUUUGAUUUGUGUUGAGAACAGAUGAGCAAGCGACUUAAAGAGAGACCGUGAGAGAGAGAAAGAAGCAUAAAGACCAAGUCAAGGUGAAAUAGUGGACAAAUACAUAAAGACACUAAAUCUUUUUUGAUUAAAUGGCUUUAUUAAUUAGUUUAAUCAGAAAACGAAAUUGAGACAAACAAAGAAUGGUCAUUGGGUGACGAAGAAGAAGAAAAGUAACAAAAUAAACGUGGUCAUUUGAUAAAUCAACAAAGAUAAACAUUUGUUUAUAUCAUCUAAAUGUCUUUUUGUAAGAAUUUGGAAAACCUAUACCAUACAUUUAUAUUUGUUUGUCUUCAUCCUUUUAACGACCAUAGGGAAUUUAGAAGACUUGAAAAUUCAACUACUUAAUUACCUUUUCACCGGCAACGUCGAAAACAUAAGUUAAAACUCUCAAGUUAUUCACACAAAAUAUGUAUUAUAUGGAUGUCUAUUAUGGGCCCAUUAGGAUAUUCUAGAGGUUUCUACAUUACUUGGGUUCUAAUCUAAACCUUAAGUUGUAUCUCAUAUAUUUCUCCUUAUUACUUACUCAUGAAUAAUAUAUAAGAACAAUCCUUAAACUUAAUUGUUCUACAACACGUUAUCAGAAGCCCUAGCCAACCAAGUUAACACAAAACUUUGCCGUCGUCCAUCUCCGAUCUCACCGUUUCCUAUUCUCUCCCACGUCGAGUAAGUUACCUCAUAUUUAUCAGCAUUCGGUUCAUCAUACUUUAAUAGUCGUGAUUAAAUAUUGCAUCAUAUGACUUGUCUGGUUUAUAUUUUAGUAUCGAUUGUUUAUUUAAUCAUAUCGUUGAAUGAGAUACUGUUGUUUAAUGCUUGAAUAUCAUUACGCGUUAUUGAUUCAUCAGAGUUUCAUAAAAUAUAUUGUUUCAUUACUAAAAGCAUCUAAGUCUAUGUUUUUUUGGUCAAUAAAGUCAUGCUUGUGUACUUAAUUCUCAUAAGGAAACAAUAUUACUUUACACGUUUGAUUCAUAGUCUUAUUAUAUUGUGGGGUCAUACACAAACGUUUAAAUAUUGAGCUUAUUCUUAAUUGAUGAUGAUGGAGCAUAGAUCUAGUAUAUUGAAACUGUUAUCUAAUUCAUCACUUAUAGCUUUAUCACUUAUAAAUAUACAUUUGCAUAAUUGAUUCUCUGUUAUAUACUCUUACAUACUUCAAUACAAGAAGCUCGUUUUGAUGCACAAUUGAUUAAUAUACUUUAUUAUUGAUGGGACAUUAUCACGUCCAAGUCAUCGUUCUAAUAUCUAUACUACUUUAUAAUUGAGUUCGUUAAAUUCUCUGUUUUGAAAACAUUAAAUCCAUACUUUAGUUUACCUUCUUUGUUUUGGUAUAGUCGAGAGUUGUGUUUUGGUACAUUGAGCUUGUGUUAGAUACAGAGACUUCUAUGGAUGUUUUGUUCCUUGCUCCUAGCAUCUCAAGAACUAACAUCCCAUAGCUAUACACAUCUCAUUUGUGGGAGACUCUCCGAUACAUUCUUGAAAACACUUCAGGUGCAAUGUAACAUAUCGUCCUCCUGUGUCUAGUAGUGACAAGAUGCUUUCUUUCUUCUCACAGAGUUUAGCGAGGCCAAAGUCUGAAACUUUGAGGCAAAGAUUGUCAUCUAACAAAACAUUCUGUGGUUUUAUGUCGAAAUGCACAAUCCUUGCUCUGCACCCAUUGUGCAAAUACUCCAGACCACGAGCAACGCCUAGAGCAAUUCCAUAAAGUGCGCUCUGGUCCAUAUUCGAUGACUUUUUGCUUGAGAUAAAUUUAUCCAAUGAUCCAUUCUCCAAAAACUCAUAUAUAAUUGCUCUUUUGGAACCUUCAUAACAAAAUCCAAGCAGGCUAACAAUGUUUACAUGAGAUGUUCUGCUCAUACUCGCAACUUCAUAUCUGAAAAGACUAUACACAAAAGUUUCCUCUAUACACAACCCCAAAUCCUCCUUUCCCAACUUCAUAUCUGAAAGACUUUGUCAUUUUCUUUACUUGUGCAUAACUAUAACGUUUCAGUGGUAUAAGUGCUUCGAGGUUUGUCUUUCUUACACAACAUGUUUUCACUUUCUGUAACAUCAGUGCUAUGAUUACCAAAACAAUCACAAGUCCUCCUCCCAUUGCACCUAAAAUAACAAGAAAACUAGUGAGUUACGAAUUCUCUAUCACGCAAAGUCCACUCUUUGAGAGUCUCUGAGAAGGAAACUAACCAAUGAUAAUCUUUUUUUUUUGCUAAACUGUUAAUAUAUCAUAUAUAAUGAAAAGUUUGGCAGUUACAAAGAAAAGCCUAAGCUUUGAAAACUUGGCAAAAAGAAUAAAAACAAGCUUUCAAGAUUGGGAAGACACAUAAAGUGAAGUCAUGAUAUCCAGAGUUGCAUUAGGUGGCGAAACCUCUUGCGAUGUUGCCUCGCUGUGAUGAUGUUUUUGAUCUCUCUGUUGAUGAGCUUGAAAACAGUGACAUUUGAGAUGAUUAACUGAUUAUGAAUGACAUUGUUUCGCUGCUUCCAAAUGUGAUAUAUUGAGGUUUGGGCUGCGACUUUCCUGAGAGUUGACGGAGCCGAAACAGAGGAGGCACGAAGCCAAGAAAGGAGCUCCGCCCACGAGACGAAUAAGGACCUAUUUGGAUCGAUACGCGCAAGGAUUUGAAGCCACAAUUGCGCAGAAUAAGUGCAAGUGAGGAACAGAUGAUCUCUGGACUCUACAGCCAAGGAGCAAAGAGAGCAGUACCAAUGAUAAUCUUGAUCAUAAUAUUACGACUCCUGACUCUUCUAAUUGAACCUACAGUACGUUACGAGUUUUCUUUAAUACCUUUUUCUCUACUAUGUUUAUUUUCGGUUGUUAAUUUCUCAGAGUUUUACACUUUGUAUAACAGAGAUAUACUUGGAAGGUUUUAAAGAUAACUACAGAGUUGUUUAAAAUUCUCUAUCCACUAUAUGAAGAAUUUACUUCAAGAGGUCAAUAUAGACUGUUGCUACUCACCUUCGUCGGAGCACGAAAAAUUAUGAGGUAAUGUUAAGUUUUCAAUAUCGAUACACCGAUUCCUUAACCAAACCGGUACACACUAACACACCAUACAAGAGAGAGACUAGCACAUCACUAGCUCAGCUCUCAAUACACCAUACGAGAGAGACUAGCACAUCACUAGCUCUGCUCUUAAGUCUCUCAUACCAUUCAACAACAAACAACAUAAACCUCUCUAAACAUUCAGAGCCAUUAUUUAUACUAGAACUCAGUUUGUUCAUGAUAUUUUUAGAUCCUAAAAAUAUCUUCUUCUUCAAGCAAGUUUCUUCUCACGUGCCUCCUCACUUGCACGUGUCUUCUUUUGCUUUCUCUCAUUCACAUUCUUCUUGAUACAUCAAUCGUAUCAAUACUCCCCCCAUUUAGACAAGCUUGUCCUCAAGCUUAGUAAAAGAAAGAAAGAAACUACCAGCUUCUGAAUUAUUUGUGUUGCUUCUGAGUUCUGAUAUGCAGCCAUGUCUCUCUUGUCUACUUUCUGUUUGUACUUGAAUUUCCAUGCUUUGAGAAACUUCCUUUUCUUAAUAUUGUGCAAACUCAUCGAUUGGUCCUUCUUUAAUUUGUGUGUAAGCCUGUGACAACUCUCAAAAACACAUAUAGCACACCCGCUGGAGAAUAGCACAAUCAUCAUACCCGUUAGAGUCAUGCAAGUAAACAGCCUCAUACACAAGAUCAUCACUUUCUCAUAUUGUUGUAAUCCAAUUGCCUCUGAAAAUAUCGAUGUUGCUGCUGCAUCAAUAACUUUAUCACUACUGGCGCCAUUAACUGUCACUAAAGGUCCAUGAGAAAAUCCCAAGAAGCUGAUCACUUCGCUGGAAUGAGAAUGCACCAAACCCCAACUUAGAAAUUCUGAAAUUUCCUGCAAUGUCUCAACUUUGGUUUUCCAACGAUGCCACAAAUGAGAAUCAGUGUUGUUUGCCUCAUGGACAAGACAAUGCCAUGGCCUUUGAGUUUUGUAGAUCCCGGUAUGGAGAUUCUGCAUUCUCACUUUGUAAUGUUUAUAUAUAAAGUGCCAAGACUUGCUACACUUCCUCUUCAGUGCUGAAUUCAUCAAAGUGGCAUCAUCCAAUCUUAGCAACUGUGCAGAAUCUAUCGUAGCAAAAUUAGCUUCCCCUAACCUCCGAAGAUCAGAUUGCAACGCUACCAUAUCUUCAUCACCAAGUGUUUCAACAAUUGGUAAUGCAGGCUGUAACUCCUCGGAAGAUAUAGAUUCUAACUUCUUAAGAUCCCGUGACAUGUGUGCUUGCUUCUUUAGUCUCAGGCUCUGAAAUGAUUUGUUCUUCCUCACCAAUCCAACGUUAGCACUAAAACAAAGAUACAUGUAAUGGAUAUUGCUGAAUUCAAUGGCUUGACAUGGAUCCAUUUUUGACCUAUUUUGCUGUAAAUUCCUGUUUUUGAACUUAAACAUCCAAUUUUUAGGAGACAAACUCAACUUCCUCCUCUGUUUUAGGUUGUGACUUCGAAUGAGAAUUUUGUCGAGCACCUUGUAGGCACCAAACUUCAGCUUACUAUCAGAUGAAUUGUUGGCUUCAUUGUCCUUUGAUUUGUCGUCAAAGAACCAUGUUCCCUCCUGGAAUUCGCCAACUACUAUAGUGGCAACAUUCUGAAACCGUGGAAACGAUUUCUUUUGGGUAAUCAAAACAAUCUCCGGAUUUGAUUUCUUUCUCACACUUGAUUCAUCUUCCUCAAUCAAUUCUUCUGUACAUCUUGAUUCAGUUUCAUGAGCAACCACAUGAAUCAAUGUCGUCGGCAUAAGAACCUCAGGGGAAGAAUGAAUUUUAACUGGAUCAAAUCGAGCCAACAACCUUUGCUCAAAGGAAUUCCAAUCUCUAAACUCCAAUGUCGACAUCUCCCGAAGAAACCAUUUCAACGCAACUCCUUCUAAACUCAACGCUACCAAAUCCAACUUAUCUGAAUCCUGAUACCUCCCUACACGAAAAAAACGUUCUACCUUCGAGAACCAUUCAUACACUCCCGAUCCAUCAAAUACAGGCAUCUCUAUGCGUCUGAUCAAGCUAGAUCUAUUAUCCAACAAGAUCGGAGACUCACCAGCACCGCGUUGAGGCAUAGAGGAAGAAAACGAGUGACGUGGUGACUGACAAGAGUGCUCACCUUGCUCCACCCGUUUACCUUCGCGGAUCUCCAUCCUCUCCAACGUUGCAACCACCUGUCGUAACACGCUAUCCAUAGAUUCAAGCUUCUCUUCAUGUUGAACCUUAUCAGCACACAGACGCUUGAAACCUCCGAACAACACCUUCAUGUUACGCUCUGUUUCAUCGCCGUGACAGUUCUCCGACUCAAACACCUCCGAUUCAUCACCCAAGGCCAUUGCGACUUAAAUCGACCAGUUUCACCGCACCAAUGUUAAGUUUUCAAUAUCGAUACCACCGAUUCCUUAACCAAACCGGUACACACUAACACACCAUACAAGAGAGAGACUAGCACAUCACUAGCUCAGCUCUCAAUACACCAUACGAGAGAGACUAGCACAUCACUAGCUCUGCUCUUAAGUCUCUCAUACCAUUCAACAACAAACAACAUAAACCUCUCUAAACAUUCAGAGCCAUUAUUUAUACUAGAACUCAGUUUGUUCAUGAUAUUUUUAGAUCCUAAAAAUAUCUUCUUCUUCAAGCAAGUUUCUUCUCACGUGCCUCCUCACUUGCACGUGUCUUCUUUUGCUUUCUCUCAUUCACAUUCUUCUUGAUACAUCAAUCGUAUCAGUUUGUCAUAGCAGAGACACUGAAAACUGCCAGAUACUGGCUCGGAACCGCAUACUCCAUGACUAUUUGAACAACCUCUGCAAGAUUGAUCGUCUCUGAUGUUGAACCUUAGAUCAAACCCCUUAACCAAAGCUUCUUUCAAUUUAAGCCUUGACCGCUGAAACUCAUCCAGAAGAGAACUAAGAACUGGAUAUUCUCCCAUCUUUACGCAGUCCGUAACAGAAUCUGAGGGCUUAAACGCGUAAUAUGUUACAAUUUCCCCGUUGCUUUUUCUGCAAGUAAACGCCGAAAGCGGACUUACCAUCUGAGAAGCAGGACAAAUGAAUAGGUCAAUCUUCUCCACUGUAGGAGCGAUUGUGAACUGAUUGGCCCCGGUGAAGUUCAGGGACAUGCUUGGGCAUCGACCCUCGAAUAAACUCUCAUCGACAACGGUUAAAGUUUGAUUCUCCAAAUCAAAAGAGAUUACUUGAAGAGAAAGGUUUGUGAGAACUAAAGUUAGGUUUUGGUUGUUCUUGCAAGUGAGUUGAAACUCUGUUUGGCCGCAAUAAUUGGGUUUAUUGACUCCCCAGAAAGGAUACGUCACGUUUGGCAACAGCCUCGGACCUGCGUACUAAUACGAGAAUUGGGCAAUAAUAAGAGCAGACUAAAAAUGAUAUGGACUUUAUCUAGCAUGGAUUUAAUAAGAGAUUGACAAAAAAAGAUCCAGAGUCAAUCUAAUUGUAGUAGGGCUAUUUUUCUUUUCUUUUUUUUGUCAUACUCAUAUAUAUUGGGUUUCUAAUUUUCAACAAAUGCGUUGAGAAGAAUAGUUCCACAAAUAUUGUUAGUCCAAAUUUUAGGUGUCAGUAUCAACAAUAAACUUUCUUUUUAACUAAUAAAUCCAAGCUAGAGUGAAGAAAUAUCCAUUUUGAUAUUGGAAAUUCAUGAAUUUCAAGGUAGAGGAGAGAAACCAUAAGCAUAUAUAAGUUAACAAUUCAAACUAAAAAGGCUUUAACUUUGCAUUUUUCUAAGAUAGGUAAUCUAAUAAUAAACCUUCUAGCUUGAUAAUUUGAUCACUCAUAUUCUGUACGUGACUUAUACACUUUGAUUUGAUCACUAAGAACUGAAUAUCAGAGAACAAUUACAUGUCAUGCACUAUAUACAUGUUCUGAGUUCGAGAAGAGUUUUGGACCAAAAAUCUGAAAACAGGCCUUCAAAUAAAAUCAAAAUAAUUGCAAAGAUAUUUGUAAAAAUUAAGAUGCUUCUGCAGUGUAGACAAAAAGUGAACAUAAUGGAUGAAAUAAUUAGAGACUAAUGAAGUGUUUGCCUAGAAUAUGAACACCUUUCUUCUCUACUUGAAAUACGUACCUUAGCGAAAGAGACAUAAACAACAAUAAACUUUAAAGUAAAAGAAACCAAAUAUUGAGACAAAAUCUUGUUAGAGUGUAGAUUAGGUAAGAGAUUAUACUACAAGAAGCCAAAUAAGACAUUGCAACGUAAAAGGUCCUGAUAUUUGUUAAUUUCACCACUAUCACAUUCUUUUCCAUGUAUGUACGUUGAACUAAUUUAUAAAUUUCCGACGAUAAAAAUGUUUACUGUAAUUUCAUAAUUUGCGUGAUACAUGAGCAGUAAACUUUAAGUGAAAUUAGUUAAAAUCUAUUGACUAUAUAUUGUCAAUCUGUCAUAUACUCGCAAGUAGCAAAAAUAUAUUUGUGACAAAUUAAUAGCAAACUGAAUUACCAUUUCAUCGCUAACCUAUUGAAAUUAGCUACGAAAAUUUAUCACUACGUAUGUUUUAUUUAUUUUUUUGCGUUUUAACGAUUGUUAACCCCUAUCAAAACGUGGUUGCAUGAGAACCAUCAAAGUCUAAUAUAAUAUUUGGCACAUUUUUAGAAUUCAAAAUAACCAAAAACCGAAAAACCAAACUCCCAUUAGUAAUAUUCAAUACUCCCUCCAUUUCAUGAAGAUAGACUUUUAAGGUUUUGUUCACAUAUUGAUAAACUUUUGCAAAACCUAAUAUACAUUUAUCUAUAUUAAAUAUUAAUUGUUACUUGAUUUAACUCUAGGUAAUAAUUAAGGGUAAAAUCAGAAAUGUUACAUAAGUUUGCAUAGGAAAUACAAAACAUCUAUAUCUUGAUGAAUAUUUUUUCUUAAAUCUCUAUUUAUUUGAACAGGGAGCAUAAUAUAGUGACCAUGAAAUUAAAUAGAUAAGAAAAGAAAAACAAAAUAAGGUAGUUCAGGUGAAUCAAUUAAUGUAUUGAAGGUGUAAAGGAAAGAAAAUGAUUUAGGUUAAUUCAAUUGUCAACGAAACACAAACUCGCAAAGUGUGAAGAAGACAAAGAUGGUGACAAGUAAAGUUUCCAAAUAUCCUAAGAGCAAAGGUCAUGCAUGAGUUCAGGGGGGUAAGGAAGUAUAAGCUUAGUUAAUUAAUCAACUAUUUUACUUAAAUUUCAAAGGGUUUAAUCAAUAUAAAGUAAUAAUAAUAGCAAUUAAAAAGGUUUAAUGAUCAAAUCAGGUUUGUAGUUAGUAAGAUUCGGGAAGAUCUUGCCAUGUCUAAACAAAUACUUAAUUUCAACGUCAAUCACGCCAACACUUUAAACUUGAUGUUAAUCUAUAGUUUAUUAAAGUAUUAUUGGUGGGACCUUAAUUAUAACCUGAUUAAUCAUACACAAAUGCAUAGAUCAUUAUAUUAAGUGGGUAGAUCAAAGAUCUAUUCAAUCAAAUUGUAAUCUAAUAAUUAUUUGUACAAACUAAAAACCAUAUGGUAAGAGAAAAUUCCUUUAUGUCCAAUCAACUAAUUGAAUGGUUCAAAAUACUUCAAAUCCCGUGACAUAGUUGAAAACUUAAACAAUGAUGGGAUUAUGUAUAUGCUUAUCUAUACUUAAAACUAUAUAAUAUACGAUCAAUGCCUUACGAGGUAUGUAGACCUUCCUAGCUUUUAUAUUAUUCUUGUGUUUAUUAUGUGGUACACGUACACAUAUGUAUAUACCAAAUUUUAAGAAUUAUUAAAGAUGUAUUAAAGAACCAUAAAACUCGGAAACUUAACCAUUAACCCUAUUGUAAACUAUGUGGAUGCAUGCCAUAAGCACUCCAUAACAAAGUGAGUGGACCAACCUAGACUCCAUAAUUAUUUUAAAUCUCAUCUUAAUUAUAUAAAUAUAUGCACAUGCAAACUCAAGCUUGAUCUCAUUUUAAGUCUCUAAUCUCAUCUUUCCAUUUUCAAGAAGACUUUUAAAUCUGUCUCUCUCUCUCUCUUUGUAAAUAUACAUAUAUAGAUAAGCUCACAUAUAUGGCGACUGAAACAUCUUCUUUGAAGCUCUUCGGUAUAAACCUACUUGAAACGACGUCGGUUCAAAACCAGUCAUCGGAACCAAGACCCGGAUCCGGAUCAGGAUCCGAGUCACGUAAGUACGAGUGUCAAUACUGUUGUAGAGAGUUUGCUAACUCUCAAGCUCUUGGUGGUCACCAAAACGCUCACAAGAAAGAGCGUCAGCUUCUUAAACGUGCACAGAUGUUAGCUACUCGUGGUUUGCCACGUCAUCAUAAUUUUCACCCUCAUACCAAUCCGCUUCUCUCCGCCUUCGCGCCGCUGCCUCACCUCCUCUCUCAGCCGCAUCCUCCGCCGCAUAUGAUGCUCUCUCCUUCUUCUUCGAGUUCUAAGUGGCUUUACGGUGAACACAUGUCGUCACAAAACGCCGUUGGGUACUUUCAUGGUGGAAGGGGACUUUACGGAGGUGGCAUGGAGUCUAUGGCCGGAGAAGUAAAGACUCAUGGUGGUUCUUUGCCGGAGAUGAGGAGGUUCGCCGGAGAUAGUGAUCGGAGUAGCGGAAUUAAGUUAGAGAAUGGUAUUGGGCUGGACCUCCAUUUAAGCCUUGGGCCAUGAAUGAUUAUAAUUUUGGCCCAGUAAAGAUCUGUAAAAUACUACUAGGAUUUCAUUUUUAUAGAGUAUGUUUUUUUCCUUAAUUUCGGUUGAAAUUGGUGAAUAUUUUUAUCUCUUACUUACCAAAUCUCAUAUUUCUAUGUAUGCGUUUGCUUUCACUUUUUUUUUUUAUAUAAUUCUUCUUGUAAAAAAUGCAAUGUGAGUUUUCUUCCCUAUCAUUCUGUCAAGCUUUGGUUCAAUUAUUUAGUAAUCGAAUAAUAUAGGAAUAGUGUUGAAAGAAGUUGAUUAGCUAGUUUCUGAGAUGCAUACCAAGUCGAUUUCAGUUUUCAAUAGGAACUGGAAGAUAUCAUUACAUGUUGUUAAGGAAAAUAUAAGCAGUAUUAAAAUUACAUGUAGGACAUAUGCUAAAUGAUCAAAUAUACUUGAAAAGAGAUUAUAUAUCUCUUGGCAGUGAGCAAAAGUUGUUUUGCAUCAGCAUUAUUAUUGUUUUCAAUCAAACAGCAAGCAGUAUUAUAAGCCAAUGCUUGAGAAACAUAUCCAGCUGAAAUCAAUGCCGCCACUAAACUGACAUCUAACCACUCAAUCUUGGACUUGCUCAGUUUCUGAUACACAUCCACACAAGCAUCUGCUUUCUCCAAACUGUUUGAUGCUUUGUAAGUUCAAAAGUUAAACCAAAUUUGUAUUUAGUGGAAUUUUUGGUUUAGUCGGUGAAUUUGUUUACUACUGAUUGUCUAAUAAGCGAAGGAGGAUGAAUAAACCAAUAUGCAAAUUCUCUCUUUAACCGGUUUGGUCAACGGUGAAUAAAAUAAGACCGUUAAGAAGGGUAAAAGCGUAAAUACAACAAAAUAUUUAGGAGCCUCUCUUCUUCUCUUUGUGACCGUUACGAAUCCAAAAAACAAAAUUGCAAACUUUGUGAGGAAGAAGAAGACGACACAGUAAUGAAGGAUACAAUCUCAAACCCUAGUUUGGAAUCUCUGCUUUUUCCUGUUAAUCCAAUGUCAGAUACACAACAAAAACUCAAGCUUUUGGUUGAUAACGGUGAUUACGGAUUCGAGAGAGGAUCUAGAUAUGGAGAAUACGCGAGAUUACGAGAAUCAAAACUUCGUAUGAAACGAGACUUCGAGAAGAUUCUAAAGGAAGAACAAGUGAGAUUUGGGUUCACCAGAGAAGAAGAAAUCAGGGUUUUGCCGGAGAAGAAGACGAGAUUCGGAUUUAACCCUAAUCAGAGGAAAACGUCGUCGUCUUCUUCUUCUUCGUUGGCUCAAUCUGUUCCUGAUUUCUCUUCUAUGAUUCGUAAAGAGAAUCGUCGACCACCAGUUAAUUCGAAUUUGCUUCCUCGGAGAACAGAACUUACUCCACCGUCGAUGAAGAGUAGAAACGCCGCCGUUUUCGCUGGAUCUGUGAUUAGAGGAAGUGUUUCAGCGAGUGCUGGUGAGAAGAAAGGUAUUGGGAUGAUGCGUAAAAGCUACGCUGCUGUUGAUGAUCUUAAGAAAAUAUCAAUGGCUGCUGCUUCCGCCAUAAACGGCGGUGGAGGAAAAAGGAGAUCAAUUGGCGGCGGAGGAGGAAGGAAAUCACUUGGCGGCGGUGGUGGUGGUCGGACUAUUCUAGGUUACAGACAAAUUUAUUGAUUCUUUUGUUCUUGUUUGUGUCCAAACUCUAACAUUUGUGUUCAAAGUUUGUUUUUUUGUGUGUUUAAUUGGUUUUGAUUGAUAAAGAUUAGUCCUUUUCAGAUUUUGGUUUUGUGAUUGAUAGAUUUUGUAUACAAGUAACGACUAAAACUUGCAUAGUUGUUAUCAGAAAGCUAAUAAACAUUAUAGUUGAAAUAGCAUAAGAAAUGGUGACAUUGAUUAGUUCUAAAAGAGAUUAGUUUUCACCAGUAAAGAUCGGUUGCUAACUCUCCGAUUAAACACCGAAGAAUCUCAUAAGCAAUCUCUGAACCAACUCCAAACAAAUGCGUUUCAAGAUCCAUUUCGAUACCGAUAACCUCAUCCAUAUUAACCCGAGCCCACUUUGGAACUUCUUCAAUAACACCUCGAAUCAGCUCGUCUUGUUUAGCAGUCAAUGGCUUUAACAAUCCGCAGGAAAUGUUUGUUUCUUCCAAGUGUUCGAUCAUGGCAUCUACUAGGAACCCUCCAGUUAGUCCAGGGAGAUUGACUAGAUUGUCAGAACGAGCUGCGUAGAUCAUGAGUUCGUCGAAGAGUUCUGGUCCAAUGAGGUAGUUCUCUUGUGUAGUAGUGGUACCAACUAAUAGCUCCGUGUGGAUAAUGACUUCUCUAGCAAUUGUGAAUCUCUGCUGCGUUAAUAUGAGACCGGUGUUGCUUAAACAUCGCAGGACGUUCGAGACAUGGCUGAUAAGACUUGCGAUCGCCUGAUAAUUACCAUCACUUGUUGAAUUCUUGAAUGAAGUCGCAUAAUCUUCAAGAAUGUCCCAAUCUGGUUCUAUAGGCUCUAGAGGUAGCCUCAUUUGUCCUGGAACUUUAAAACGUAACAUCAGUUUCAGGUUUCAGAUUUCAAGAACCGGUAUUUAUUUCAGAAAGUAAGUACCUGAGAUAUUGUCGAAGCUGUUCGAAAAGCAGCUCUCAUUGGAGAAAGAUGCAUCGAGUACAGAUCCCGGGCUAGUGUACUCACUGUUUGCAUUUCCAAUGGAACUCCAAAACUCUGUUUUGCCUUUUCUCUGCAAGAAUCAAGAAGCAUAAUGAAUAAAGAGAUGAAGAAAUACGUAAAUGUGAAGUCCUUGCAGAUUAUAAACGUACCCGAUAAGGCAUAUCGAUAUCUCGAACAUAAGGCUGCUGCUGCAAAGCUAAAGAAGAUAGCAAUUCAUGGAGAAUCAAAGAAGCUGGUUUAUUGGGAAAACCACUUUCUCCAUUGGCCUCAUCUUCUUCUUGAGAAGCCAAUUCUUUCAACUUUUGCUGAAUCAACCCGAGAGUGCCUACAUCAAGCAGUGGCCUUUUCGUAAAGGAUGGUCUGGGAACGCGUUGAACUCCUCUUCUCUCUUUGGUUUCUCUACAGCAUUGGCUAUAAUGUCUAUUAGAGGAACCAAGUUUCAGUGAUGAAAAUGCAGUUUCAUUACUACAAGCACAAGAGUAUUCACUAUCCAAUCUUCUUGACACUGGACUCAUAGAACUACUUCCUCGUCCAUGACCACUUUCACAAGCUAGCCUCCUCUUCCGUCCAGGUGUACUUAAUCCUGAUCUAUUACAAGACUCCUCAACUCUAGUAUGAGAUUUUCUCUGCAGAUUCAAAUCAGAGUUUUCAAAUUUAACCGGGGACUUCGAGUGAUGACUCCUACUAGUUGAACCUCUAUUCAUAGCUAUAAAGUCCUUCUCUUUACUGUUGAUAGCAUUAGCAGGUGAAGAACAACUUCUUUUACUCGGUAAGGCGAAAGAUCGAGCUUCCGGAGGAAACCUUUCCUCUCUAUGCAACACCUUCUUAUGAUAUUCGGAUCUGUUUCUAUAACCCGGCAGCGACAUUUCAUCCUUAAAUUGAGCACGGUGUAGAGCUUUCUUCACCAUUUGAUCAGUACUGUCUUUACCAGAAACAGACACAGAUGAAUCUUCAUUUCUCCAAAACACAUUUCUUUUACUCCGUUGAAAAGGCGUUGAUUCAGAAACACACGCCAUGUUGUUUCCAGUGUCUUGAACUACCUGAAUCGAACCAUUCACAUCAACCAAACUACCACAAGAUUUACAAGAAGCAACACUAUUGUUAUAACCACAUUGAAACUCGGGUGAAACAACCGGUUCUUUCGCAGCAUUUUCGAACCUUCUAAUCCCCGUAGAACCAGGAUAAGCAAUAGCGCCUUUCGCAUUUCUCUUCCCCGGCUCAAGAAUCCUAGCAGCAGCAUCAAUCAACCUAGAACUUCUUCUAUUCAUCCUCGGACUUCUAACAGGAGAAGCUAGUUUCUGAUGCUGAUGAUUAUACUGAUGAUGUUUCCUUACUCUAGUCAAAACAUUCUUAAUCUGCAACGCUUCAGAACCAAACUUCUUAACCGCAACACGCCUAUCACAAACUCCUGUCGUUCUCUGCAUCUUCUGUGGUCUUAACUUAUCAACACCACUAUCUUCUUCUUCUUCUUCCACAUCAAACAAGUCACAUUUAUCGGUAUCUUGAAUCUGCGAAAACAACGGUUUCUUCUUCUUGUUCUUCCCUUUGUCUCUAUGAUUAGAUGGCAUUGAUUCAAGUCCCAUUAAACGUGCUACUAAACUAGGAGAUCUCAUUUCAUGCUUUUUAACCUCCAUAACUUCAUUCCGAUUUGGGAAACUUCCUCUGUUCUCAUCAUCAAUCUAUUAAUUCAACACAAAAUACAGAAAAAAUUCAACAAUUACUCUAAUCAAAAACUAAAGAUAUAAACUUCUAACAAAAUGGAGACAUAAUCACCAGAUUAAGCUUAGACUUUAACAUCUUCUCAUUUCCUCCAAACCUCUUCGAAACUUGUUUCCCUGACAAUUCAUUCAUUACAGUCAAGCUCAACAACACUCACUUUCAGACAUAAAAUGAGGCAGAGACAGAGAUAGAGACAGAGACUAACCAGGAAGAAGUGAUUUGCGAGAAAAGAGUUUCUUUUUAGCAAAGCGUCGGUUCCAAUCAAAGAGCUGGAAGAAAACACCGACACAACCACCGAGUCGAUUUGGUCGUUUCUCUGUUAUAGCCGCACACGGCGCCGUCGUCUCCUGUAACUCUCCUGUCAUCACGAAACCCUAACAAACCCCACAAGUUUCAGAGAAAUCUCAAACACUGUAAAAAAGUCUCCUUUAGAGACACAUUGCCUCAAAUUCCAAAACUUUAUCACAUAAUCAAACAACCAGAGAAACAAAACUCUCUCUUUUUGAGUUCUCAGCUUUUGUGAAUUUGGGGAAUCUCUGAGAGAUGAAUGUACAACAAGAUUAGAAAAAAAGCUUAGUGAACACGAAUAAGGAAAGAAAGAAGACAGGUGGAGAAUCAAGAAAACGACAAUGGUACACAACAGUGGAAGAAGAAAGAAAGAAAGAAACAGAGCUUUUUAAGAAGAAUGGAAAAAGUUGAAGUGUCACGAAAUGAGAACUCAACGGGUAAUAUUCGCAAUUGGGAGUUUAAAAAAGUGAAAGGAGACAAAAGCAAAACGAUAGUGACGAGAAGUGAUUGAAAGAGAGAUGAUAAGAGAAGAAGAGAAAUCUUUUUUGUGUAAAAAUUAUUACUGUGAUUCUCUCUGUUGUCACUGACGGUGAAAGGGGCUCGAGAGAGAUUGUUAACAGAAGAAAGAGAAGCAUGCGCACAAAAGGUUAAGUAGCUGAUACAAGUAGACACUAGAGGGAAGAUAAAAAAGAGAAACAAAAAUGGAGAUUAAUUUUGAGAAAUAGAAGUAGUAUAUGUUUAGAGAGUAGAGAUUAGAAGAGUAAAAAUGUGGUUCCGGACAAUAAGGGUUAAAGGUUCGAGGUUUCUGUUUCUCUCGUUUUUGAGGAUUCCAGCUUCAUCUGUAGUCCGUUUCUCAGUUCCAACUUUGUAUUGGUUUUUGUUCCAAACUGAAAAAAAAAAAAAACUAAACUAAAGUGCAUUUUAACUUUUUAUAUGAUAUUAUGAUUUUUGUUGGCCAAUCAAUUAACGACAUGUGGACAAGUCAUGGAUUACAACUAUUUUGUGUCAAAAGAAAGGAAAAACAAGGCUAAACAACGACCUGGCCUUAUGGAUGAUGACCACAGUGAGAUGGGUUUGUGGUACUAGCUUGUCUCCUUGGGCAAUAACAAUAUAAUAUAGGGAUGAGCUAUAAUAAUUUUACAAAUGCAUGAAAUCAGAAUUUCUUUAUAGUCUAGAUUUAGAGUAUGUGAAAACAUGAUCAAUGGACCAUAGUAAUGGAUUUACGUCCAAUUGUUAUAAUGUUCAUGGACAUUAAUUUAUCAUUGUAUCAAAUAAUACUAGUACUCAAGGUGUGGAUUUACAAUUCACCAAUGAAUUAGACGAAGUUUCGACCGAUAUAUUGAAUAAACUAUAAUUUCUUGAAACGCUUUCAAAAGCUUCUCAAACUUUCAAUAAAUUUCUUAAAGUUUUCGUCAAGAACUGUCAUCUUGUUUUUAUAUGAAAAUGAAAGAAAUGGAAUCAUGUAUUCUCAGACAUUAUCUUGCAAAAUUACAAAUGGUUAUGAAAAAAAUAUCAUAAGUUUUAAUCUUUUUGCUAGUUUCUAGUCAUCCAUUAAGGGUAUUUUGUAAGCCAAAGUUAGGAUUUUUUUUUUUUCUUUUUGAAUGUAAGUUUUUACAAACGUUAUUGUUUGGGCAAUGAAAAAUUACCAAAAUGUUAUAUUAGCAAAUUGAAUACAAAAAUACUAUUAUUAGUUUUUACAAACGUCCUUUUAAUCUUAUAGUAUAUCGAUUAUCGAAUAAGCUCUAACUUUGAUCACGAUCUAUAUCCGACGUUGUUGCGACUUUGUGCUAGCACUAAUCAAGACUCAAGAGCUUCAUUGUUUGUAUAGUUUCUAGGGGAAAAAAAGUGAGAAAUUUUAAGGGUUGUAAUAAGACAGAAAAAGCAGAAGUUGCGUCUUUAUCCGAGUCUGACGAAUUCUGAAAUGUCACGGACAAUAACCCAUACACGCUACGAAUCUCAAGCAUUCCCCCACUUCUUUCUAUCUAAACACAGUACUACCAAUUAUUUUUCUUCUAGUAAUAUAUAGUAUACACACAUACUUCCAAAUAUAAAAAUAUUUGGUUAAGCCAAAUAUUGGAAAAAAUUUAGUAACAUACACUGUUUGAAAAUUCCCAACACGAAAUGAUGCUAAAGGAAACAAAAAAAGGAGGGAUCAAAUUUUGUCAAAAAAUGAAGAAAAUAGGAAACCCAGUUUUACUAUUUGCAAAAAGUAACAUUUUGACCAAGAUGAAAAAACAAAUAUUCCUGCUGCUUUCUCUAGAAUACUGUGGUUUGAUCAAAACAUCAUGCAGAAAGUUAAACAGUUUUGGAUGAUUUUCUUAUUGAAAUCUGUAUAUGUGGAUUUGAUGUAUUUUUAUUGCAUAAAUGAUAAGUAUAUUUAAUAUUUAUAUAUUACAAUUACAUGUUUCUAUGCUUAUGAAUGUGUUUCUGUAGCCUUGGGAUACAGUGUCUUCGGGUUAAACCGGUCGAGUUAUUGGGUUUUAAGAAAAUUCGGUUUAUAAAAAAACUCACUUCAAACCGCAAAAAUAACUCAAAUUAAUUUUAGUGUAUUAAACAAUCGUAUUUUCUAUAUUUAUACUUUUACUAAUUUACUCAUUAAUAGACCCAUGUAUUUCUAAUUUAUCUACACCAAUAUUCAACAGAUUAUAAAUUUGAAUUGAAUUUAUCAUUUUGAAAUCAAAUAAGUAGAUGAUAUUUUUCUUGAAUCUCGAACCGUAUCUAAGUUUACAAUGUUUGAAGUUGUUGUUGAUAUUAGUACUCCAGACUGGCUUGUUACGGUCAUUGACACAAAUAUUUUCAACACAUUUUGUAUUUUGCUAGUUUGUAAUACAUUAGUAGUAGUAUGUUUGAGUCAAGAAAAAAAUAUGAUUUCCGAAACGUACAAAUUUGACAACCUACUUUUUUCUUCCUCUUGCUACAUAUGCAAAAGAUCUUGGGCUUUGGUUUUGAACUAGCACUUUUCAAGCCCAUGCAAAAUACUUAUCAUUCAUCUAUAUGUUAUUUAUAAAAGAGAAAUAACAAAUAAAUUUGAUCUCAGUUAUUGCCAUGACAAUCUUAGCUUAAGAAUUACUUUAUCUGAAACUGUCAAAUAUUUAAGAUGAAUAAACAAAUAGCAUAAAACGAUUUUAUCAAUAACUAGAUUGGACCACAUGCUUUUUCCCAGUACGUGCCAUAUGAACAAUUCAAGGUUUCGACCAACCUAACAUUUCUUUUUGGCAUAACCAACCUAGCAUUUUUUUAAUAUUCAAAAGUAUGAUGUCUUUAGUGUUGCAUGAAUUUGAAUAAUAAAGGUUUAUAUAGUAUUAUGUAAUUAUUUCUGGUUUAGUUUGCACGUGGUUUUGGACUAAAUAUAUAAGCGGUUAAGUAUAUGUGCAUGCAUGAAUAUGUGUUAAUUAAUGAUAAUUGAACACAACUAGGCUCUCUAUAUUUGUUAUUUUGUUUUAUUCCUUGCAUGAUUGAGGUUUUAAUUAUUUCUUGAGUGCCGGCAAAAAAAAAAAAAAAAAUCUUGAGCAUAGUAACCAAACCAAACAAGGAUUAGCCGGAGCGAAGUCAAAUCGAAUUUCAGAAUUUAUGGAGUAAACCGAGGAUAAUACAAGAAGUGAGUAAUAAAACCAAACAUUUUAUAUACUAUACUAGUAGUGAGUAAUAAACCAAAAAAUAAUUUAAACUCGGAUGAUGACAGUAACGACACUAAUACUCAUGACCACUAUAAUAUAGUAUGUUUUGGCUACAAGUAAAUUUAGUUUUAAUGUGAGUUUAUAAGUAAACUUUAGUCUAGAGUGAGUGUUAAGGAAACUAACAUAAAUGGUUAUUUUCCAUACAUAUAAAUUAAAACAAACCUAAAAAAAAAUCAACAACCUUCAAACACUUUAACGUACUAAAUUGACAAUAUGUGGAUCUUACUAAAUUUCUUCUUUACCAAUCAAAUCAAUAUUUUAAGAGGUUAAUUUAAUCCCAAAGUAACAUAAGUUAGUAGCAAAUUUUUUCAUGCAUAUGAAUUUUGUUGAAAGGGACACAAAUAAAAUAACUAAUAGAGAUGUGUUUAUCUCAUUAAAAAAAAAAAAAAAUCUAAAAAGAAAAGGGAAAAUUAGUGACAACCAGAAGAGAAUAGGAUUAAAGUGUUUUUAGUGUCCUACAACCAUGUGGCGGUUGACAUCGUCCGGAUUAGAAUCGUCAUCCAUACUUCCUUGUCUUAAAAGUGAUCUAAUAACUGUUUCACAAUGAUAACUUCGUCUUCUUCUUUCUUUGUAUUAUAGGACAAUUGCGAAGAAAAUUUCCAACUUUGUAUAUAUCUCAAGAAUUAGUUUCGAUUUAUAGAAACAAAUUAAAAAGAGUAAAAGACUUUGAAGGGUGAAGUAUUUAAUAUCUGAUCAUCAUCGGUCAGCAGGCUAGAAAUAUAUUAUACUUUUUUUAUAAAAGGAAACUCAAACUUAUGUAAAUUAAUUUUGCAUAUAAACCCUUGCAUGUAGUGAUGUAACUAUGUAAGUAAGGUUUCAAUAAGAAUAAAUUUAGGUGAAUGUCUUAAAAAAAUGAGUUAUUUAAGAUCCUAUUAACUUGUCAGAAACUUAUUUUUUUCAAUCAUGCAAUACAACUAAUAAAGUUAUAAAGAAAAUAUGACUGGAACAUUAGAUAACUAUCAACUUUUUGAAUUAUUGCUAAAUGCUCUAUCCUUAAACAUGAAAAAAAGGAAAAUAAUUUGGGACUACAACUUGUUGAACUCAAUAAUUUGCCGUAUUUUUCCACCAUAUACGUACUUGUUGCAUUCUAGGCUUUCCUGCUUUGUGUUGUAUGAGCUUUUUAUUUUGUAUAUCUUCUAUUUUCCCAAUCGAAGCAGCAAAUUGCCUUCACAUACAUCAUAUCUCUAUCACAUACAUAAAAUUCAAUUUCAAGAGUUCAGAGAUUCAUAACUCAUGACGGAACAUAUUAGAAUUGGUGUUUCUAAAAUUGAGGUUUGUAGAAUUGUCCAUAAAAAUCAGCAAAAUAUCUUAACCUGCUACAAUAUAAUAAAACAGAUUAUGAUAAAUUAUAGUUAUUUAUAAAAAAAAAAAAAAAAGCAAAUUACUUGAUAAAAUGAAUAUAAAAAAGAUACACAUUUGUAUUUAAAACUAACAACUAAUAUGAGUAACUAUAGUAUCACAUUCAUAGGUCGAUCCGUUGUCUACACGCAUUUAGCCUUUGGAAACUCUAUCCACAUUUAGACUAACUUACGAAAUCAUUUUGUAUUUGCAUCUAAAUAAUACUCUCCAACCCUUCUUAUGACGAGAUGGUCUAUUUCAAAUUCGCGGAUUUUCGCCCGAACUAGCACACAUAUAUGAAUUCAAGCAAUGAGUCUCGUUGGGAAAUUUUAAAAAUGCUACCAUAAAGUGAAGGACUACGUACACCCUUUUUUCUUUAGACCAUCCAGCCCACAAACUUCCCUCCAACAUAAAAGCAUAUGGUAUAUCGUAUUGAAAUAGCAGUUGGAUGGUGCCAUCAUUGUUUACUUGACUCUUGACUAUACCUUUCAAAACAUUACUAAGCCUUAGAAAAGUCAGUUUCAUCGCAAUCAGAUUUGGUGUUCAAGACCGACUCAUUUCUAAAACAACCAAAACUCAUUGUCUUGAGAGAUAUAAAUUUAUACAUAGUUGUGUGGUCAACAAAAUUUCUUCGAAUUAUUAAAUUUUUUGAUAGGAACCAUGUGAACUAACUAUGAUUGUUACGGCCGGUAAAGUAUAAACAUUAUAUUCCUUAUUAGCAAAUUUAAACCGUAAAAUAGAAGGAUAAAAAAACGUACAAAACAAUAAAGGAAUAAUUGGCACGACGUUAAGCUUAACUUUACAUAAAUGAUAAGAGAGAAAAGUAGAGAUUUCACAUCAAUUAUUUCUAUUUUUUCCUUUAUCUUUGCAUUGCUUUAGUGAUAAUUCACAUUAAUUGGUAAUACACACCAUGUGAGAAAUAUUCAAAAGGAACAGAAUAGGACAAGCUCCAAAAAUAAUUGUUUACCUGUCACUUGUCUUGUCCCACUUUCUAAUUGUAUUUGUCUAUUUGAUAACUCUCUUAUCAUUGUUUUAUACAGUUUUAUCAUUAGUUAGUCACUAUUCUAUUACCAAAACUAGUUUAGUAAUAGACUAAGUCAAGGUUAUAUAAUCUCAAGUCUCAACUACUAAAAUGUACAAUAUUUGAUUAUUCAAGUAAACGAAUCAAUUUAAGUUCAUUGAUUAAAGACUUGGAAGGACACGGCCGGCUGAAACCUACCCUUACUCGAUCCACAAAUUUUCUAAAUAAGACUAUUUAAAGCCAUUGGAAGAUACUACUUUAAUUUGUUUAUUGUUUUCCUCUGAAAAGAUUAUUGAUCUAAGACUCACAAUCUUUCGUUAUAAGAAAAUUAAUUUAAGGUGGAAAUAAUAAUUAGAAUGAUAGUUAUAACUUAUAAGUUGAAUAAAAACUCAAUAAAAAAUCAAAACAUGAUUCAAAUAACAAAUCUUACUUUAAUUUUUUUUAAUUCUAAAUAACAAAUAAGUUCUUCAUCUCCAAUGCUGCUAAGAAAAUAUGAUUGAAUAUAUGUGUUAGAAAAAAUAAAAUAAAAAUCCGCCGUACUUAAUUGUAUCAUCCGCAUAUACAAACUAAAACCUAUUUUUUGUUGUCUCUAUCACUCUCAUAAUAAAAUAAAUAUGUAGUAAUUAAACAAGAAUUAUUAUAAAAAGAAAAUCAAAUACCUUAAUCACUUUUUUCUGAAAAUACUCCUCAACUGUUUUAAACAAAAACACAGAAAUAUCUUAAUGGUGAUAGUUGAUCAUCCAAGUAUCUGAAAUUAGCAGCCUCUUAUUAAAAAAAAAAUCUAGAUUUAAACAUGAAUAGAACACAAACUAACAAAUCAAACAAAACACAAUUACACCACAAUAGUCUAAAAAAUAAUACUGGCAUGGGAUCCACAAAACACACUGUCAGAAAAUCUUCAGAGUUCAGAGAACAAGAAGAAGAACAAAUCAGAAGAAUAAAACAGUAAAACCAGAAACAUAUCUAUUCUUACAUUUUUUUUAUCUUUUCUUGUUCUUGUCUCUUCCAUUACCAGAAAACAUUGAACCAAAACCAAACAAAUUCCCAGAAGGAACAACGUUUAUAACCGGACUCACUCUAAUCCCACCACCACCAUGGCUACCAUAACUAUAACCUCCAUAGCUUUUCUUCAAUGGUGGUUUCGAAAAACCAUUAUUACUCAAAGAAGACGAAGCAGAAGAAGAAGAAGACAACGAUGAAGAUUGUUGUAACUUAACAUGCUCGUUAUGUUUCCUUGAGCUGCUCUGUUUCUGUUUACUCGACGUUGAACCGGUUGAAUUACUCCGGUUUAGUAAUGGUAACGGACAUAAACUCCGUCCAUAAGUACUUCCACAGUUUAAACUACUGCUUCUCUUAAACCCCCAAAACGACUUCGUAUUGGUUUUCUCCUCCGUCGUGAUUAUCACGUCGUCUUCUUGUUGUUCUUCGUUUGGUUGUUUCCUCUGUUUUCUUGAAUCCGGUUUAGAUUUAACCGGUUUUGGUUCUGGUUCUUUUUUACCCGGUUCUGGUUUUUUCUUGAUUUCCGUUGGUAAGAUUUUGCCGUUAGAGAAGAGUUCAUCGGCGGACCAAGAACCUUGAUCGAAGCUUUCGCCGGAAUUUACGCCGCCGGGAAUGCAGAAAUCGAAAUCUAUGCUUGAAUUGAGGCUUGAUGGUUUCGAGUUUGAUGAUCUUAAGGGACGUUUCUCGAUUGGUAUUGCGUCUGAUUGACAAAAGUCACGUGAAAAUGAGAUUCUUGGACUCAUAUUAGAAUUUUCCGAUAAAAGAUCCACCGCCAUUUUUUCUUGAAGAAGAAGAAUUUAAAGUUUUUUUUUUAAUAAUGAGAAAUUGUGAAAACGAAGAGAUUUUUGGAUAGUUUCUGCAGAAAAAGAGGAGGAAGAAUUUCGAAGAAGAGAGAAAGAGAGAAUUUUGAGGAAGAAGGUGAAUUUAAUUAUUUUUAUAGGUGAUUUUACAAAAUUUAUUUUUUGGAAUAAAAAGGAGAAACAAUAAAAUGAAUUGUUAGAAUUGUUUUUGUGAAAAAGAGAAAAAAGGAAGAAUAAAAUGGGUUAAUAAAAGAGGGGACAGAGAAGCGUGUCGCUUGCAACAUAUUCACAUGCAUGGGCCAAAAAAGGAUAUAUGUUGGUUCUUCACUUUCGUACUUUUUUUUUUUUUGAAUGGUAUAAUUUUUUAAUGUCCAUAUUGAAAUUUCUGUAAAUAUUUUAGUUGAAGUCAAAAGAUAUAUGGUGAUUGCAAUCUUUGAAAUGUUUAGAGAGUAAACGUUUGGAUUCGUGUUGACCAAUUUGAUGAAGCAGAAGCAGUGAAUGUAGACCAAUGGUGAAAAAGUGCCCCGACGCAAGACUUUAAGAAACAAUUAAAUUACUAAAAUUUUGUCAAGAACAUUGUUAAGUAAAGAGAUUACAUUUAUGACAAAAAAAAAAAAAAGAGAGUACAUUUAUGAUAAAAAAAGAGAGAUUAGUUUGUGUUAAGAGGUAAUAGGGAGAGAGAAGAAAAAAAACUAAAUUGUUUCAGUAUUGUUCACGCAAGAUUUUUAAAUUGUCAUCAUGCAAGUUUUUUGUUAAUAAAUAUAGUUUUAAAUCGUAGUCACACAAUAUAUAUAUAUAUAUAUAUAAUUUUUUUCUUUUUUUUAAACGUCGUCACACAAGAUAUUUUUAAAUUGUAAUCACACAAUAUAUAUUUCAUAAUACAAAAAAUAUAACCAGAGUCAUUUCCGAAUACUUUCUGUAUUUUCUAAUUCGUUAAUUUUUUAAUUUAAUUCAUUCCUUUUAGUUUUAUUUGUAUGAGUUUUAUGUGUAAGAAGUCUUUUAUGUCAAAAUUUGGAUUCGGAUUCCCCAUCCUCGUUAGGUUACCACUUGCCACCUAAAGACUGUAGAACACAAUUCAAAACAUGUGUUAGAUAAGUUAAGGUAAUAAUAGCAUCAUUAGUCAUUACUGGUUCGGUGUACAAGAAUGUUGCAUCAUCCCAUCGAACAUUACUUCACGUUAAAUAAGGUCGAGCACUAGCCAGUCUUCGAAUAUGAUGUAUUCAGGAUGAUAUUUACAUAGGAAGUCAGUUACCAGAAAGUCUUUUUGCGGGUCUGACACCCAAUUAUUACAACCCGAAUUGUUUGGUGCUUUUGAUUGAAAUUUACCCCAACAAUAUUGUUACUGCUAAAACUAUUAGUUGAAGUUAGCCAAAAAAAAAAAAUCAACAACCUCAAUUAAUUCGAUUUUAAAACAUUUUGAUCCAAUCAUUUAUUUGCAGUGACUAUACCGACCUUACUGAACCAUACCAACUACAUUUAUCUACGAUGCUUUUCAUGAGUAUUGAAUUAGGAGCUAAACGAUACAUACAUCGUUGUCUUAUUAUUUAUUCAGUUCUUAUAUUAUUAACCGAGGUUUUUGUCUUUACUAAUUUAGAAUAUCCGUUUAUUUUUAAGAUUCUUAGUUUAGGUUUAAUUUAAUGGUUAGAUGAUAUAUUAAUUAAAGUACAAGAAUAAUUUUAAAAAACCAUACGGGUGGCAUUGUUGAUACUUCCAAACUGAUUAAUAAUAAGGGCAGACAAAUGUCAAAUACAUAUCAAGAACAUAGUUUUCUUUAAUAGUAGACCAUAUUACAAAUUCGUUGUUAUCCAUUUUUGUAAAAUAUGAAAUGUAUAUACAAAGAUUUGGUUACGUGUUUUUUUUUAUUGUCGCUAAUUCUACGUCUUUGUUCCUCUCAAAUUUGGAUUAUAUAUUUAUUUAUUUAAUUUGUAUUUAUCUUAUAAGAUGUAUAUAACAAAAUUUUGUUCCGAUAAGAGAAAUGGAUCUUUUGUGAAAGAAAAGUCUAUAACUCUUUAUUUAUUUAAUAUGAUGAGUCAUGCGAGUUUGCUUUUCAUAAAAUUGAAAUCAAUUUUUUCUUAAAUUUGAAGUAAAGAAAUUGUCAUGUGAUAGAAAGAAAGAGAGAGGAAAAGGAGAUUUCACAUUAUCUAGAAAAUGAAAGGGAACUAUGAAUAAUUUGUAAAUUUGUGAAUUAUAUGAAAAAAAAUAGAAGACAAAGUAAGCAUGGCCAUGGGUCCGAUGGCUACGUACUUACCGAAAACGAAGAAUCCCACUAAGAGAAGUGAAGGGUUAAGAGAUGGUCCACGUUUCCUACUAAACAUUUUCCUAUCCAUUUGGAUCGCCCACGAGCCCACCUUGAAACCAACCCGACCCGAUUCGACCCAAUCACGAACUGCCUACUUUGGCUGCUCUCGAUAAUACUAACAGGAACUUGUACAAUUCAGUUAGGGUUUGGUUAUGAUGACGGACCCAAAAAAUAUCGGAUUUUUCUGAUCCUAGUAAACAAUAAAGAUGGUCCAGUCCGACAAAUAGCAUUGGUGAUGUUUUUGCUGACAAUUACCGAACAAUAAAAGUAUAUAUUUACAUUAUCACACCUAUAAAUACACAAAUCACGUAUAAAUUUGAUAUUUCAAUAUUUGUGACAACAUUUUGACUACAUAAACCAUUCAUAUUUCCAAUAAUUAUGAAUUAUGGAAAAAAGAAUGAUCAAAAAUGAACUGAACUAUAUAGAAUGCUCAUGAAUUGGUAUUUUUUGGAAGAAACAAACAUUGAAAGUUAUAUUCUCUUUUGAAACAGUUAUGGUUUUUAUUAUACACCAUAAGAGAAUAUAAUCCGGAUUAGGCUUCGAUGACUUAUAUCACUCUACUUUUUUGUUUUUUUUGUUACAAUCUUAUAUCAUUUUUAUUAAGUUGUCUUACUAAUCAAGUUUGGAAGAUACAUCAGAUACUAACUAAUUUCGUAAACAAAGAUUGACACGGACGCGGACAACUUCUCACGAGGGACGUUGUUAACGGCUAAACAAGGAUCACAAGUCACAUGCAACCAUCUUAUGGUUGAACCUCCCUUCUAAGAGGACGUGGUGUGCAACUUGCGGUGGCUCAAUUUAAUAUAGGCAAUGGUAGAAGCAUCAUAUUGGGUCAGGAUCCAUGGCUCCCAACAAUGAUCUUGACUACUUCGAAUUAAACCAAAUGUUGAUCCGAGCUUACCAGUUCAAGUUCAACUCCACACAAGUACGGAACUCUGGAAAGAGGAGGAUAUAUGCAUGCAAAUCUAUGUCUCCAAUGAACAUAAUGAGGAUAUUUUUCUGUCUUUUUUGGGGACAAACAGGAAUUGCGAAGGUGUUUACUUUCAUUCAGCACUGAAAAGAGACACAACACCCUGAUACCACUUUAUGUGAAUUUGGAGAGUUUCUGAGAAUGUGUUUAAAUCCAUUAUCAGAUUAUAAUUUACACUCACCGAAUCCAUGAUAAGAUGUCUGAGAAACAAUCGAUAUUUGGAAAAUAUAUUAUUCACAUAAAAGAGAGAAAAAAACACAUUGAACAGAAUUUCAGAAUUCAUGUAUUUUGCAUCAUAUUUUCUGGACAAAUAUGUUAACUUAUUGCUUUUUCUAUGUGAGAGAGUCACUAAGAAAGUACUUACCUCUAGUCUAAGAUUUUGAGUUACAUAUGGAAUUGUAUGAUGUGAGCUUGUUCCUUGGCUCUAUUCUCUUAGAGGCCAUUUUCUCUUUGUGUUUUUACUAUAUUCUCUUAGAGGCAAGUGAGUUUUUGUUUUUUUAUGGUGAGUGUUGUGUUAAUUCCUAACCUCCCCCACUCUCUUAUAUGGCUAGUGAAUUAUUUUAACUGGACAUAAUCGGAAAUUCCUCCACAAUGGGUUUUUGUUUAAUACAUAUCACUCACUGGAAAAUGACAUUGGUAGAAUAAUAGGGAAACCCAUAUUUUAAAGUUAUAAAAAAAUAAAAUAAGAAAUUAGGACAUCUCCAAUGGUGAUCUCUAUAUUUUCCUCUAUUUUAGAGGUGACUCUAUUUUAGAGGUGUCUAUUGUAGUACAAUGCCUCUAAAAUAGAGUUUCCUCUAUAACAGAGAAAAAAUAGAGAUCUCUACAAUUCAACUCUAUUUUUUCUUCUAUUUUUGAAGAAACUCUAUUUUAAAGGUGACUAUUGGAUCAUAAUAUUUUUAAAAUAAAGAUGUAGCUAGUGAAUUUUAAAAAAUAAAAUUGUAUGUGCUCGAAAAUCCCUCCACUGCAUGUGUUCUGUUUUAUUUUUUAUCACAAUGAAAUUAUGUAUCCUGAAGAUGAAUGCAUGCAAAAAAAAAAUGAAGAAUCAUAUCUGUACGUGGAAUCCGCCGAGUAAGAAGUGAUAUGGUAUGUACUUUGCAAAUUAAAGAUUAGACAUCAUUAUUAUAGAUACCUCGAUAGGUUUGUUAUAUUAAUAUUGAUUUUCAUUUAUGCAACCAUACCCAAAGAUAAUCCGUAUAUUCAAAACAAAUUACGUUAAGCUAUCAUAUCAAAGUUUUCUAAUUCUUUUUUUUUUCUCAAAUAAUUAACUAAUAAUAAAAUUUUGCACUAAAACUAAAUUUGUGAAAGAAGAAACAACAAAAGUUAAGAAACAGAAGAUAAAGAAUAAGGUCAUCGUGUAAUUUGUUUUUUCCCUUUUUCGUUUGGGAUUAUUAGGUUGUUAGGGUUUUGAUUCAACACAUACGCUUUCUAUUAAAUCUAACUCUCUCACUUUAUCACCUAUCAAAACAAACGAACAGGAAUCUCAGCUUAAAGAGUUUGAAAAACAAUAAGACUUCUGAACCGUGCCGAGAAAUUUUGAUGCCGUAGGCGAAAAAUAUGGUUUAAUAGUUUAAUAAAAUAAUGUACACAUAACAAAAAAAAAAUAAUGUUCAAAAUUUAAUAAUAAAUUAAGAAAAUUUUAAGCAAAACUCAAAAAAUAAUUUAGAACAAAAAUAUGCCAAAAACAAAAUUAGGUUGAUUAUAAUAUGUAAUUUAGUAAAUUGUGUUAGUAUCAUUAUUAUGUAUGAUGCAUGAUGUUAAUAAAAUAAAAACAUAAUUUUGGUAGUUAAUAAAAAUAUAUAUAAUGGUAAUAUCCAAAAUAUAGUAUCUAUAUAUAAAAAUAUAAAAAUAGUUAAUAAAAUUUGAUAAAGAUGAUUAACAAAAAUGAAGCUGGUAAAGAAGUGAGAAAAAAAAAAUUAAUGAUAUAGGAAAAGAAGAAGUGAGAAAAGAAGAAGUGAGAAAAGAAGACUUUAAGUUAUUGCCUUAAGUGUAUUAAAGAUUCCUUGUAUAUAUUGCAUAUUAUACUACUUUCCUUUGUCAUUUGUAUUAAUUUUUGUAACGUUAUUGCUUCCAUAAUACUUAUAUGAUAAACAUAAUUAACAAAUAUAGCCUCUUCGAUUUUUUGUAAACGUAGGCGAGUGUUUCUUUUUUAUCUUAAUAGGCACGACUACAUUGGUUUAUUUUUCAACAAUCUUUUUCUUUUUUUUAACACUCAACAUCAUAUUUUCUCUCCCACACUUAAUCCUUCAACAUCUAUUUAAUUUUUAACUUAGAUAAUGGUUUGUUUAAUAAAAUUAACAUCCUAUCCCACUAUAUUGUAUAAUAUUUUUAUGUUUCUAGUUACAUAUUAAUAACAAUAAUCAAGUAAAAUCAAAUAAAAUAACUGCUUUUUAAAAAAAUAUUUGUCUUUUAUUUUAUAAUUUAUUGUUGAAAUCUAUUUUUCAAAGAUGUUUACAACUUUAAACAAAAGUGUAUGACAAAAUAAUUGAAAUAAUUAUAGUAAAAUAGACUAUGUUUUUUACAAAUCAAAUGAAACAAGUCUCUAUAUGUAAUGAGAGAAAAAUGAUGAAUUUGAUAUAAAAGCCAUUAAAAAAUUAGUUAAUCAUAAUAAUUAAUCUUAAAUAGUUAAAGUGAUAUAAAAUUUUGAAAAAUUCUAACAUCUAGUAAAAAAAACAUAUGGUUCCUGAUUUUUUAUUCAACAUAUUGAAUCUUUAUAAGUGUGUUUAAUCCUAAGAUUGUUUACUUUUUCAACAUCUUUGUUGCAAGAGUUAAUAAGUAGAAGAAGACAAAUGAGUUGGACCCAACGAACACGAAUUUCUUCAUGCCAUAAAUAUAUUCCACUACAUUGUUUGUUUUUCGUAUGAUUCCACUACAUUGUUACUUGUUAGUAUGCAUAUAUAUAUACAAUAGUAUCAUCUUGUUGAUUGACAUCUGUUUGUUGAUUUUAAAUUGAUAACUCAUUAAUUACAUACAUUUAAGGUAGCUGCAUAUUUCAGACUUGAUAUAGACUUUUGGUUUACCACGCUAAGAGACGUCGAUACCCACUAAUAUGCGGAUGUGCGUAAGAAAACUAUAGAGUAAUACAAGACCUUUGUAUUUCACUCAUUAAUUUGAUCAUUUUCUUACAAAUUAGCAAUUGACCGGAAAUAUCCAUAAGUAGAUAGAAUGGAAUUUCACUCUCUUUUUUCUUCAAUCUCCAGAAAGUUGAAUGAAGGACUAAAAACUAUAUCAAUUUGAAUCAUUUCAACUUUUAGAUUGAUAGUAAAUGAGUUAUUUUCGAAUGAUGUUAUAGAAAUAGACACAUAACAUCAUCUAACUAUUCGUCUAAUUGAUCCGUCUAGCUAGUUAACGAUAUUUCUCAAUUUAGUCAUCAACAAAAAUUCGUGAUUAAAUUAAAAAUUAAUAAAAAUUAGACAUUUUAAUUACUAGGUAAGAUGAUGCUUUAAAUCAAUAAAAAUGAUUAAAAUGAUUUUUUUUAAAACAUUAUUUUUCAUUUAUGUGUUAAAUUAAAAAUUAGGAAAAUUAAACGCGUAAGAUCUAGUCAAUGCGGUCAUAGGGAUGGGUCACCUAAUCAAACAUUGUUCUACCAAUUUCCUCGAAGAAGAAGAAGAACAUUAAGAAACUUAAAACAAUGUCAAAAUCUCAUAAACUAAUAAGAAACCAAUCAAAUUCGUCCAUUUUUCCCUCUUUUCUUUUUCUCUUUCUUUCUCCCAAUCACUCUUCAGAUUCCGGGGAAGAGAAAAGAGAGAAAGAAAGAAAGAUUCAAUCUUUAUUAGCCGGAGAUGGAUUCGCCAAACUGGGAACUCCGUGGUUGUUGUAACCGGAAUCAAAAUACUUUCCUCAUCACCAUCGGAGUCUUCACCGUAGUUAUCCUUCUGGUCAGUUUUCCGACCAGAAAGUUUUGACCUUUGCUUGUUUUUUUCGAUUUUGAAAGGGUUUUUGUAAAAUCUAGUCAAAAGGGUUCCAGAUUGACUUAUAAUUUCAACGAAAUUUGGUGAAUUGAGGCAUUUUAUGUUUCUAGGUUAACAUAAUUUUGAUUGAAGUAUCAAAGUUUCUGUUUUUAUGAUCUUUACUGAGAGAUUUCUUUGUGGGUUUUGGUUUGACAGCUAUGGAGGACAUUUCUAUUGACUCCAUUUAAACUCAUUACGGUGUUUUUGCACGAAGCUAGUCAUGCCGUUGCUUGCAAGCUUACAUGUGGAGAUGUAAGGAGCUUUCUCACUUCAACUACUAGUCUUCAAAUGAACUUAAAAGGGUAUAAGAUUGAUUUUAGGUCACUUGAACCCUUGAUUUAGUUUGCAAACAUGAAUGUGUUUCCUUCCAUUUGUAAAAUGUUGCUGUGUAAGAGCAGAGAAGAUCUUCUGGUUUCCUUAGAUAGAAAGAUUUUUACUUUAGCAAUAUGUCAGUUCAUUCUUCUCUCUGGACAUGACUGUUAGUAUAGCCAUAGAUAAGAGGUUGCAGUAUCCUUAUAUGUCUUGCUAUCUGUUUUAUCCGUAAUCAUAUUUUUAGACGAUUCUUGCUUGCUUCCAUUGUUAAUGUGUAAACUACUAGCUUCUGUCAUUAGUUUAAGAACACACAGUGAGUCUACUUGAAUAAGUGCAGCUGCUCAAGCCUUAGCUGUAGGUCUACAUUAACUUCCCUAGGAGUGAAUGUAACAGAUUAUAGCUCUUUUGUGUUGGUUAGAAAGCUUUUAGUGAGGACUGGUUUUAUAAAGAUGUCUCUGCAGAUAGUUAGGGUGUAGAUUUGAUGGCGAUUUUGGUUCUGUAAGAGUAGGAGUGUUCAGCUUCAGGUCUUAGUCUUACUAUACUUCUGCUUGUGUUUCUUCUAGAUUGAUUGAUGCAUAUCACAAUUUUACCUUAUGCAAGUAUUGCAGUGACAAUGUGAGAUCUACAAACUUUCCUUUGCAAGUACUUCCUGUAUGAAACUUAUCUACCAGCUUCUCUCUAUGAGUCUUUAUGUUUUACCCCCUCAUAAGAAUUAUCUUGAAUAGGCUAUGUAAAGGUUGAACAUAAAUACCACCAAAUGUGUGCACCAUCUCUCUGUGAUUCUGCAACUAACAGUCGCAUAUAAUGUGGAUAAUGUGUUUCUACUAACAAAUUGUCACUCGUUUUGGUAAAUCAACUUCUUAUUGAAUCAAAAGGUAGAGGGGAUGGAGGUGAAUGCAAAUGAAGGGGGUUCGACCACAACACGUGGUGGCAUUUAUUGGUUGAUCUUACCUGCUGGCUGUAAUGCACAAUCUAUCGAUAUAUCUUAUACAAAUCCACCAUUUUUCAAAUUUAGAACUAAAAGAGAUAAAGUUUUAACCUUUUUGUUGUUGAAAAUCUAUAGAUCUUGGCUCAUCAUUUUGGGGAAUGGCAUUGAUUCUUGCAUCUACCAAUCUGCUUACAGCAAGAAUAGCUGCUGCUGGUCUUGGUCUUGCUUUAUUCAUCGUUCUCUUCAUUGCCAAAAACGUAAGAAGUCAUUAUUUCCCUUAUAUUAACAAAGUUUUAUUUCCUUGAAAGUCAUCAACAUUAAACAAUAAGAGCUUCAAUUUUGACAGUGGACGCUUCGAGGGCUUUGUAUAGGUGUGUUAUCUUGCAAUUCUUCUUGUUGCAUUUUCUUUUUAAGUACCCAAAAUCCUUACAUAGUUGUAAAAAUCCCAGGUUUCAUAGUUUUCCUCGCUGUCAUAUGGGUUCUACAAGAGUUAACUACAGUCAAAAUUCUCCGUUAUGUCAUUCUGUUUAUUGGUAAGAAUACCAUCAAACUCUUCUCUGUCUUGUUAUCAUAAUUCAGUUUCAUUUAGCCUUAUAUAAAACUCGGAUUCACAUUAUUGCAGGUGUGAUGAAUAGCUUAUUCUCAGUUUACGGUAUGUAGUUCUCUUCUCCCAUUAACUACACUUAGAGUUAUGACUUAUGACCAAUAAUAAUGUGGCUGAAAUGUAUGCCCAUUAGAUAUCUAUGAUGAUUUGAUAUCUCGGAGGGUCCAUUCGAGCGAUGCUGAGAAGUUCGCAGAGAUCUGUCCUUGCUGUACCGGUUGUGGCUGGGGUGUCAUCUGGUUAGAUUCUAAUACAACUCUCAAUAAUCAGAUUCUGAAAGUGAAAGUGAAAUCCUUUUUCUAACAAUUAGUUUUCAUUUCAGGGGAAUGAUAUCAUUUGCGUUUCUUUGUGCAUCGCUCUAUCUCGGGCUAGUGAUCCUAUCAUAAGAGGGUAUUCUUUGUUACUCAGGUUCAGAUUCUUCCCAGUGAAAUGCAUGCAAAGACAAAUAGUUUGACAAAAAGAUUGAUUCUUUAGAUCCCCUUGAUGUGUUUGGGAUUAACAUUGUCCAUUGAAAGUUUAGGUUUUAUUUGAAAGUUUGUAUUCUUUUUAUAUUGGAGCGUGUUGAUUAGAAUUCAUUGGAUAUUUGAUUUGGUCUAUGUUUAAUGUAUUGAAAGUUCGUUGACUUUUUCAAUAGAAGAUGUCCGUUGACUUUUGUUAAGCUUCUCAUUAUUGAAAAUUUGGAACUUAAAGACGUUCAAAGCUUGACGAAGACAUCUUUAGAAACCCUAAAUAAGACUUGGUCAUCCUCAAACCCCAAAAAGGCAAAAACAUUACGUUCCUAUAAGAUUAUGUUCCUAUUAUUUCUUGUAAAGAAAAAAUAGAAUGUUCUGAAAAUAAUUGUCGUAAUUAAAAAUUUAAUAAAGAAGUUAUAAAGUUUCCUGAGUUAUAUAGAUAAUUCAACGAAAAAAAAUCUUUCAACUUUGGCCAAGUCCAUUUUAAUUCCUUCUAUCCACACGAAACGAAUUUAUUAAACCAAAACUUUAAGGAUUUUAAUACACCAAAACUUUAAGGUCUAUUAGGGUGAAAAUAUAACCAAAACUUUAAGGUGAUAUUUUCACUUUAAUACACCAAAAUUGAGAUUUCUUUUUUAUGAAAUAAAAACAGUUUGGACCAAAUUUGAAGAAUUAUUACGGAAAAUCAUUUUCCCACGUUUCAGUGAUGAGUGAACAGCAUAACAACUAAAAUUGGCGCUUACAUGGUUUUUUGGUGGUUCAUAUCUGUUUGUCCUUUCUUUAUUUAUUUUCUGGUUAAAAUGUUACAUAACUUCAUACCAAAAAAAACAAAAAAUGACAAGAUACCAUGUGUAAAGUUAUAUACUACACACAAUUUGGUUUUAGUAGAAAGGGUCGAAUGUUUAUCGGAAUAUCAUUCAAUUUUUUUGUGGUUUUUUUAUGUAGAUAAAGUUGUAUAGGAAAUAACUAUUCUAUCGAUCGAGAUAUAACUAACUUGACCAAAUACUAUAGAAUAUGUUCUUCUUCAUAAAAUAUUGGAGAUGUGCCAUAAAAAGAUGUUGACAAAUAAUUAGGCACAUGCAAGAACCGGGUUCGAUAAGUUGAGGAAUACCAAAACGGAACACAAACUUGGAGAAGAUGACGUAAAGGUCAGAUUUGGAGCAUAACGAACUCAAGGUCACCGCCUAAUUACUUUUUCAUCCAUUGACGACGUCUUCUAACAGUAACCCUUCAUUCUUCAUAUGAUUCCUACGUCUCCACUCACAUGAGAUACUAGAAUUCUAUAAUUUAGGUCUAUAUAUGGUUUUUGGCUAUUUUAUGACAUAAACGAAUUCAAUAACUAAAAUUCACAAUUUAACAUAUUAUAUAUGAUGUCAUGCAUGAUAAUUGCCAACUUGAGGACAGAAGUUUUUAUUUUUGGACGGAAGUUUGUAAAAGCUUGCAUCCACGAUUUAAAAUAGUGUUUGCAUGUUGUAUAGUUGAACACGUGGUAUAAGAAAAACUAAUAUUUUCGAUAUCAAUUGGGGAAAUAUACUUUUUUGGAAGUUUCUCAUCGUUGGAAUGAAGCUCUUUACCCUCCUAGGGUAAAAUUUCUUAUACUACGUACAUUUCUUUACGCGGAAGCUAUAGCUUAUAAAGAAUCGGUCUAUUGACCACCAAAUGGCCCAUUUCUGGACUAUGUCUCGUUUCAUGUAUGAUGGAAGAAUUGGAAUGACGCAUUUGCUCGAUGAUAGGACCGAUUAUGAUGGUUUAGACAAAACACAUCGGCCAAUCAUCAGAUUCCGGGGGUUUUGUUUUUCCAUUAAGCUAAAAUAAAAAUAAAAAAUAGUUUGUGUUUUACUGGUAAACACAAACACGAAAAAUAGUUUUACAUUCGUGUAUAUAUUUUUUAUAUUCCAAGAAAAUGAGGCGUCAUAAAUCAUAGUUCAUACUGUUGGAUUGCUGUUAAUGUUAUUUCUAUAUCAAACCAAGGCAAGUGAUAACAAAAAUAAGAAAUGUAAUAAUGUUGACUUGUAAAUAAAGUAAGAAAAUUAAAUUCUGUCAUUUCAGACGAGGAAGUAUGUCACAUGUAAAAUAGAUCAUUGAUACUUUUCAUGAGAACUUCCAUAAGAAUUAAGAAAGCCAUUGACUUCUACCUUUCUUAAUUUCCAGCUUGACCCAUUUUUUCUCAUGAAAUUAUAAGAACUUUACGUAUUAAAUAUAUAAUUAUUUUAAAUAUGUUUAUAGUUAUUAUGAAUUUUAAAAAAUUUGUAAUGUAUUAACCAAGGUUGAAAUUAUUUGAUUUGACUUUCUAAAUACCAAAAUUCAUGUAAUUUCUUUUAGUUCUUACCAAAAUAUUUGUGUGGUAUGCUAAUAUUCGUUUUAUAUGUAAUUUCUGAGAAAAUUUCAUCCCAACUAAAAUAUUAAGUGGCAAACAAUGUAUAUAGGGAGAGAUUCUACUUUUCAUAUUGUAAAUUAGAGUCAUAUCAUAUCUAUAAUGUUCAUCUAAUAUGUGAUAAGGAGAACAAAAAUAAUGGCAAGUUUGGAAAAAAAUCAUUUUGCAUAUUUUGACUCAUUUGCAUUUUUAAAACCUUUUUCUUGAUCCUUCUCCUUAUCUUAUCUUUUCUCAAAUUCUAUAUUUCCAAAAUAAAACACGCACUUUCUAUUUUAAUUAUAAUAAAAAAAGAGUUCUCAAGUUAUCUUCCAAAACUGGUCUUUACCACUAUAUUUCAGAUUUCUCCUCCACGUCUACUGAUUGUCAUAGAUGAUGCGUUCUCUUCUUGUUCACACGUAAGUACUUCAUUUUUUUGGGUGCAAAUGCAACAAUUCACACGUAAGUAUACUUUUCACAAUUGCUUUUUUUUCUUUGUUAAUAUAUAGUUAUAUACUUUCCAUAAUAUAAUUCAAGGAUUUCUCGUGAACCGAUUUUUUAAAAACAGUUAGCUAAUGCAUAUCUUUAUUUCUACAUAAAGAAACACAUAUUUAGUCUAUUGCUUCUCUAUCAAUAUUCUUCUUUCCAUAUAUAUAUGAUUGAAUUUUAACCCUCUUACAAGGAAUAUAUUUCAUUUAUACAUUAUAUAUAGAUUACAAGAAAACCCCAUCACUCUAUAUUAUCAGAUUCAUCAUCGAAGGAAAAAUAAAAUAAACGGCCAAAAAUGGGAGCAGACGCAAUCCAAACGAAUGGUCACGAUCAAGCCAAGUUAACCGGCGGUGAAGAGAUCCAACGGCUGAGAUGUUUUGUGAAGAACUACGAAUGGGGCAAACUCGGACCGGAGUCAUUGGUGGCGAGACUCCAAGAGGCUAAUACAGGACAACGAGUCGAUUCGGAGAUUCCUUACGCUGAGUUUUGGAUGGGUACUCAUGAGUCUGGACCGAGUCAUGUUGAAUUCGGGUCGGGUCAUGGUGUGUCUGAUAAAUGUAUGGUUACAUUGAAAUCGUGGGUUUUGGAUAAUCCGAAUUUACUCGGGUCUAAAGUCGUGGACAAAUGGGGUUGUGAUCUUCCUUUCCUUUUCAAGGUAAUGAUCAAUUUCUCUGUUUUUUACUCUGUUUUGAAGAUGUUACAUUUGACUAAGUUUUUCUGAUUAACAAAUUUGAUUUUUAUGUGUUUCUAAAAGUUAUAAUAUACAGAUUUGAGUAUAAUCAUAUUAUAAAAACAACUAUAUAUCUAUAUAUAUAUAUAUAUAUCUUAUAAUCAAAAUAUACAUUUUCAGAUUCUGUUUUAUUGUCAAUUUCUCUGUUUUUUUCCUCUGUUUUGAAGAUGUUACAUUUGACUCUGUUUUCAUUAUUAAAAAGGUUGAUUUUUUUUUGUGUUUUUUAAAGUUAAAGCAUACCGACUUGAAUCUAAUGAGAAGUUUUUUCUUGUUGUAAUGCGAAAAUUAUCGAAAUCAUUGUUGAUUUAGGCACAUCCUAAUAAUUUCUCUGUUUUUUUGCUCUGUUUUGUAGAUGUUAACAUUUGACUCUGCUUCUCUAACUAAAAAUGGUGACUAUUUGUGUGAAUUUUUAAUCUAAUCAUAAGUGUUUUGGUUUUUGAAAUGUGAAAAAUUAGGUUUUGUCAGUAACGAAAGCAUUGUCGAUUCAAGCACAUCCAAAUAAGGCCUUAGCAGAGAAAUUGCAUAGAGAAGAUCCUCUUCUUUACAGAGACAAUAACCACAAGCCUGAGAUUGCUCUUGCUGUUACUCCUUUUCAAGCCCUUUGUGGUUUCGUAACUCUUAAGGUACACAACUUCAGAUCUUUCUCUCUGGUAUCUUAUUACAUUCGGGUUUUAAGUUUUGCUUAGAUCUGAUUCGAUCUAAACGGUUUUGUACCUAAAUUGAAUCAGGAACUGAAGGAGGUUAUCACUAAUGUACCAGAGAUCACGGAGCUUGUAGGAAGCAAAGCUGCAGAUCAAAUCUUCAACGUCCACGAACACGAUGAAGACGAGAGAAUCAAAUCCGUUGUUCGAUUGAUCUUCACACAGUUGAUGUCUGCAAGUAACAAUGAGACGAAGCAAGUGGUUUCUCGGAUGAAGAAUCGUCUGCUCUUAGAGACCAAACACCGUGAACUGUCGGAGAAAGAGAAGUUGGUUUUGGAACUGGAGAAACAGUACACUGGUGACAUAGGUGUCAUCUCAGCCUUCUUCUUUAACUAUGUCAAGCUUAAUCCUGGAGAGGCUUUGUAUUUGGACGCUAACGAGCCACACGCAUAUAUAUCCGGUGAUUGUGUUGAGUGUAUGGCGGCUUCAGACAACGUAGUUAGAGCUGGUCUUACUCCUAAACAUCGCGAUGUUCAAACGCUUUGCUCUAUGCUUACCUACAAAUUGGUAACUUUCUUUACACGUUAAAUUUUUGGUAUCUUUCUUUACACGUUAACAAACUGGUUUAGUUGGUAAACCGAUUGUUUUUUCUUCUUUGUCCGGUUUAUUGAUAAAACGUACCGGAUUUGGUUCAGGGUUACCCGGAGAUUCUGAAAGGAUUUCCUCUGACUCCUUACGUUACAAGGUAUCUUCCUCCAUUUGAUGAGUUUGAAGUGGAUCAUUGUGAUCUUCCUAGAGGAAAAUCGACGGUUUUUCCGGCAGUACCAGGUCCUUCGGUUUAUUUGGUUAUUGAAGGAAAAGGGCAAUUGCGAACCGGUUCAUCUAAAGUUUUGGUAAACCGAGGAGAUGUUUUGUUUGUUCCGGCUGAUAUUGAGAUUCACGUAACUGGAGAAAGUGAUGUGAUGAAGCUUUACAGAGCUGGAGUCAGCAGCAGAUUCUUCCAAACAUUGUAGGCUAAAGUUUAAGUAUAUUAAAUUUACUAAUUACUAUAUACUAUAUAUAUUUAUAAGCAAUCAUAGGGACCAAUUCUCCAAAGUGUUAGGAAAUGUGUUCUUUAAAUCCUUGAUGGCCCAUUGCAAAUUCAAGGAGUUGUCAUUUUCCUAUAUUUAAUUUUGAUUUAAACGAACUAUAUAUGUAAAAUGAUUGUAAAACCAUGUUAUCCUAAUUUAAAAUAUAUUUGAGAUGAAAUUAGGAUAAAAUAUCUUUGAUCACGUGUGUUAAUUGAUGAAAUUUCUGAGCAGUCUUCGAGCCUCGAUAUAUGACUAAGUCAUUGUCGAGGGAAGCUUUAAGUUUACUAAGUACUAACAGAUAGUUGUGAUGGCUGUUUCCUCCUCCACCUAGUUAGAGGAGAAGUUGUUAAUUUUCUUUCUAGUGGGGAAAACUAAUUUGGAUUUGGUUUUUGAUAACUUAAUUUGGAUUUGGGCCAUUUAUAUUAAUUUAUGAGGUUUAUAUUGGGCUUGAGACCAAAGAUAGAGUUGGCCUAAAAAUGUGAAGGUUUCAUGCUUUUUGGUAAGUCUGCCUCAUACCUAGCAUUACAUUUCCAUCGAUGCAUAUUCUUGAAUAUGUGUUGUGUAACUUGUGUUGAUUGAUUGGUGUACGGAGCACUUGAUCUGCUGAUGAGGUCAUGACACACCACUCAACUAAAGGGCUCGAGUCGUAGUAGUGUUGUCACAUCAAAACGGAUUUAUUAAACGUUUGACAAAUUUAGUGAACCUAAAUCUGUAGUUUAGUAAAAUAUUUGAAGAGGAGGUUUUCAAGUUGCAAAUUUCUGCAAAAACCUCAUGAGGUAAACUUAUUGACAAAAGAUGAAAACUUGUCUCGAGUUGUUUGGUCUCAUUGAUACUGUCAACAACUUAACCCAUUACAGCUAAUUUAACAUGAGCAAAAGCAUAAUGAAGCAUCAUUCCAAAUCUUUAUAGGCAUUUAAGAAACCAAGAUCAUCAGCUUAUUUGUACUGGUUGUUGAUUAUAGCUUUGGUUACGAAAUGCGAAACGAUUCCAACCGGACAGAAGAGAAGGCAAAGUGAAACCGAAUGCCUCGUCUCGAUCUGGUUCUCUAACCCAUCAUUAUAAACUUGCCUGCAGAGUAAACCCAAAACACGCUUUAUAAGAAACAUGUAGGAUAAUUUCAGAACCCAUUGAGAAGAAGAGAAGUGUAAUAUACCGUGCAGCGAAAAGAUCUACAACAAGAAGAUGAAUCCAAGCAGAAGCAAGAGUCAUUUCACUUGAGAACAUUUUAGCUAUUCCAGACAACUGCAGAUGAAAAAACUAACUUUAGAAACUGCAAUGAUACAAAUAUUGUGGAUGGUUAAGGGAAAGCAAAACCUCUGGCAACAUGUAUUUACUAGAAAACAUGUAUUUGAGCGUCUCGGGUGUCCAAGAAAUGUAUAACAAAUACACAUAUAAUACGCCUAAGAUGAUAUACGGUACGCUACUCUCCAUACACUUCUUGGUCUGCACAAAGAAACAUACUCAAUUUUGAUCAACUUCAUUAGGUCAUCAAGUUGUAAAACUUGCAACAAAAUUAAACUUACAAUUUCAGCUUUUGGUGCUACAACCAUUAGAGUAUAGAAGGGUAAAACCGCGGUAGUUCCAACCGCAAAUACACUGCUUGCAAUCUGAGUAGUAGUUAACCCUACAACAUGAACAUAUAAGAGAUUCUAAUCACACAUAUAAUCUUAGAUCAAAGUCACAAAAUGAGUGACAAAGUUUAAUCUUUAAAUGGUUAUGAGACACAGUACAUGAAGCUCGUACACCGGAGAAUUUCUUGUGAACUACGGUGUAAGAAUUGGACUGAACAGAGAUUCUUGAUCCUCCAAUGAAGCUCCAACGAUGAUCUAAUCUAAUCUUUGAAGAAUCAAGACAAAGUUCCGAUCUUUUAGCAGAAACGUUGCGUUUCAUCACCUGAAUUCACCAACAAAGAAAGAAAGAUUCUUCUUUUACUUCAUAGAAAUUCAGAAACUUUCAUACAAAAACUCACAACAAUCAAGAACAGAGAUUCUGUAACAGUGACUCAGAAAGAAUAAAGUCAACUCAAAAACCCAUUAAAUUCUUCAAUUCUAGUCAAAAGAUAAAAAGACUUUAAGGUUAUCCAUAACUAUAGUUUAACUCAACACAGAAUCUAAUCCAACAACUGUACAUAUAUGUAUAGUGAAAUUAAAGAAGAAGAAGAUACCGAGAGAGAUGAAGACAAAGGCUGAGAAAUGAAAGAAGAAAAACCCAUCUCUGAUUCAAAUCUUCACCACUAAUUGCCAAAAAUUGAUCUUUCAUCACCUUCUUCAACAAACUCUCUGCAUAUAUAUAAUGGGAAUGGUUGCGAGAUUUCCACUGGAUAAAAAAAAACGAAAGUGGAAGGGAAAAAAGUUGUCUUUCACUCUUUCUUUGCUCAGUGUCGACAAUUAUAUACAACACUUUUUGCUCAUCCUUCCAUCUUUAUAAAGUUUUCAUCUUUUUUACUUCAAUAUUUGUUUAAACUUUGAAUUCCGGUUUAGUUUAUUAUAAUUAUUUGGAUUUUGUUUGUUUAUUUAAUUAACUUCUAAUUUAAUAUGGAUCAAUUAGUAGAUUUAAGUAACAUUUUUGGUUUACUUCAAUCAAUGAUAUAUUUUUACUAUUACCAUAUAAGUUUUUAUUAAACCAAUUAUACAUAAAAAAAAAAGUUCAAUACAAUUCAAUAUAAAAUUUUGAAUAUAUUGAUAAAAAGUUAAAUAUAUAUAUUUUAUUUUUGUGUGAAAAAAGUUAUAUGUGUAUGUUAAUGGAGAUUUAAGUGAAUUUAGGUGGACAAGACACAAGUCUAGUUUCAGGAAAGAAAAAGACAAUGGUUAGUGUUUCCCCCCAUUAAUUCGGUUGUUUACUUUUAUUACAUUUAUAUAUUUUUAGUUUUAUAUUCACAACCUGGUUAUUGCAUUAAGAAUUGACUGAAAAAAAGAUUUAAAAAAUACGUUAGGACAAGAAAAAGAUAGACAUGUGGCUAAUACUCAUUGUUGGAGAAAUUGGAUGGAGUAGGAAGAUAACUUGGGUGGGCUAUUUGGUAUGAUAACUUAUUUGCUUUGGUAUUAAUGGGCCUUUUGACCCACCCACUUUGUUUUUUUGCUUUAUCACUCCCACCUAAUUUGUUUAUUUAACAAAAAAACAACACAUGAAAACAAAAACAAAUUGUGAAAAAAAGAAAAAAAAGACAAAUCUUUGGUAUCUCCUAUCUUUCAAUCUUUCUGUGGUAUUUGAGCAUUUCGAUGUUUUCGAUGGUGACCAAAACCUUUUGGUAAACAAUAUGUAUAAUUCUUGAGAUUAAAUGGUACAAAAAUUAUUAAAAAGGGGUAAAAAUCGUUUAAAAUAUUUCAAAACUUUACACUAUAUCAGUAACUAAUUAGGAAAAAAUUAAAAAAAAAAAUGAAAGAAAAUUUUGAGUUUUUACGACCCACACAUAGCUUAUCCUAUUUCGAAAGUACCUAAACAAACGACUCCAAAAUAUCUUUAUGUGAAUUUGGGUCAAGUCCCUUUGAUUGAGGAAAUAUAUGAUCCACAAGAUCCUUGAAUAUACUUGGUAAAAAUGAAUAUUCGAGACUCUUAUCCAGAAUCCUAUCCUAAACAAGGCACGUCCACUUAUGUAUCCAUCACUAGAUUUCAAGUGGGUCAUCUUUUGCUUCAAGAUAUUGUUACUCUAAACCUCUCAAGCUCGUUAAUCAUGUGACAAGAAUUGAAUGUGAAACUAAUUUUCUUAAUGAUUUCUUUAGCGACUCAUGGUUCUUAAACUUGUAAAUUUCAUAUUUGUAGCCGCAUUGUCCUAUUUUCUUUUUGUUGAUAUGCAUAUCAAAUUGAAAGACUUAUAGAACAUUACAUAUUUAUUUCAUCAGACAGUUGAGAAUCCGAUAGAAUAUGUCUCGCAAACCGGAAAACAAACGUUAAGUCCGGAAAUUAAAACCCAAGAAAGAAGAAAAAAGCAGAAAAACAAGGGAUAAAAUCAAAGAUGGGGGAUAAAGUUUUGAGGUUUACACAAAAGCAAAGGGAAAUUAACCGGUGAAGCUUGGUGGCUUGUAGGCAAUGAAACUGAUGCACUGGACUUGACGGGUGUUGUCGAAUCCGAUGAUCCUAAUGAAGGCAUUGGGGUACUCCUUCUUGCACUCUUCCACUUCCUUCAACACUUGAGCGGAGUCGGUGCAACCGAACAAGGGAAGCUUCCACAUUGUCCAGUACCGUCCAUCAUAGUAUCCGGGUGAGUUACCGUGCUCACGGUACACAAAUCCGUGCUAUACAAACCACAUGUUACAAACCACUCAGAUAACAUUUUGAACAUGUUUAUAUAAAUCAAGAUCCUAAUAUAUUAAACCAAAUUUUCCUAAGAUCUAGCUAGUUUAUAUAGAUGUUUAAAUUUUGUUUAAUUACCUCCAACUCGAAUUCAACACAAGGAAUCCACUUGUUGCGGAUAAGGUAGUCAACUUCCUUAGCCAAUUCGGAAUCGGUAAGGUCAGGAAGGUAAGAGAGAGUCUCAAACUUCUUCUUUCCAAUCGGAGGCCACACCUAUUUUUUCGAUUUUUCCAAUGAUAUUAGUUUAUGUAGAUUCGAAGAAAGAACCGAAAAAAAUCAUAUGGAAUAAUAAAAAAGUGAAAGAAGAAAUAUAAAUGACCUGCAUGCAGUUAACUCUUCCGCCGUUGCUUGUGAUGGAAGUAAUGUCGUUGUUAGCCUUGCGGGUGGCUGGGAAGGCAGCGGAGGACUUAAGUCCGUUGAAAGGAGCGACCAUAGUGGCCUGAGCCGGAGAGGCAACCAUAGUAGCGGAAGAGAGCAUAGAGGAAGCCAUUGUUCUUCUUUACUCUUUGUGUGACUGAGGUUUGGUCUAGUGCUUUGGUCAUCUAUAUAUAAUGAUAACAACAAUGAGAACAAGCUUUGGAGUGAUCGGAGGGUCUAGGAUACAUGAGAUUCAAGUGGACUAGGAUCUACACCGUUGGAUUUUGAGUGUGGAUAUGUGUGAGGUUAAUUUUACUUGGUAACGGCCACAAAGGCCUAAGGAGAGGUGUUGAGACCCUUAUCGGCUUGAACCGCUGGAAUAAUGCCACGUGGAAGAUAAUUCCAUGAAUCUUAUCGUUAUCUAUGAGUGAAAUUGUGUGAUGGUGGAGUGGUGCUUGCUCAUUUUACUUGCCUGGUGGACUUGGCCCUUUCCUUAUGGGGAAUUUAUAUUUUACUUACUAUAGAGCUUUCAUACCUUUUUUUUACCUUGGAUUUAGUUAAUAUAUAAUGGUAUGAUUCAUGAAUAAAAAUGGGAAAUUUUUGAAUUUGUACUGCUAAAUGCAUAAGAUUAGGUGAAACUGUGGAAUAUAUAUUUUUUUCAUUUAAAAGCAAAAUUUGCCUUUUACUAGAAUUAUAAAUAUAGAAAAAUAUAUAACAUUCAAAUAAAAAUGAAAAUAAGAACUUUCAAAAAACAGAACUAUGUUUAAUGUGUAAAGAUUAGUCGCACAUCAAGUCAUCUGUUACAAUAUGUUACAACAAGUCAUAAGCCCAACAAAGUUAGCACGUCUAAAUAAACUAAAGAGUCCACGAAAAUAUUACAAAUCAUAAGCCCAACAAAGUUAUUGAUCAAAAAAAAAAAACGCCCAACAAAGCUAAACAAAGUCCAAAAAAAACUUCUCAAGUCUCCAUCUUCCUUUAUGAACAUUGAAAACUAUACACAAAACAAGUCAGAUAAAUCUCUUUCUGGGCCUGUCUUCCCAACCUCCUACAUCACUUCCCUAUCGGAUUGAAUGUUUUACUUGUACCUUUUCCGUUGCAAUGAUAUUGAUAGUAUGUUUGUGAAAACUAAUAGGGUUAACAAUCGAAGUCAUGGAAUAUGGAUUUGGUCCAAGAUUUUCCGAGAGCUUUCUAGUAGAAAGCCCAUCACCAGAAAUUUACUAGUAAAAUAAAUCACCAAUUAGGUUUCUUAUUAUGUGCCAAAUUCAAUAUAAUUAUAGAGGAUAUUUCAAAUGAAAACGUAUGAAUGUUAUUAGUAAAUGGUCAGGUAAGACAUUAAAAAAAUCCUACGUCAGAUAUUCAACUUUAAAAAUUCGAUCAGUGUGGAAUUGUACAAAAAUUUGGGAUCUACUAUAUAUAUAUAAUGCUUUACAACACUUGGAUUUUUUUUUGGAGGCUGGAAUUUUUAAUCUACAUAUUUGUUUUGGCCAUGCACCAACUCAUUGUUUAGUGUAAUACUUUGAUUUUGUCAAAUAUAUGUGUUCGUGUAUAUUUGUAUAAGAAUUUCUUUGACCAUAUACACACACACAUAUAUAUAUAUAUAUAUAUAUUAUAUAUCAUGCACUUUUAAUUGAAAAAAUAAUAUAUAUAUAUAUAGUGCAUUUUUUCUAACAACCAUAUAUGUUGCGAUUGAUCUGCAAAAAUACUGCUAGAGUAAUGAAAAAUAUAAUCUAUUGCUGAAAUUAUCUCAGAUGUUAAGAUUUUCUUAAAGUAAAUUCUUUCAAAUUUUAGCUAAAAGUCUUGUAAUAACUAAAGAAUAAUACACAAUCUCGACCACGGAAAAAAAACACAUAAUAAAUUUGAAUUCUGACAGUGAACUCUACUUUUGAAUUCUAAUUAUAGAGUGAAGAAUCUUGAUAGAUGAAAGCCAUAAACAUGUUUGUCGAAACUAGAAAGUACCCACAUAUCAUAAUAAGAUGUUUCUAAUUCCACUUUGAGACUCAGUCAAACAGUUAAUAUCUUGGACAAUAAGAAUUUGUUGACCAAUAAUCCUAUAUUACAAGAAGCCUUCUAUUAUUUUAAUCAAAACAUUGAAGCUCAAGCUCCUCGUAAGGUAAAGAGCCCACAAAAUUCCGAAAACCAUGGAAAACGCGAGUCCCUGGGUUUGCAUUAUAUUUUCUAUAUUUGUUUUUCUUUUCUCCUAAAAUUAUGGAAGUGAUUGGAAGAUACAAGAGGUUUUGUCCAAACAAUUUAAACUCGACGACUAAAAACGUAGGAUGACGCGAUACACACGCGCGGCCAUAUGCAUGCAAACCCCUAUAUUUCUUUUUAAAGUUUUUGGCUCUUUCCACAUUUUUAAAAAUAAAAAUAUUUUUGGACAUUUUUGCAUGGCAUCUUCACCUAUCUCUCCUCCAUUUGUCUUUCUUUUUUCAGUUCAGUGUAUCAUCAACAAGAGUUCACAAACUUUUAUUUUUUACACAUUCAUGGCUUGUUUCUAGUUCUAGAUUUGGAUUUUUCUAGCUUCACUUUUGAUAGAAUUCGGGGGAAAUAGAAAUUGUUAAACCAAAAGGAAGAGUUAACGUUCGAUUCUGUAUCAGAUAAAUCUCUAUAAAGGAUUAUAUCAUUGUAUUAUUCCAGCUAGCACAUAUCCAUUUUCGUAUUUGUCAAUUAAGAGAAUUUGUAUUUAUUUGUUUAUUAUAAGACGACAAUAAGAAAGACGACAAAAAAUUUUAUUCGUAUGCUUAUAUUUUGUAUGCAUCUAUUUUUCUACCUCUUACCUAUGCAUUUUUAUUUUAAUGAAUUAUCAUAUCUGUUUGUCAAUCACUUCUAUAGCAAUAUGAUAAUUUGGUUGAAACUGUAUUUAUCCAUACGUCUAUCUAAACAUGUAUAUAUACCAUUUGAAUUUUUCAAAAACAUAAUAUAUAUACAUAUAGGAAUUAGGUUAUUGACUUAUUGUUUAUCUUACAAUAUGUUAAGUUAUUUGAUAUAGAAAAUUAUUGUACAACUUUAUACAGGUCUUCUAAAUUACCUGAAACGACAACAAAUUUAUUUCAUACUAGUAUAUAUCAUAUAGCAUAUAUAGCUUUCACAUUCGUCUGUAACUGGUCUUUCAGAAAAAUUGACUCUAUAGAGUCUACUAGCUAUAGUUAUGAUUGUUCGCAUGAUUAUAUUAUUAGUUAAAGUGGAGACAAUCGUAUUAAUCGUGUGAUAGCCGGCAGAAGAAAAAAUAAAUCGUUUUAUCCGUUAAAAUUAUAUAUAUUUUGUUUUACUGUAUUUUUCUAGUUUUUAACUAAGUUUUAUCUUUAUAUAAAUAAUUAUAAAUGUUUAUAUAAUGUUUGAUAUACUUAAAUAAAUAUUUUAUCUAAACUUUGUUUGCGAUUUGACAUUUUUAACAUUUUUGAUAGAUAUUUAUAUAUUUUCUAUAAUUUUAAUUUUUAACUGUUUCUAAACCUUAAUAAUAAUUAAUAGAUUGUGUGUGCGUUUUUUUCUUUAUUUUAUUAAAGAAGUAAUAGAAAUAAUUCAAACAUCACCAUUCAAUGAUGGGUGUUUCAAUGGAAGAAACUACCAAAUCUAACCAAUAAACGUUGGCAUCUAUUCACCUAAAAGUAAAAAUUGUAGAGCCUAUAUUAGUCAAAGUGAUCCAUGCAGAUAAUUUAUUAGUAGGUCUUUCGAUAUUAAUGUUGAUAUAUACUAGAGCCUAUAGAAGUCAAAGUGAUUCCAUUAAGAUAAUUUAUUAAGUAGGUAUUUGGAUAUUAAUAUUAAUUAUCAGAAUUAUGUAUGGAGCUACAUAAUGUGUAACCGCUCAGAAAACGCGGCGAUUCGACCAAACUCUGUUACCACAAUGUCUCCGCCACGCGAUCACACUUUUGCGCUUGCAUGCGAACGUUGAAAUUCGAACCUCUCAUCUCUCUAUUUACCAUUUUACCCUCUAGUAAUUUCGUUUUCAAAAUUUACUAUCUCCAAAUAUUUUGGCAGUCCAUUAUUAAUUGCCGAACAUUAAACUGCGGUCUAGACAAAAACAAACGGCGGUCAGAUAUAAACAACUAACCAAAAAAAUAAAAUACUUGACUGGUUUUGGACAUUUUCGUCGAUGAUGAUCACGCGCUACGAAUGAGAGCCAAAGACAAAGCUCAACGGGCUUCCAUAUAUAUUUCAUAUUUAUUAGUAACUAUUUUCCCCAAAAAAAAAAAUAUAUAUUAUUAGUAACUACAAACAAACAAACAAAAUGUAUAAACCAUGAAAAUUAAAGAUUUUAAAAUUUUAUAACUAUACAAAUAGUAUGAGAAGCUUUGUUUAUUUUUAUAAACACAUAAUAACAGUUUGAAAAAAUUACUUACCUAAAUAAAGGUAAUAUUCUCGUAAUUUACUAAAAUAAUUCAUACAAAAUAUAAAAACAAUUACAAAACUCUUCUUUUUUGGGCUCUUUACAUCUUAUUUAUACUUUGAAAAUUACGAUAUCCAUUUAGAGAAAAAUAUAACAUGCACGUCACAAAUUUAUUUAUUUUUUGAAAAAAAUUACACACAAAGAAAACGACAACUUCGUUCCUUGUUAAUUGUUAUGAUCUCUCCGACCAAACCCAAGCAGCUUCUCCCUCUUAAAUACCUCUUCCUUCUUCUAAGAUCUCUGGACCAUUCUGUACUUUCCCUCAAACCCAAAACACAUUUUGUUUUUUGUUUCCCAUCUAAAAUGCGUAUGAGUUGUAACGGAUGUCGAGUUCUACGAAAAGGCUGCAGUGAAAACUGUAGCAUAAGACCUUGUCUUCAAUGGAUCAAAUCCGCUGAAUCUCAAGCCAACGCCACCGUCUUCCUCGCCAAGUUUUAUGGCCGUGCGGGGCUCAUGAACCUCCUCAACACCGGUCCUGACCACCUCCGUCCUGGUAUUCAAACUUCCCAUGCAUGUUAUGUUUUUUGUUUGUUAUGGUUAAUUGCGAAGUUCUGGACGGAAUCUCUCAUACAUCUUUUUAGGAAACGUAGGAUCCUGUUUAUUUUUCUAACAUGCAUCUAAUAAUUUGGUAAUUUUGUUUGUUUUUGCAGCGAUAUUUAGAUCAUUGUUGUACGAAGCAUGCGGGAGGAUUGUGAAUCCGAUAUACGGAUCCGUGGGGUUAUUGUGGUCAGGAAACUGGCAUCUUUGUCAAGCGGCCGUUGAGGCAGUAAUGAGAGGCUCACCCGUGACUCCGAUCGCAUGCGACGCAGCGGUUACUGGUCAAGCACCUCCUUUUAACAACAAGCUUUGCGACAUAAGACACGUGUCAAGCAGGGACGAGAACGUUAAGAGACGGAGCCGUGGUGCAUGCAAGGAAGAGAGAAACGUGAGGUCUUUGAGUCAUGAGUCGUCACUGAGUCACGAGUCACCGGUGUCUUCUGAGGAGACGACGACGGAGGAACCAAAGACUUGGAUCGGGCUUGAGCUGACUUUGGGGUUGGAGCCUUUAGCACGUGGAAAUCACGUGGUGGUACCGAUGAAGAAAAGAAAGUUAGAGAGGUGUGGCACGUCUGAGGAUGAGGACACGUGUAAGAUUGAGCUUGGACUGGUGUGCAGUGAGUGAAUGGUUCUUUUUUUGUGGCUGGUCUUAAUUACAAGUUUUGGUGUUGAGUUUUAGGUGUACAAAUAGAGAUUAACGAAUCUCUCUUUUUUCUCUUUUUGAGUUUUAUGUUUUGUUUUGUUUUCUUUUGCAUGUUCGGUGUUCUUCAUAAAUAUGUAUGAUGAAUGAUAAAGAGGUCUUAACUUAACAAAUCUUGGUUCGGAUCGACAUAACAAACAUUUCUUCUUUCCAUUCUAAAUUCUUGAUUUUACUCAUGUACUUAAACAAACGAUGCAAUUGAUGUAAACACGUUUAUCCCAAUAAAUUUUGUAUUUUAUUUAUAUAAAAAAAAACUUAACAAAUCUUCUAUUUCAGAAAUAUCUGGGGUUAGAUUACAAAGAAUCUAAGUUGCUUAAUGAUGAAAUCUCCAUAUGAUGAUUAGUCAUUCAUUUAUAAAUAUUUUGUCUCAAAAAGCCCUUUUGUAUGUGAACCGUGUUACCAAAUGACUCAGCAGCUAACAUGCAUGUGUGUUAGAUUUUUGUUCUCGAAGGAUAUGUGUAGGAACUUAAUUAGCUAGAGAAAACGAAAAGGAUGAAUUAUUUUAACUAAUUGGGUCGAAAUGUGUAUUCAGCAGAAAACAUAGCCCAACUCUUUCGGACUUGAAUCCUGUUUUGUCCAUCUAUCUUCCCCCCCUAUACACUCAAUUCUCAUACUAUCAGAUAUGCUAAAAUAAUUAAUGCAGUUUCUAGCCUACAGAUAUUUUGGGCUGUUGUGACUUACUUUUUGAUAAAUAAGAAGAUACUUUUGUUUCCAUAAAUUUUGAUUUCAGAAACUAAAAGUAUUAUAAGCCAAAAAAAUCAAUAAUAUAUGUAAAAUUAUUUGUAUGGUGAGUCUGUUUUAAUUGUAAAGCUAUUCAGUAAAAUGCAGUUUGCCAAAGUUAAAUCAUUAAUUAAUAUAUAUUUUUUCGGUUAACGGAUAAAAUAUAUAUUAAACUGCAUUUUAUACUUUUGUUUUUCCGUUAAUUGCCAAAGUAUAAAAAUCAUUCAAACUUUUGUUUUUCCGUUAAAUCUAGAGAAACUAAUUAAUAUAUAUUUUUUCGGCAAAAUGAUCGAUUUGUCUCUUUCUUCUUUCAAUAUUAAAAAUGAAGAUGAUGUAGAGAGAAAGUGUAGAAGUAGAACCAACAUUUAUCAAUACAGAAUGAUUUUUUUGGUUAAAGGAUAUCAAUACAGAAUAUAAUACGUUCAUAUACGGUGAACGUCCAUGCAUAUUUUACGAUUAUUAAUUCAUAUUUCUAAUUUGAUGGUACUUUUUUUUUUUUUUUUUUUGUAUGAAUGUAAAAUUUAGUCAUUAAAAAAACCCAUGGUUACAUGCAAUAUAUGCUUUUCUGAGCAAAAUUUUAAAAAUGAAAACAGGAGAAUAAGUGUUGAGAGAGAAACUGAAGUUUAGUGAUCGAGAAUGCAAACAGACCUCAUGCCCUCGUCCUAAACCAUUCACGCAGGCAAUCAUUGAACUUGCCCUGACGUUGUAACGUUGAUAGGCGAUUCCAAACAGUACUGUCAAUGUCCUUAGAUGGUAGCUAAAAUUAGAUCUUUAUCUGUAUUCUGCUUUUAAACUACGUGGAGAAAUAAUUGAAUGAAAUCGUUGAAACAUUUGUUUUGAUUAUACGAAUUUUUAAAGUGAUUUUUGUUUUGAAAUCUGAUAACUCGAAAAUAUGAGUUGGAUAGUUCUACUGCUACAUGAUUUCAGAAUGUAAACUCAUAGUCCGAAUGGUGACGACGUAUUUGAAAAGUGGUUUGAUAGUGCGAUAUGGUCCAACUGCGGUACAUGUGGGAAAAAUAUAUUUGCGGAAUAAGUACGGUUUUUAUAAAAUAAGCGGUACGAAAUAAUGUUUGAUUGGUGAAGAAUAGUAUUUAGGAUACAUAUAUAUAUAUUUUUAUAAUAUUUUAUUUUAUAAAAAUUAUUAUUAUUUUAAAUAAAAUGAUGUUAUUUGGUAAACUUAAUACAUACUAGAAAUUUCAGAAUUUUUUAAAUUUAAAAAUAUAUAUGUAUUAUAUGUAUAUAUACACAUAUAUAGACAAAACAAAAAACGCAUCAUAAUUGGUGAUACACAAAACAUGUGCGGUAUUGAGAUAAAACAGACCAAACAAAAAGAAUUUGAUGAGUGCGGUCUAAAAGUUAAAAUACACGAUGUGUGACUUGAAUGGUAACAAGUUAAAAAUACCGCAUGUAAAAACGCUAUAACGCGUCGCACAAUCACACCCUCAAUCAAAAUUUUUAACUUGUGCGGAAUUUGAUUCUUUGCUAUGGGCAAUGGAAUGCAUGAUCUCUAUUGGCGAUACUUCUGGCGCUUUUGCUUCCGAUUGUUCAGACCUGAUUUCUAUCAUUGACAACCAAGACGAUUGGCCGACAUUCGCAGCGGAAUUGGCAUCCUAUCGCUCUUUAGUUUGUUUUUUUCCUUUUUUUGUAUUAGAUUUCUUCCUCGUAGUUCUAAUACUCGAACAGAUUGUUUAGCUAAGAAAGUUCGGGCUCGUAAUAGCCUUUUCUUCCAUGUAAGCAUAUUGGUUCCUGAAUGGCUCUCUCUACCAGAAAGUAUCUUUCCGAUAACUUAAUAUAAAUGGUGUUUGAGGAAAAAAAAAUAUAAAAAAAUCACACCCUCAAUCUGUGUGCUUUAAUGGGUGGGGUGACAUCAGCCGCAUGAUUUCAGAGCUAAAGAUCUCUACAAUGUGAUGUGACAACAAACUACUUUACUUUAUUUUUCAUAACCAAUUUAUGCAUUAUAAAAUCAAUCAUAUUAUUUCAAUAUCAACGUCAAGUCAUCGAUUUACCCUGUAAAAGAUAGACCUGUAGUUUACGAGUUGGAGUUAAGUGGUUUCAAAUUUCUUUUUCUCGUCAGUGGUUACAAACUUACAAUUUAAAAUUUUUAUCUUAAGCUCUCCUCUCUUCUCUCUCCAAAAUCUUUCAGAGAGGAGAGCUUGAUAAUCGUUUUGUCUCCAGUUUGAUCCGGAUUUGUUUAUAUUCUCGUCUCUAUGCGAGAUCAAUAAUUUCCGAUUACAUAUCGGAUCUUCUGUUACCGACUAUGACCGGUCUUUUCUCCGUUUUUAACGGAACUUGAUCUUUAUCUCCAUUGUUGCUCACCCAUCGAUCUCAACGUUUUCUUCCAAGAUCUUUGUUGUCUCCAUUUCUUCGUGGAUUAACAUCUUCGUCACCUCCGAUUGCUCAAGACGCAAGAGCAAAAAUGGACUUUAGACUACAUCAAGAUAGAUGUAAUCGGUGGUGGAGUCUCCCGAAACUGGUGAUUCCAAAGAAUUUGUGAAGCAGCUCUACCUUUUAAUCCGGUAAAUGAUUUCGAUGCUUCUUUUGAUUGGAGUGGAGAUCGGCAGGAAGGAACAGUCUACCCAUCGCACUGAUCGGCGGUGGUUGAUCGGAGACGGCGGUGUUUAGCAACGUGAAGACGGCAGCGCUCGAUUCCUGACGCGUGGAUAGGUAGGGUACACGUCUCCAACACGUGUCAGAAGCUAGAAUUAUAAUUUUUAUGGACCGUUCUUCUCGCAUGUACUUGUUAUUGGGUUUUUCCUUACUGUACUUGUCCUAUGGGCUUUUUAAUAUAAUCUUUCGCCGGAAAAAAAAAAAAAAAAAAAAUCUUAUCUUAAAACAAUAAUAUUAUAUAUAACAGAAUGAGGAUUUUUGCGUCUAAUCAUUUUGAAAGGAUAUAUCAUAUGCAGGCGUCAAAAAGGUGACCCAUGUACACAAACACAACUGCAAAAUUGAUAUUUUAGUCAUUUAUGCCAUGUAGACAAUGAUUAUUUCGUAAGAAAAAAGUGUGUACAUUGCAUACAAAUUGCAACACACCUCCACCACGAAUUACUUCUACAAUUAUAAUGUCAAUAUAUAGUAUCGCAUCCUGUAAUGUUGGUGUAACAUGGUAAAUUCGGUACAUUCACUCUUUUAUGUAGCUGAGAAAUUUUGUACCUUGGAUUUGUUGUCUUUGGAAUCAUGGAAUAGAAGAUUAAUGUAUACUUGGAUAAACUAUCAAUUUUUUGUUACAGUUAAGUUAUUAGUCACACAAAAUAAUAUUGCUUUCCAUCAUUUACACAAUUUGUUUGUGUCUACUGUUUACUUACGUAGAAUUGUGUUAUAUAUUAAAUGAAAAUGUGCGUAACAUCUUUUGUAUCAAAUGAAAGGUUGUAGAUGUGACACAAAAAAAAAGAAUAUUGUUUACAAAAGUUUUCUUUCAACAUAAAGUAACUGGGUUAUUGCUAUUUUAAAAAAAAAACUAUAUAUCAUUUUCUCGCAAAGUUUGUGAGAAAAUUACUAUGAAAUACUCGGUUAUAAUUAAUAUGUUUUCUUGCAGUUUACUUUUAAACUUAUCAUUGCUCUUUAUAAGUGUAUUUAAUUUUAUAUUUUAUAAAUACUAAGAUUGAAUGAUUGAUUAGCACGUAAUGUACUAAUGGCUUUAAUAUAUGUGCACCUUUAAUUUAGUCUUUUCCUACCAGCAAUUUAAGCACUAGAGGUAAUCUAGUUUCCAUUACCUGCUAAUCAAUGUCACGGUUACCUGCUAAUAAAUCGUACUCUUGAAAACAUAUAGAUUAUUAUUGACAACCAUUAUUUUCACCAUGUCACGCACGGUUCAUUUAAUCAAAUUUCAUGUAGUAUCUUCAUUAUUUAUCCCAUGUGCUAAGUUUUUACUGAUUAUACGUACAUACUUAAUACUCUUUGUUUUUUGAGCAAAGACGCACAUACUUAAUACUUUGAUACGGAGAAAACGCUUAUUACUAAAAUUUGACUCUCUAUAGAACUUCAGUUGGGUGAUAUUCAAAUUAGCUCUCAUUAAUUAAUAUAUAUGGUGCAAAACAUAUAAAAACCAACAAGAAAAUCAAUAAGAUAAAAAUCAAUAACUUUUUUGUAGAAAAUAUAAAUGAGGAAUGGACAUAUAAGAGUUAAAAGUUGGCAUUAAUUAUAUAGAAUUACAAGUUGACAUUCUUCUCCGUUAUGAAAUAAUGUGCUUUAUUGAUUCAGACACUUAAAAUAUUGGAAGAUAAGAUGCAAAAAUCAAGCUUAUAAUCAUUAUAAGUGCUGACCUAAAACAAAAACAAAAUAAAUUUAAUUAAAAAAGAUCAACUAGCUAGUUACCCCCAUCACUUAUCAUUCCUAUUAUUUGUCAUGUUUCUUUAUUAUUUAAAGGCCUAUCUAGAUUGAACCCAUUUUACUAUAUAAUUAUGAGUUUCUUUAUUCUUAUAUUAAAAAUUCACCUUUUUACUCUAUAGAGUCCAAAAAAAUAAGAUUAAGACCAACUGUUUUUGGCUUAGGUCAGAGAACAUAAUGUGACCUUGAAGCCAAAUAUAUAAACAUAAUGUGACCUUACACAGAUACAACCGUCAAAACCCUUCAUGCGUUUUUUUAAAUUUAUUUUAUGAAAAGAUAUUUUCUUUCCAUAUAUCUCCAACUAAAGUAAUAGAAAUUAGGGAGAGGAACUUCUUUUUAUACUUUAAUUUGACAUUGGAGCACCAUUUUAUUUUUGGUUUAGGAAACAAUCUUCUUAAAUCUUACGAGUGCACUGUCCAAAUCGAUUAUAUAUAAUUGUAAUACUCGACAUUUCUCUGUUUCUGCUGGAAUAAUGUUGUUAAUUUUAGUUUAAGUUUUUAUGAUUUAGUGACUAAAUUAACAUAUUGAAUUUAAGAUGUUGGAAUUAUGAUUUAUUAAUGCAUUAGAGUUCAGAUAUAUAAAACAAAUCAAAAUUGGCAAUUGAAAAUGAAAACAGUAAACAGUGUUUUACAGAGAAUACUUAUAGAAACAAAAUAUAUUACAAACAACAACGUUGAUUUUUAAAGUUUCUGAUUUUUUUAUGAAGUUCUGAAAAUAUGUGAAAAUUUAUAAAAAUAUGUGAAAGUUUCCCAAAAGACGUGAAAUUUUCAAUAUCUUUUGAAAUUUCUUUUCUUCUCCUCAAAAUGUCCAAACAUGCUGUAAAAUAUGGUAACCAAUACUCAUAAAAAUCAAAUGUUUUAGCACACGAUGAAAGUUCCAAAAGAGAAAAGUUAAUUACUAUGAAUUCAUGAUGGUUUCUGUUAACAAAAAUGUGAGUUAUUUGAGUACAUUAAAUUUCCAAACGAGGCUAUCUAAUGAAAUAAGCAUGUCGACAAAAAAGUACAUAGAUAAAAGCUCCUUGACCUAAAAUAUAUACAUAAGUCUGUGGACAAAAGAAAGUAUACAUAUAAACUGUUUAAAAACUGGUAGCCAUCAACCCACUUUUCACCCUCUUUCCUAUGAAUUGCAAUGUGGCUUUCUAUUAGACUCACGAUAAAAUCAUUCGUCUUGGUAAAUGGUUUAAAAAAAAAUAGUUCUAACGUUAAAUGUUGAUUGAUGCAGUGCAUUUCCACUUCGUUUUGAGUUUGUAUCUUACCAUUAUUUUUUUAGAAGUUGACUUUGAUUUCCAUGCAUAUUUUGGAGUUCAUGAGUCUCGAUAGAUUCUUUUUUUUCUUUCUCUCAAAUGUUAUUAAUUAGCACCAAAGGUUUUCUCCUCAAAUAGAGAGUAAUUAAAGGUUACAGAUUAAUCCCCAAUGGAGUAAGACCAAAAAUUACAGAUUAGUAAUCAAAUAGAAUUUCAAUAGAGACAUUGGGGGAGAAGAACUUUAAGCAAUCGCUCUUCUCAAGCAAAGAUCAAAUUCAAUGGAAACAAGAUCAUCUCUAAUUAAAAAAAGAAAAGAAAGACAAUCUCUAAUUAAAAGUAAGAAGUAAACUUCAUGUAUAUGAGACAAAGAAAGAGUAUCAUUUUGUUUUUGUUCUUGUAGAUGAGUCAAAGAAAGAGUAUCAUUUGGUGUCAUGCAUGGCGAAAGGAGACCGACCAGAGUGUCAUCUGCUUUCAGAGUGCACGUUGGAUAGAGGAAUUAUAAAUUUAUAAUCAUGCAUGUUGUACAAUAUUACUACAAAUUAUCCAAAUAUUGUAGUUAAAAGAUAUUUUGUUGUUUUGAAGAAUAUAUAGUUUUGAAAUGAAGAUAAUGGAUAUGUUGUUAUAUAAUUAAUUACGAACGCACAACUCAAAAUGUCUCGCUAUGUUUUAAUUAACUUGCAAUCUAUUUCAAUUUACAAUUAUAUAUAUAAAAAAACUCUUUAUUAUACUCAUUUCAAAAUCGUUUCAGUUACAAAUCCCUCAUGUCACUCAAAAAUAAGUACUCUCUCAGGAAGCUUAACUAGAUAAUUCUCCCUUCAUAGAUCAAGUGGCUUCAAAACUAAUUGAACUCCAUACUUAGGUUUUAUAGUAAGCACAACUAUAGGAGCAUGUCUAUAGUUCUCCGAUAUUGCAAAACUGAAUUUGGAAACAAGCAUUGCUAAUAUUAUCUUCGCCUCCAUCAUGGCAAAAGUCUGGCCAAUGCAGUUCCUAGGUCCAGCCGCAAAAGGCAUAAAAUGGCGACUAGAUGCAAAACUUCUAGUAGUAAAUCGUUCAGGGUUGAACUCGUUCGCAUCUUCGCCCCAUAAUUCAUUACUAUGAUGGAUCGCAAGGACAGGGAUCCAAAUAGAUAAACCUUUAGGGAUGAUUAGGUCACCUAGUUUUAUGUCUUCAAAUGCCAUUCUUGGUAAAAGUGUGGCAGGAGGGUAAAGUCUUAAUGACUCGUUUAUCACUUUGUUUAACUGUUGAAAGAAGAAAAAUAAAGAAAGAGAGAUAAGUUAGUUGAAUAUUAAAUUACAUAAAACCCUUUUAAGAUAUCAUAUCUAACAAUCUUGUGAAGUGCCUUAUGACUCUUUCACAAAGAUCCCUUACUUGGUUUUAAGAAUUGCCUUUCAAGCUGUCCAAAUCGUUUAAUGAAUGAUUUCUUUUAGUAUUUUAUGCAAAGCAUGUUGUAGUGCUAAUUUUUUCAACAAGUGGAAUAUUUUACUUAUCUCAUUAUUAAAAUAUGCCUUAGUUCGAUUUUAAAUGUAGAAAGCCAAUUCAUCAUGAGUCUCUCUAUUGGUCUAUCUAAUCAAAUGUCGAAGCAAUGGUAAUGUAAAUUUCACUUUAGUCUAAUAAUUAAAUACCUGAAUUUGUUAUAUGUCAUACAUUUGAAAUGAAUUAUCUGACUUGAAACUACAUAUCAUAAUUAAUGGGAUAACAUAUUAAGAAGAUUUUCUAGAUAUAUCAUAUUAAAGUUGACCGGAUAUGUACUAAUUGAGAUUUAGUUACGGAAGAAGCACUACGACUUAGUGGCAUUGCCUGUAAGUGUGUUGAAUGAACGUAGUACCCCACCCGCACCCAUAACAAUUGGCGUUACCAUCAAAUUUUUAUUUUAUUUUUCAAAUGAAAGAUAUAAUUGUGAUUCUAUCCUAAUUCUCGACCAAAGUCAAAACUUUACUAGACAUGUGUAUAUGCAUAACAACGCAUAAGACAUUAACACAUAGUAUGUUUCAAUUUUUUAAAAUGUUAUACUAUUGUCUUCACUUCUUUUAAAAUCUCAGAUUUUUUUUAUAAGAUUCUUAUCUUUUGUAAAACUGUAAUGGAAACGUGAAACUCGUAUGAUCUUUCUCUUUCCGUUUGCUUUUAAAACAUUCAAAAAGAGUUCGGAGUUUUUGUUUUGGUCAACUAGAUCACCUUUACUCAUUUAUUUUAUUAUUUACAUAGGUUUGAAAGCGAACCAAAAAAAUAAAAAAAUAUAGAUAACGAAUUCUAACUUUACUAGCGAGAAAAUUACCUACCUCACGAUUAGAGAAGGAAAGAUAUAUAACAAUGUGGAAAUAAGAAAGACUCUAAAAGCUACGAUUUUACGUUCGAGAAGGACAUAACGCCUAAUUAACGAUUAAUUGAAAUUUUAUUUUUUUAUUAUUGAUUUUUAAUAUUUUGUUGAUAAAAUUUAAAUAUGAUGUUAAAAAAUUUCUAGAUAUAUUUUCCAUAUUCUAAGUAUUUUAUUAAAACCAAUUAGAAAUAUAAUAUAAGGAUGUCUAAGCUAAAAAAACAAUAGUUGAAUUUAUAGGUUUCUAAGCGGCCGAUAGAAAGGUGAUAAGAAUUAACCAUUGUUCCAUUGAAAAAACAACGAAGAAAGGUGAUAAUGUGAGUGAAAAUUAAGAACGUACCGAAGUAAGACUUGAGAGCUGUUCAACGGAAGGGACACCAUCUUGGCCACAAACUUGCCGGACCUCAUCGCGGACAUUGUCCUGCCAAGUGGGAUUAUGAGCAAGGAGCAUGAGAGUCCACGUGAGGAGAAGAGAGGUUGUCUCAUGACCGGUAAAGAAGAAAGUCUUGCACUCAUCCAUUAUCAUUUGAACAUUAAGGUUGUUCUUGUUGCUAUCCAUCUGGUUCAAAAGAAGCCCUAAGAGGUCAUCCCCGUAUGAGCUACUCCGACCGAUCUCUACACUGUCUUUUCGGCUGUCUAUAAUCUCCAUCAAAAGACGUUCCACUUCCGUUUUCAGAGACUUUAUUUCUCUAUUGUAUUUGCUAGGUAGAAACCUUUGAGACACAAAAGAUUAUAUAGUUACACGUUAAGUCAUCAAUUAGAUCCAUGCAAAUAGUAACCAUGUCAAAUAUUUUUAUCUUUCCAAUUUAAUAUGUUAGUGGAUAGUUUAUAUUAUCAACGUUUCAUUAAAUUAAGUACCACUAUAUAUAGAAUCGUGAAAACCAAAACAAAAUAUAUUAUUAACGUUUUAUUAUUCUUUUAGGAAAAUUUAUUUAAUUAAAAAACCGCAAAAUGACAAAAAGUUAGUAGAAUCAUAGAAUGAUUUAAUAUAAUUACUUGCAGUUCGUAACACAAAACAAUCAAAAGAAAGAUUUGUGAAAAAAGAAAAAAACUUACCGGCUACCGGGAAAACAGAGGUGGCGAGUGGCUUGAGCACAAAGACGUUGAAGUACAGUGAGUAGACUAAAAAGCUCCUUUCCUUUAUCACAACUACUUCCAAAUUCCGUCCUCGAUAUUAUAUCCGCCGUGAGCCGCCGCAUCUCCUCACCAAUUUCCACCUCUUCUCCAACCUCCUUUCUCAGCCUCUCAGCCAUCAUCUUCGUGCAUUCCACCAUAUGCUUAGCGUAUCCUUUGAGCCUAUCACGUGUGAAAGCCGGAGCUGCCAUGUGACGUUGGUGGUGCCAAGCCUCGCCGUUGGCCAUGAGAAGCCCACGCCCUAUAAACCCUUUAGUUCCUUGUUGUUGCAGCCAUGAUUUCCCGGUGACCGGAUUGUGCUUCGUUAGCAAUUCUUUAAUCAUCUCGGUCUCCGUUAGGCAUAGUCUCGGUUCUGUCCCGUUCCACAUUAUAAAUCUCUUCCCUGCAAAAGGCCAUUUCAGUCAUUUUUGAAGUGUGUAAUAAAAUAGAAAAUGCAUUGUAGGCAUGUCCGGUCCAAAGCAUAAGCAAAGGAAAGAAACUAUAAUUAUCCGCUUCAUAUUUUACGUUAAUAUUUGGGGAAAACAGAUUUUAUGUAGCAUAAGAAGAGACGUUUAAGAAAAAAAUUAAAUGGACAUCCGAAAACGUUGAACUGGUCAUGGGUACAUACCAUAUUGUUUGGACCAAGAGACGUAAUGAGGAAGAAGGCGUGGGACGAUGUUGUGGUGGAUGGAAGAGCAGUCGUUAGAAGCGGAGUGAGAGAGCAUUUUGGAGAUAUCAAUGAUGUUUCCGGUGAGGAGACGGGGUUUAGGCCCCGUGAUGCCUUGACGUUCCAUAAACUUCUUGAUUCGUCUUGGUGUGAGGAAGUAGCAACAAAUGGAGUCGUAUAGGACUCUUAAUAUCAAGGUCAUGACUAUCACGAGGACGUACUUUAGUACUAAUGUAACCAUCAUCUUUUUAAUUUCUUUGUUUUAUUAAAAAAAUAAACAAGAUUUUGAGAAAGAGAGAAAGAGAUGGUUUGGUGAGAGAUACGGAACAACCUUGCAGAGUACCAAAGCAUAUAUUUAUAGUGCUGCAGAGGAAGCAGUGGAGUUAAAACGAUAAUUCUUAUUCUUGUUAUUUUAUUUAGUCAUUUUUACUUUUUCAAAAAUGUUUUCAGCUUUUUCAAAACAAAUACUUAUUUAUUUGUAUUCUUAACACGACUUCCAUUUUAACAUAGAAACGAAUAUUCAAGAAAAUUCGUCGACUAAUGGCAGAUCCUAAAUUCAAUUAUUAUUAUUUUAACAGAUACUGUGGCUUCUAGUUUAUGAUUUAAAGAUUUUAUUUGUAAGUAAUUCCUCAAAUUAAGUAUGAUUGGUGAAAGUUGGUUGCUAUCUAGAAAACUGUGAAAUUUCUUUAAAAUCAGAUUUUCUUGUAAAGAGAGUAUAGUUGAGAAAGUAGUAGAUUUUUAAUAAUAACUUUUUAAAUAUACAUAUAUGUACAUACAUAUAUACAUAUAUUUUUAGUAACGAGAAUAUAGCAUAUACAAGCUGGAAAUAUUAUUUAUAUAGAAAAUGAUAAUAAAUUGCAACAUAGAAAUAUUUAUCCACUAAAAAUGUUGGGGACAAAAAUUUGCGGUUCACACCAAGCAUUAAAAAUAUUUAUACUUUCAAGAAAAUAAGAUCUGUUCAAUCAUUUAUGGUAUGAUAUAUUUUAUUUUGGUCUAUAUGGGAAUUUUGUUCCAUAGUUACUUUUUCUUUUCUUUGGGUAGAGUAUUACAUAAGAACUAUUUAAACGGCUUUCUUGUUUUUUCAAAAAUGCCUAACUUUAUUCUUGCAAAACGUAUCUGAGUCAGAUCCGAAAAUUCAUUCUUUUUCAUAUUGGCAAUAACCAGAUUUAUGUUUACGUGCUUAUCUACUUGGGUGAUUGAAAUCAACUAAUCAAGGGCACUUGUUUGAGUGCAUUGAGCUGCUCCAUUUCCUCAUUUAAGAUUUAUAACACUUUCUAAACUUUCAUAAUUGUUAGGUUUAAACGUUUCUGUAAUCUUUUACUGUUAUUAUGUUACAUAUGAAGGACCAUAAAAGUAAGAUUUAAUAAGUAUAUUAAAGUUUUAAGCGUACAUGCAAUUUGUUAAAAUUAAUAUUUUGGUGAAACAAAGAAAAUCUUGUUUGAUAUUUUGUUUGUUUGAUUGAAGUUUUAACAAUGCGUAAAUAUUGUUUCAUUGACAUUUUCAUUUUUUGCAACAAUUUUGUGUCUACAUUAUCGCUAUUACCACAUUCUUUUCGCUAUAUCGCCGAUUAAUUGUAUCAAAAACAUCAUAUAUUUCGUUUCUACAAUUGUAAAGUAUGUAACCAACAAAUCCAUUUUUUCAUGUCUAAUAGAUGGUACAUCUCAGACUUGAAUUUUACUAUUAUUAUUAUUAUUAUUAAAUAUCUCAAUCUAAAGCGAUUCAGAGAGAUAUUCAAACUCAGUUUUAGGAAGAUUUGUUAGUUACAUUGCAGCUCUCUUCUUCUUCAUUUUUUUUCCCUGUGAUUGGCUUUGUUCAUCUUCGAUGAUGGGAGUGGGAUUGACAAGUCGUGUUCUUUAGAAAUCGUAUGCUUCUUUCAUAAUUUUAAUCAAAACAAACAGUAAAAAAUUGACUGAAAAAUAACAUAUUACUUGUGUUUGUAAAAUUCUAAAAAUGGUUUUCAAAAUUUUCCCCAAAAAUGGUUUUCAAGAAAUUGGAUAUAUCAUACUUUUGGAUCAACUGUAGAGAAAGCAAUAAAGAAGGAAAGGACACAAGAGAGAUUGGGUGGAGUUUAGACAAAUUUAAGGGUCUCCAAAACAUUAGGCUGAACACAAUAGAUAUGGUGAUGCCUACUGUUUGAAAAACGACUAGAUAAGGGAUUAUGGACUUGGAUGACUUAUUUGGAAUGAAUUUAGCCGGCUUGGGCAUUGUGGAAAGACGACGGAUCAGGUUCAAUGCUCUCCCGAAGAAAGCAGAAUGUGCCAGCUAAACAAACUGUAAUGUGACUGUUGUUCCAAAUCAAUGUUAAAAUAUAAUAAAAAAUGACAUUAAGAAAAAAUACUGUUUCAUUCGCACUUUUAAUAUAGAAAUGUAUUUACUUAUAGCAUUUUUAACUUGUACUCUAGUAAUUUGUAAUUGUAAUAUUGAUGUUUAAAAAAUAUUAAUUUGAUCUAAACAAUUGAUGUCGUUACAGGUAUGUCGAUUUAUAUACUUUUUAUGAUUAGAAAGAAGAUUUGCCGUCAAUUACAAAAGCAAAAGCAGUGAUGGGUAAAGAUUGCGUAUCUUGGGAAAUGAAUAUGAAAAGCAAAGAAAACUUAUACACAUCAUAAUAAUCUCGAGAAAACAAGCUUGCCAAGAUUUCAACAAUCCACUUAAAAUAUUUAAAGAGAAUUAAAAGAUAAACAUAUCUGAAUAUUCUUUCUAAUAUUAUCUCCACUGUUUUAUUUACUUUUCUCGUCACUUUCUUCUUUGAAGAACAUGUUUGGUGACAAAGUCAUUCCGUAACAACCGGUUAUAUGGAUAUAUUGUACACGUUAUAAAUAAGAAAGAGUAUGUUUCCUUCACUUUGAAUAUACAUAUUGAGCUUAAUUCGUGCUAUUUACUAACCAGUGUUGUACAAAAUGAUUUGGAUGACUGUUUGUCUAGACGGACGGACAUUCUAGACAAACAGUUUUGUGACGGUUGUGUAUACGAUACCUAUAUAUUCGAUCCUGGUAACUGUUAUAUAGAUGUUAACUUUACUAAAAAUAAAAAAGUGAUUCAAAAGUUCAUGAUAUACUUUUAUUUUAUUUUGAGUAUAUUUUUUUCCUUAUGACUGCAUAGUUUUCUUAAUUUUCAUGUGAACAAGUUAGUGUGUGAGAAUUCUGUCUGAAAACUUCUUAAUACAACCAAAAGAUAUUUCAAGAUACUACUAUGCGAAUAUGUCACUAGAGUAACUCAUUUAAUAGUUUAUCAAAUGGACAUAUCUAAUAAAGAAUCUAGCGGAUCCUUCUCACAGUGAGUGACAUCCAAAUAGAUAUCGUUGAAUUAGAUACAUAAAGAUUCCAUUUAAAGAAGAUCAGAAUGUAAUUAAUAUACAAUUAGUAUUAUUUAGUCAAAGAUUGUAGAAUCAACAAAGAGGAUCAGAAAACCUUAUUUCAACUUUUAAAUGAGACUGAACAUUCUUUUUCCUACAACGUGCAACACAAUCCCAUGGCAUGCCAAGUAAAAAAGUGGAAACUUGUAGAACAAUCAAUCCCCAUAUUAUCAUGAAGUUUCAAAAGAAACCUCAGAAUUUUAUUUCUUCUGAAUACAUACCCAUUUUGUUUGGUCAAGUCAACAAAUGAUCAUUCUCUUUUCUAUGCCAUGAUAAAAUUAGUCGGCAAGUACUUAAUUUAAUCCUCCAAUUAGUGUACCAACUACUAAUGCAUAUAUAUAGUAUGCCGACUGUUUUCAUAGACUUAACCUUUAAUUGUUAGAUUUUUUUUGGAUCCCAAAAACAAAGAACGACUAACUUUGUUUCUAUUAUGCUGCUAACAGAUUUGCCUUGUUCAUAUUCAUGAACAUUUCUGUGUUACCUUUUGUUGUCAAUGUAACAUACGAAUUUGAAUGAGAUCGACUCCGAUCAAAUAUUAAAUUUACAUUAAACGUAUAUUUAGAUGUUGAAAAAACUUGUAGCACAGUUAAUCACCCGAUUCAGCAUUUACAUUGCCCCUGUAGUGACUAACUUUGUUACUGAAAAUUUUUAAAUCUGGUUAAAGUAAUUUCUUAGUCCACUGAAUUUUUGAAAUUUGUAAUUAAAAUAAGGUCGAGUUUUUAACUCAGGAAAACUGGGUGACCGAAAGUAUUCAGAUGAAGAAGUCAUAUAUCACUGUUAAUGAUUAAAGGGCUGCUGACCCAAAAAAGUGAUUCAUGUGACUUUAUUACAUUUUAAAUUGUUUACGAGAAUUUUCUUCUUCGGGUCAAAAGAAAAAAAAACAAAAGUGAUGAAAAAAGGUGAGCGAUAAUAUAAGAUUGUUGAUAAAAAUUAACAAACUGAAGUAACAUAUAAAUAUUCGACCUUUUGUUUUACUUAUAACGAGCUUUUUACUUAUGUAGUAAUGUAUACGAAAACCGAAUUGCAGACUUAAACUAAGAAAUGUUUGAAUGGGAGAGUAUUAACAGUUGUGAGAAUUCGAAAGAGAAGAGAAGAGACUUUUUUUAUCAGAUAUGUAUAUACUAAAGAGAUUGUAGCAAUAACAGUAUUUGUGGUCUGAUGUGAUUAACUAAGGUUAUUGCAUAUAAUGUGUACAAGUCUAAUUCACAAACUAAGCUAAGCUAAGUUUUUGUAGGCCUCGACCCUUUCUCUUCCAACAAGUGUUCAGUCCCGCGAGCUUUGCAUCAGCUCGAACCACUGCAAAAACAAAAACAAAACUUGUCAGAUAUCUAAGUAUUUUGACAGUGUAGAAAACAGAGAAUGGAUAGUGAAAAGUUACCUGUCUCAACACAUCACCAAGUGUUCUGGGUAAGGCUUCGAUGUCUCUUAGCACAAUGUAGUAUGGGAAGGGGAAGGAAUCCAAGUAAUUCAUUUUCUUAUAAGGUCUCCUUUCACCAUCAUAUACAUAGUCCUGAUUAGAGAACAAAAAAAAGAUGUAGUUUUUUUAGAAUCAUUCAUGAUAACUACUCGUUUCAAUCUUAUAAAUAUGUAUAGGAAGUAAUAGAAUUGGACAUACCGCUAAAUCAAAAACAGAUUGCUCUGCGUCAUCGAGAAGCAGAUAUACCACCAUACGUUUUUGCUGGAGAAAGCUUCUAACAGUUCGUUUCAACUUCUCUCGCUCAUGGAACUUCCCAUCGCCGAUGAUUAGUACAAGUUGUUGAAGCGGGUUGCUCCCGUAAGACUGUCGUCUUGUGCUGGCCAAAUUCUCUAGCAUUUCAUUCAUGUUUCUCAGCAGAUUGACGACUGGUUGAUCUUCAAUGAGAUUUUCUUGUUUAAAUGUCAAAUUUGAGAUCAUCUGCAUCACAGAAACGAGAAAAGAUGUGUUUUGUAAGCAAUCAGAAGACAAUCCACAGUGAACACAUGGGAAAUGAAAGAUUUAAGGCCACUAACCUUAAUGCCGGAUUCUGUGGUGAAAGACUGACCAAAAUCAUGUAACAUCUUUAUGCUCCCUUGCUUCCCGAAACUUGCCACAGCCAAACUUCCCAGCUCAAGCUGUGACAUAGCUCGGCAUACCGUUGCCAAAGCUCUAAUUGCAAAAUCACCACAUCCACUUUCUGACAUGCUACGCGAGUCAUCCACAGCGAUAACAACUUGGUAAUCACGCUUGUUUGGUUUUGUCCUCCUCAACCAAAUUUUAUCUUUCCGAUAGUGACUUGCUAUGUAUGGAAUAACCUUCUUCAUGUUGAUCCUUUUACCCGUUCUGUAGUCACCACUGAGCUUGCUAGCAAGCGUGGGUUCUAAGAUAAGACGUAGUUGCUCAGCCAGCUCCUGAGACGGUUUUGCAGUAAGCAAUUCACAUCUCCUCCAAAGAACAACAGCAUUGCUUCUGGCAUCUGGAUCUUCCUGAUUAUCCUGAUUGCUUUCCGAGUCAUUAUCAGUCACUUGCAUCCGGUCCAGAUUACAUGCCUCUUCCCCCAAGAAAGUAUUGUCGACAGAGACCAUAGAGUCCAUCCUACUGUUACCAUCACCAAAAUUAUGAAUAGGAGAGUUCUCUUGGUGGGUCCUAUCUGUAUCUGGUUCUUGGACCUGUUCCGCGAUGCUAUUACUGAUCGAUGGUUUGGAUUGGACAGCAGGUUUGUUUUCUGGGUUCAAGUCAUCAAUAUCCAUUGGAGAGACAUCAUCCUGAUUACCUGCAAGUUUUUCUUCUUCGGAUUCCCCUUCUCUCAUAUCUGUGUUCACUUGCUCAGGCAACGCAGGUCCUAGAGCUUGGGAAGUUCCUGCAUCAAACUGAGAAGCAAAUCCAUAUUCACUAGCAUCAGGGUCUUCCAUCUCAUUUUCAGCCUCUUGCUUUUCUCCAAGGUCAGAGGAGAUUCUAACUCUUUCUUUCCACUCCUUCAAGGCAUCACCAACGUUCCUAUAAGGAUUGACCUUGGUUUGUUGAGCAGUAGAUGACUGGUUUUGAGGAAAUUCCAUCUUUGGUAAGUUGUCUGUCAAUGUCUCACCGUUGGCCAUGUUGGUCAUCAUGAGGUUCAUUUCCGUGUUACUACUCGAAGGCAGAUCCAUUGAAUCAGUGAGUUCAUCCGUAACAUCAGUAGCAGACAAAUUUUCUUGUGGUGCUGUACUUCCUGCACCCAGCACAUUAGACCCAUGGGGAUUUUGUGAACCAGACUCUACGCCAGAAAUAUUAUCAUUACGGAAGUUCGGUUUCAUCAUGUCUUCUGACAUAACUUCUUUUCCUUCUAUUGGUUCCGUUUCUGGUUCCUGUUCAAGAUCAUUUCCAGGUUCUUCUUUUUGGGGUGAUCCACACCUAUCUUCAGCCUCAGCCUCCAUAUUUUCCUCAGAUGGCUCUUGAGUUUCUUCUUGAUCAUUUUCACCUUCUUCAGGAUGCUUUUGAUCUUCUGAACAAGGUUCUUCCUGCUGAUUUGCAUCUUCCUUUUCGACCUCCUCUGUUUUGUCCAUCUCCAUGUCAUCAUCAAUUUGUUCAUUAUCGACAUCAGGAGUUAGUCCACCAAGUGCUUCUUCCUUGGUCUGGAUUUUUUCUUCUAAAUUAUCUGUAUCAUCAAAAUCAUCCUGCUCCACAUUCUCAUCGUUUCCUUCUUCCGGUUUGUCAGAAGUAUUGGACUCCUCAGGCUCAUCAGCAGUUUCAACACCAUCAUCCUUGGCUCUUAGCUCCCUUGAUCUUGUGUCCUUGUCGACUAUAGAUGGUCCAGAUUCAUUCUUCUCAUUCAUAUUUUCUUCCUCAUCUUCUUCAUCCUUGUUCCAUGGCUUUUCAUCGGCUUUUUCGGCAUCAGAUCCCACAUCUCCUAUUCCAUUAUCCAACGGCUCAUCCUCACUUCCUUCGUCUUCCUUGUCUUCUUCUUCAUCCUCACUAACGCUGUAUUCUUUGCCAUCAAAUUCGUCACUCAUCUCAAUGCCUUUGUUUUUACCCAGCACAUCAUCUUGCUCUUUCUCUUCCUCUUCCUGCAAAGACAACAGAAGAAAACUCGAUUGGUAAAAUCCCAUAGAAAAUUCAGGAUGAGUGGCAGGCAAUAAGGAAAGAGGCAGUAUAAACCUUCUUAUCUGUGCCAUGCAGUUGGUCUUCAUCUUCUAUUUGGUCACUUACAUCUUUUGCCCCCACACCAUCUCCCAUACCAGUACCUUCUGCAGCUUCCGAUUUGUCAACUUUAGAGUCAUCAUCUUCUUCAUUUUUGGAGAUGCCAAAUCCUUUUGUAAAUAGAUCGGCAAGAACACUUGCAAGGACAUGGGUUAUCAGUGAAACCUACAGACCAAAAGCACAGAUGUUGUUGUCUUAUUGGAAUAAAAUAGUAGAAGGUGUGUAAAUGCCGAGAUCUCUUCACACUAACUAACAUGCUUGACAUUCAGGAGGUUGUUUAAAGAAAAUUUAUCAAUUAACAGGAUCAGUUUAAAGAGAUGAUUGUCCCGAAUGACUUUGAAAGAACAACAUAAGAUAAACACAUACCGUUUUGCUUAUCGCCAAAAACUCUUUAAGGUAACAAUCCCCAAAGCUCAAUAAAAGAUCCAAAAAUGCUUGAAGUUGCUUCAACUGGUCUCCAACACCAGCUGAAAGGACGCCUGAUGAGUUCAACAGUUGUUCCUAUGAAGAUAAAAGCCUCAGUUCAACAUAAGCUUGAAAAUAAAAGGAAAAUAGCAUCCGCAUACAUCAAAAGACAAUCCAACUUACAAUGGAACCAAAUGAUUCGGACAGGAGUUUACACAGGUUAUCAAGGUUCAAGUCAUUUUCUGCCUUCUUAAACAGACCAUCCCAUGUAGUAAUAUUCAUUUCCUCUUCUUGAGAAAGACUUCCAUCUUUAUAAGAGCAAAGCUUUCCAAUCACAUCCUUAACAUUUGCAAAUAUACUUGCAAGAUUUUCUUCAAGAAAUAGUCGUUCCUUGGGUUCCAUUCCAGUUGACUGGUCUCUCACGUUAAGUAAGCAGUUCAGAUUUUCAGCCAACAAUUUCCCCUGCAUCAAAUAAAGUUCUUCAAUAUGACUCUAAGAAUCCUAAACGCAAUUUAUUUGCUAGGCUUGCAUCUGGAAAAAGAUAAAACUAAUCCACCAAGGCUGAAUAAAUACCUCUUUAAACACAGGGGAAAAUUGACUGAGAAGAACGUCUCUGCAAUAGCUUUUCUCAUUGUUUUCACAGAAACUUGAAAUUUGGUUCUCAAGGUCCGUAAGUUGAUCAAAGUUCUGGCGUAGCACCUGAACCAUAUGCUGAGUGACAAACUGCUUAAGACUGCUACUUGGUGUGAUGAUAAAACCGUUGCAAUCAAGUAGAAGCCUAUCCAGCGAAGCCUGAUGACAACAACACAUUCAGACUCUUGCAAGAAAUAACAGAGCAGAAAGAUUUAAAAGAAGCCCAAGGAUACCUUGGAAUUUUGAGCGAUGGGAAUUAGUAUUUCAAUAAAGCUGAGCAAACUCCGUGAUGAGGUUUUCACAGCUUGACAGGAAUCCAAGUGUGUACUUCCAACUGUUCUCAGUAAGGCCGACUCCUCAAGAAGCAUUGCAGUAAUGUUAUCAAAGAGUUGCUGUCAUAUCACAAAAAAGCAAAAGCUUAAUCCAGUGUUGUUGCAACAGACAUUCAGUGCACAUCAUUCAAGUUAGAAAGCUGAAAUACCUUCUGUAGCCACAAGCAAUUGAAGACAGCAUGUUGAUUUUGGGGGAAACUGAACACAGAAUCAUCCUUUCUAUCCGCACCAACUGAAUCACCCAGUAAUCUCGCUAGAGAUAAAACACAUUGGCGAAAGCGGUUGAAAAGUUCGGCAAAGGCAUACGCAGAUUUCCUUUGUUGCCGUUGUAUUUCCACAAGAUGAUUGAGAAAUGAGAUUGCCCGUUUAACCUGUUAACAUAGGAUGGUUUGCAGAAACAACUGGUUUAAAAUUGAGACUCGGUGAAGCCCAGAUAUAAAUUACAAGCUUCAAAGUCUACCUGCUCAGCUGUUACAUCGGAGUGUUUUCGGUCAAUAUUUAACAUGAGUUGCACUGAAGCCAAGCUCUUAAAGUAAAACUCAUUUGCCACUCUCCACUCAACUAGUGAAUUUUCCUUGUUUUGAUCUUCUACACCCAUGGAAGGAUGUAUGUUACUUUUGGUAUGUGUUAGCAGUAACAGAUGCUUUGGAUCGUAUGCUGGCUGAUAAAGCAACCCUUUAAAGUGAUUUGACAUCUACAUAAGAAGAUGAUCAGAGAAUAUAUAUGAUUAAUAAACAGAGCAUGACUAGAAGAAACAUACACAGAAGUAUCGACAAGCAAAAGUAUAUUACCUCUAUAUUUUCAAACUUGUGUUUCUGCAAACCACUACUUUCUAAUAACUUGAGAAGUUCAAACAGGGCCCUCUUCUUUGCAACAUCUCUAUCACUGUUUCUCCAUAGAUCUGAACAGCCAGCUAUGGUUUCACCAAUCCUAGCAACCGUACUCCACAAAUUUUUCCAAUCACCCUGAUAGACAGGGGACGAAUACUGAUGCUCUGCAAAUAUAUUAUGCAAGCUUAAGAAUAUGCAGACUCCCCAAAAAUAAAGGAAAAUCACCAAAUAGAACCAAGAGAGAAUGGAGUUAGUGUACAAACGAACCUGCACCCAUCAGCAAUGUUUUAUAGUGCAUUUCUUGGUGAAAGCGUCCUACCGAUUCCUUUAAUUUAUUCCACCAGACAACAUACCAUGAAGACCUACCAAGAAAGUUUAAAGCAUAUAUGAUGGAGGGUUCAACUUCCAUAAACUUCUCACAAUGCAUGCAGAAAGGCACAGGAUGCAAAUGUAUACCUGUCCCUCAAUUGCUCUGCAUCUAAAGCACUAACUAGGACCUCGAUCCUCAUGUCGGAUGCUCCAUCCAUAAGAUCUGGAUCUAGUAGAGGGAGAAAUUGAGCUCGUUCCUUCGUCAGGUCUGGCUUAACAAGCAUUACAGGGAGGCGUAGCAUGUCCUGCUCAACAAAAAAGAUGCCAAUUAGAAAACUUUUUAAUAAGGUCCCAUCAUUCAGACUCAUAUAAGCCAACAUAGAUAACUGAGAGUCGUGUGUUUAUAUAAUAGUCCCCCAGAAAAAUGAAGAACCAAUAACUUACCGUAAACUUCUGUAUCAGUUUCUUGACCUUUUGCCUGGUCCUUUUAGUGGUCUCAUUGUACAAAUAAUUAUCUGGCCUCUCCCACCGACAAAGUUUAAGAACCUCCUUUAACUCAGUUUCAACAUUUUUUCUAUUCAAAUCUAACUGCUCCAUUACACUGGUAAGAGAAAUUUAAAUUGAGAACAUUACCCUGGCAAAAUAAUCGUGAACUAAUAAUCUUAAGACAGAAUUGGAAAGGAGCUUACACCGGUAGAAAUUGAAUAUAGAAUCCAAAAAUAUUGUAGCACAUUUCCACCCUCCUCUUGUGUGAAUCACUGUCAAAGUAAAAGCGGGAGUCAAAGACAGUCAAGUUAGAAGUCAACUGUAAAAACAGCGGAGGAGCAAUCAACUGUGAAGACUUAAGUAUAUAAUGCUGAAGGCCCUUUAAAUCCUUCAAGAAUGAUACUGACGAGGAAAGAGGAAAAGAAGAA
rnacentral:lncRNA from 1 species